rnacentral:lncRNA from 1 species
CUGUUUCACAUCACGAAUGUUAGUUUCACAAAUCCGCAUUUCACAUCAGAUAUAGCAGUUUGACAUAUCUACAUAUCUAUUUCGAUUUCGGAACAACAAGAAAUAAUGGCAUGUCACCAAAAUAGUAAAGUUAUAUGUAAACAUCUGGAUUCCAUGUAACAAUAUAUUCCGAAAACAACAAUGCUAAUUUGGCAUAGAAACAUAUGUACUUAUAUAUACAUACGAUUGUUUUUCAAAUAUGGCAAUACCAAAAUGUUUUGCAUGACAAUUUUUCUUUCUCUUGUUUCUUGCUCCUCUUGCCUUGUUCAUUUCUAGAACUUGCAAGAAUGCGAGUGAUCGAAUUAGACACCUUCAUUUCCAUCAAAUAUAACAGUUCCAUAUAUCACNNNNNNNNNNNNNNNNNNNNNNNNNNNNNNNNNNNNNNNNNNNNNNNNNNNNNNNNNNNNNNNNNNNNNNNNNNNNNNNNNNNNNNNNNNNNNNNNNNNNNNNNNNNNNNNNNNNNNNNNNNNNNNNNNNNNNNNNNNNNNNNNNNNNNNNNNNNNNNNNNNNNNNNNNNNNNNNNNNNNNNNNNNNNNNNNNNNNNNNNNNNNNNNNNNNNNNNNNNNNNNNNNNNNNNNNNNNNNNNNNNNNNNNNNNNNNNNNNNNNNNNNNNNNNNNNNNNNNNNNNNNNNNNNNNNNNNNNNNNNNNGAUCACAGAAAAGAAAAAAAGCAAUCUAAAUCACAAAAUCCAAUUGCCGCCGAGAAGACAACAUUUUCUUCAAACGAAAUGGACUUUCAGGAUGCCAAUUUAGAGGAAAUUUUAUAGCCCUCAGUGACAUGACAUGACAUGACGACAUGAGAUCAAUAUGGUUAAUUAGGAUAAGGGCAAGACAACUCUUGACUGAAAACAUUAAUCAAACACACACAAAUUCAUUGGUUACAAUCAAAUGGCUAAAAAUAAUUUGGCUGGUUUUAUUGUCUAAAAUUUAUUAUAAAUGUGUUAGUUGAUUACAGGAAAUAAGGUUAUAUAUGCCCUUUGUAGCAAAGCAUUAUGUAACACAAAUUAACGAUAUAUCUCGUAUGAUCUAUGCAUGGCCCAUGCAACAAAGUUCUACAUUUGCAUCACUCCAUUUACUUCCUUAAAUCUGUUCUAAAAAAGUAUUACAUGUUCAAGGUUUUACUAUUUUAGCUAUAUUGCCACUAAAAAUAGUCAGCCACGCUCAACAAUAGGAGCAACCUCAAUUAAACACCACAUUUCAGCCAUUUACAUUUUUACAACUAAGUUACUCUUUGAGAAGAAGAAAACUGCAACAAAGACAUGCUUAUUUGCACACAAGAAAACAUGUUAAGGCUAAGAGAGCUCACAUCAAAGUCGUCCCCUUCGACCUUCUGGACAUCAUUUCCAUGUGUCCUUCUACCCUUCCAUUUCGCACUUUAUUACUAUGCUCUUCAUUGUAUUCCAAAUAACAGAAGCGCAUCUCUGUGUUAUUUACACCUAUUGCAAAAUUGACAAUUUUACGGAGCGGCCAAAUCACCUCCCCUGCAGCGGUCUCCUCUAUGCAUUCAUCACGAGAUAUAACACAGAUAAAUAUGAUUAAUAUCUCUUCCCUUAGACUAGCCACGCUAUGACUCAGCACAAGUACUUUGAACACUACAAAUGUAGCAUCAAGCGGUACACUUCCCUUCACCAAGACUAUACUCCCCAGAAAAGGUCAUGUCCCACUACUCCAAAAAAAGGGUCAUGUUCCACCAAUCUUUCUCAGUAAAUCUGCAAGGAGGCUUCUACGUUCCACAUACACCAUCUCUGUAGUACUUAAAACACACCGGUCAACACUACUUUUAAAGCACAACAAAAAGAGGGAAAGUUCUACACAACACAUAGGUAGAAUCAUCCAAACUUCCUCAUGUCCCAUUAUCUGGAACGCCCAACAUUGUUCUGCGGCCAUAUUUUUAAUAAAAGAUACAACUCUCCACACUUCACGAUCAGCACACGGCUAACCCUAUUUAAACUCAUUAAACCCCUGCUACACGCACAAGCGUUUGGUGGCAUAACUUAACAUGUACAACCAUUGUAGACUCACAUCACAACUUUCCUUAGACAUAAAUGAACAGAUGAGCUAAGGAUUCGAAGAGCUAUCAAUUUAACAGGAGAAAAAUCAACAACAACAACAACAACAACAAAUUAUAUACUCCCCGAGGAAACGCACAAGCCCCACCCGCGCACAACAUCAUUAGUAUUUCCACCCGAGGAAACGCACAAGACCCACCCGUGGUCGCAUUCUAAUAGGAGUACAAGCCGAGAUGUAGUUUCGGCUAGAAGCAUGAGUGCCGGGAUAGAAAAACUAGAUCAAAUAAGAACAUUUGGUAGCAAGUACAGGAAAGCCUAUUUACCAAUGCAAGGAAGAACUGAACCACUGCAUGAUAAUGCAUACAUUAUUUUUCUGCUAACCUUUGCUUGCAUUGGCUCGUCUGAAUCUUCAGAAACAAACACCUGUCGGCUGGCCCAUCAUCCUCUCACAUCUGCAUCACAAGGUUCAAAAGAAAAUUCCUCGACUCGACAGAGUGGUAACAUGCCAAGGGAGAGAGAGAGAGAGAGAGAGAGAGAGAGAGAGAGCAGGUGAGGAGGGACCAAACCAACCAACCUGAGUAUGGCCGAGGAGUCAAAGAGCGUGGCCACUCGAGUAGACAAGAUCAUGGUGUCGCUCGCUCACCAACGGAGCAUCUCUCAACAUCAUGUGAUUGCCGGACACCGCAUCGGCUAGCCGGCAGCUUGAUGUACUUGUUUUGUGCUGCCUCGAGGAGAAAGGAGGAGUUGGUGGUUGGCGCUUAGUCGAUCGACACAUAGAAGGGGAGAACCGUGUGGCGCGAGAGAAAAAGGCGGGCUGGACAUAUAUAGUGUGAGAUGAGAAGAUGGUGUAGGCAGAGAGUGGGCAGGGACGCGGAGAGACGUCGGAUGAGAGGGUGAUCCGCGUGAGGAGGCGGCCACCAAUGGAUGGAACAGGAUGGAGGGAGUAAUGGAGGAAGAGGAGGAGGCGGGAGCGAUAUACUUCCUAGGGGUCUGCGUUGGUUGGUUUGGGAAGUUGUGUUUCUUAACUAAUACGUGCUCCCUCCCUUAAAUAACGCAAGUAGUAGGUAUGUAGUUUUCAUUUAUUCCUGCCUUAUUAAUUAAUUAAUAACUAUUGUCAAUGAAUCACGUCAAAUCUUGUGUUAUUCCCUAAUCCUCUCCGCCCUUGCAUCUCUUAACAAACUUGCGUAUUUGAACGCAUGGUCGAGCUGAGUAUAACAUGAAGAGUAUACAUAGGAGUAUAACAGAAAGAUGCUACGUACCUACACAGAUUCAAUUCGAAUGAUCACAUGAUCGAGCUGAGCCAUCAUCAAGACUCGUGAGGUUUGAGCUUGUCCCCAUCAAUUCGAAGUAGUAAUUUGAACAUAAUUAUUCAUUAACACGCACUACAGAUUGAUUAUCUUCAACUUGCUUGUCACAUAAUCUUCAUGCAAAAAAUAACAAAAGAGAAAAGGAUCCAAAUCCAACCCGAGGACAAGCUCAAACCUCACAAGCGAGCGACGAAGAAAACCAACCCGAGGACAAGCUCAAACCUCACAAGCGAGCGACGAAGAAAACCAACCCGAGGACAAGCUCAAACCUCACAAGCGAGCGACGAAGACAGUUUCGACACUAAAACUAGCAUCCAUCCAUGUUCGUUUGUCAAGGAGGACAAGAACAAACCCCGCAUAAAAAAGGAGGACAAGAACAAGACCCAUCCAUCCAUGAUUGUCAAAGGAGGAAAAGAACUGCCAGCCAAAUAAUCCUCUGCUUACAUACAAACACCACUCCAGUCUCUUUUUCAAGUCUAAUGGUAAAUCUGAAUGCAAGCAAGCAGUUGUUUUCCAAUAAUCAUCACACAGUUGCUUUCCACAUCAACGUACUAGAUAGACAGACAGACAGAUAGAUAGGUAUCUAUAUAUUAUUUUCAGGCACCACUUUUUAUCAUAUAAAUAAAUACUCGGUAAAUGAAUGAACGAGCUGGCAUUCAUGCAUUCCCUCAUUCAUGGAGAGUUAACCAUUUGAUUCAUUCAACCAGUCCAAUCUCUUGACAUGCACUGACCAAAAAAACAAUCCAAAUUUUACAACACUAUGUAUGUAGCAGUAGCAAUCCCUCCCUGAGACGAGACCUUUCAACAUAUAUCACCAUUCCAUCCAAUUUUUCACAACUCCCCGACGGAAAAGAAAAACACGAAAACGCCUAUCUGUUAUCUUCAAGAUUCGCUGGCCUAGGCCUCCUUGUAUUUCAACCUGUGUAGACAGCACAAGUUCUAUCUGUUGAUUGCUGAGACACGUCAAGCGAGUUCCCCCCUGCCUUCAACCAAUUGGGCCACCUCCUCGCAAGAUCUCCAAGGACUCUCUAGACCGGCAAGGCGUAUUGUAUUCGGCCAGAUCCAUUGGUGGUCGCUCACCAUCAUCCAUCCAUUCCAUGACAUGGAACCUGACAGCCAUAGGAACAAAUCAGAGCUUCAAAUCCACACACAAGUUAAAAAAUCGGUGGCCACAGCAACUUCACAAACUAAAUCUUCUCCAGUGAGUGAUAAAAAAAGAAACUAGAAAAUCUCACACAAACUGUUGUUUCAUACUAUUAUAAGGAAGACGACAAAAGCAACAUCAUCAUGCUUUGAUCAAAACCCCUUUAAAACAAGAGCAACCCUUCAGUUGUACAUAAGCUAGCAAAACUAACGACGGACAGUCGCAUAAUCCAAGUGCCGGCAGGCAUCAUCUUUGACAUGCUGGUGGUGGCAUAGCUUUGCCACAAAAGUACUGCAAGCAUCAACCUCACAAACAAAAUGUUUUCUAGUGACUGAUCCAAAGACACUAGACAAUCCAACACCAAGUGUUGGCUUAUACUACAACUAGGAGAUGGCAACAAACAAUAGCAUGCUUUGCUCAAAACCAAAAAGGAGAGGGAAAACCAAGAUGCCCAACCAUUGAGCUAGCGAAAAUGAAGAUGUACGGUCACAUACACCCAAGUAAGUGUUGGCGGUGCCACUAUGGCAUCACCUUUCAGAGGCUGGUGGCAUAGCUUCGUAAGGAAAGAAAUAUAGUGUGCAACUACUUCUACAAAGCAAUGUAUCAGGGGGUGCAGGAAACAUCAUUGGAGCUCUUAGUAUCACCUUUUUCAUCCAAAAAACACACCACGCCCCCUAAUUAGUGUUAUCCUACAAAGAAAAGAUCAUAAAAGAACCCCAGGAAAGUUAUUCUCUCUAGUUCAGUAAUUGCUUCCAAACAAAACUGAGAAGCACCACCAAAAGCCGAUUCAUGCCCCUGAGACGACCAAAUCGAAUGCCUCUACUUGCCAUGCUGCUGCAAGCAAAGAAACUAAAACCUAGAGCUAGUACAUGCUAUAUCUAAAUAGAAAUGAACAGUUAUUACAGUAAAACAACCCACUGUGUCAAUUACAGAAAAUUAACCACGAAGAGAUGACUGACUGCAAAUACAAUAACCAGAGGUCAUAGCAAGCAUCAAUUAGCACCUAGCACAAGUUAAUUGACCUUUAACAAUAUCAAUUCAAGCCAACUAAUAGAAACAGUAGCAAAACCCUGACCAUAGAACAGCAGUGGCUCGACGCCCUUGAAUAGGAGCAUGAUAUAAGCCGUGGCUUGAUGGCCACGAGCUAAGAGCAGGAAGGAGCGAGGGAGGCAGAGGAAGGAGAAAAGGAGGAACUCACCAGAUUAGUUUGUGGCUGAUGCCCUGCACAACCGCCACAGUCACGCGAUGGAGGAAGCCACCAAAGGAGGCGCAUGCACCCCAUGAUCACCAGGCGCAGGAGCACCAUCCAGGAGGCGGAUCCGUGCGUUUAAGCACGGGAGGCGACCAAGAGGAGCCGCCAAAGGACAAUCUUUUUGGGCCGGACAGAGAGACGCGGCCAGAUCUUCCGUUAGAAGUUUCGUGAGAAAUCUGGUAGCAGAAUUCAUAAGUAACUUGUUAGGUCACUAGAUAAUGGUGAGACCUUUCUAUCUCAAAGCAUAUAAAAAUGAUAUCUUUCUACGAUAAAGAGUUGAGCCUGAAGGAAUAAAAUCUGGCAAUAACUAUAGAAUUGUUCUGAAGCACGAUACAUGCAAUGUAACGCAACUUCAAUUAGAAUAUGUUCACCACUUAAUCUGAAACACACCUUGUCUUCUGGAAAUAUGAACCACGACUACUGCAGAUUCACUAAUCUGUUAUUCAAUAUUCAUAUAAGGAUAAUAAAUCGAGUAACUAGCUGAAUGCAAGCUGGGACAAAAUGUAAUAUUGAUAGAUCAAACGAAUUUAUAUCAAGUGUUCUAUCACCUAAUAAGUGCACCAGUACAUGCAAAGCUCAUCGGUACUGAACCUCCUAUAACUCAAUAAAGCAAUGGAGGUUAGGCGUGAGGGGGUCAGAGUGGAUAUGCAGGUGGGCUGAGGACCUGAGUUCUACAUCAGCAUGUCAUUUUCCACAAACAAAAAAAGCAAGCCCAGCAUGUAACCAUGAUUCUGCAAAGACAUUUUAGACGAUAGUGCUUACAUUGACAGAAGAGGAAUUGCUGGAGGAGGCAAGCGCCAUGUACAUGCAAAAAAUAGUGCAUUGUUAGCAAAGAGUCAAAGUAAUCGCUGGCCAAGUAAUCGAAGAGAUACGAAAAAGUAUAUGGGCUCACAAUCUCCCAACAGAGCAUGAGCAAGAGCUAAUGAAAUAUAGCUGGUAUAAGAAACUGUAACAUGUUGAAAUUGUUCUGCAUGCAGAAACUCACAAAAUUAAGACUUAGAAAAUCUACAGUCCUAAAGACUACAUAUCCUCUCAUUUUGUUUCAACCAUCUCAAUGCCAGUGGGAAUGAAUGCUAGACCUAGCUAUGUGCAGAAGAGAGGGGGUAAUAUCUUCAGUUCACUUGUGUCUAACAUGUCCCACGCCCCAAUCUUAAGAAGUACAUGAAUAGUCCAAACUUAUCAAACUAUAUCGCCUAAAUUUCAUUCGUAAGUGAAACUAGUUAAGAGGUGCCAGCCAAAAUUAAUUGACCACAAAAAUCAAGGAAUAAGCUGCAAAUGGGGAAUGUAAGGUUGCAUAAAGCAAUUGCAUACCCAUAAAAAAGCCGGAACAGCGACAGCUCUAACUUUAUCUUCGGAAGUGACACAAAUGCCAAGACACGGCUCCCCCACGCACGGUUCUGUCCAAAUAAACCUUAGUUUAACCCACAGCUCCACAUCGAUAUCAGAAUCUCAAACCCAGACUGGCACGACGAUUGGUACAGCACUGAACUUCAAGGAGAGGGCCAACGCCAUGCGUGCAAUGCCAGCAUAACGGAUGCCAAUUUGGUACCUGAAAUACACAAUGAAUUAGCCAAUUCUAACUUCUUUUCUCUACCGAUGGGUAAUACCAAGAUACACACAAUUCUGGCAGCAAUGUCUCCUUGAAGGAAAAAUAGCCUGAACAAGUUCAUAAGGCAGUCUGCUUCCACACCUUUAAAGCUAUCUAACAUUUCAGCAAGAUUCCAAUCAGAAUAUCCUCUUGCAUCUCCAAACUAAAGGUUUCAAGUACCACACCAUGACACUAUUUACACAAAACAGAGCACGCUUACUGGUAAAACUAAUACACCGAUAUAAAGGUCUUCUUCACACUCUAGCAGGGCCUUAGAAAAAAGGAAAUGGCAAACAAAGCAUGAGAUAUGAAUGUAACAGUAGAUCGUUAACCUUAAACAGUAGCCAAUUGAGCUAAUUAAGCUCAAACGGUACCAAAACUCUAACCCUAGAUCAUCCAUGGUUCGAUGGCCAUGAAACAGAGCAUGGUACAUCCAUGGCUGGAUGGCCAUGAGUUCAGAGCAGAAGAGAGGGAGCCAGAGAUAGGACACUGAGCCGAGAAGAACUCACCGGAGAGGUUGUAGCUGAUGCCGCACACAACCACCGCGGUAGAGGAGGUCGCCUCAAGAGGCACAGCUGUGCCAGAGACACCUCCAGGCAUGCAGCAGACCAUAAGAACCAGAUAAACCCCUCCGCAGGUCUAGUGCAACCUGCAUUACAGAAGGUAAAACAGCAAGUUAGGGAUUAAACAAAGGAAAAUAAAAGGGAAGUCAACAAGGCAUGGAUGAACCAAUGAAAGAAAUAUAAGUGCUCAGGCACAUCAACAAGUUGGGCCUACAAAUUGACAUGUCACUUAACUAUCACUGAAGCAAAGACACUGGAUUUCAUAAAAUUGAAUCAUAUCUGAGAAACAGAUUGGGCAGUAAGAAAUGUUGAUGCGAUGACCAAUCAAGUAAAACAUGACCUUGGAUUAUAGUAGGUGAGAAAAUUAGGAGAAUAACUUCUCAUUCAUUGACUUCUUUCCUUGCACAACCAACCAAAAGGUAUGAUUGAUUGUUCUUAUAUGUGAAGCAGUCCAUGCCGACGAAUGCAGAAGGAAAACUAUUUUUAUACAUGAACCGAUGCAGAUAACAUAGCAUGUUUGAAACAAAGUUAUGUUUGCUAAUAGAUGAAAAGGAGUAGGCCUUAUUAUGGUUUAUGGAGACCAUGACUUCUAAGAAAUAAAGUGGAACUCGAUAAAUUUUUAAGGAUCAAAGUCUGUUCGACAUGGCAACAUGGACCCACACAACACUAAGCAUGCCAAAAAGGGAAUACCAGGAAAUGCAGUUGCACAAGAUUAAGAAAGAACCAAGCAAUGUAGAUUUUCUUAUUUCCAGAAGCAACCCAAACAAUAGUUGCAUCAAGAGCAGCAACUGUAUGUAUGUGCAUUAGAUGAGCACUCCAGAUCUAAUUUGAGUGUCCUUUAGAUGUCGAAUCCCAAUUUCAUGCUGCGCCAUAUGUGAUGAUAACCAUGGAAAGAUUGUGUGAUUAUGUUCAUAAUCAUGCCCUUUGUGCUCACUCUUUUCAAGAUGGACUUUGUUGGUAUUCUAGAGAAUACAGUUCCAAAUCUUUGUGUUAGGAUGUCUUUGUGCUGUUAAACUUUGACUAUUCUUGAUAUUAUUGGUAACACUUGAUUUUUGGGAGUGGUGUUCAACUACAAAGAUAAUAGAGCUGCAGUAUAACAGGGCAGUGAAAUUUGAUAAAUCAUAGAAGAAACCAGCAUAAUCCUAGGUUGCAAGGUAGCAAACUAUUGCCAUAGAAAGUUGCCACCUUUUCAACAUCCGGUUUGUCCACUGUGAUCCCGCCACGGGGCGAAGAACAUGAACAUCAAGUCGGGAAACAGUCAAUGGUGAGCUAGACUAUAGGUCAACAAAAAUAAACCCUUUAUGCGCUUAAUAACUAGAUGAAUGAAUGUCAGAGCUAGAGAUCAUUAAUGUUCGUUAUCCAGGAAAUACAAAACUUUGGAUUAUUGAAUGCAUUCUGAAUUCUCACUAUACAAGGGGAUCACUUGAUUGGCCAGGUCUAAUUUACACUAUAGGGUCUUAACAAUUAUAAAUCCAACUGAAGUUCCUACAAUUUUGCCCUGUAUCAUAGAUCAAGACCACGAUUUUAACAAGAGAUAUCUAGUCAGUCCAAUUGAACAAAACAUGGACAGUAGCAUUCUGAGUAUUUAAGCGGAUAUGUAGCAGGCAAUCAACUGGAUAUAUGGAGAAGAUUAAUAAAAUGGGGCAAUCAACUGCUCAGGCGUGGGGUCCUGGUCGUCGAUGAAGAGCCCCUGCUGCCCCAAAUCAAACAAAUAAUUAGGAUAAGACCACCAAGAAUAGGAGCACUAACCAAACAGUGCCUAUCCCGUAGCAAUUUUAGGCGGCGAGCUCGGUGAGGUACAAACUGAGACGCCAUUCAAUCAGUAGCAAAACAAGCUUAUUACCUAGCAAGUACAGUAGUACGUGACCAUCCAUCAUGCGCACACGCAUCAUGCAGGACCAAUAUGAAUAUUUUGUGUAAGGGAGACAUCAAAACCUUGUUUUUGCAGGACUAAAGAGCUCUUGAAAGUUGUGAAGAUACGCAAAGAAUUAGCUAUAGUACCCAGUAGGACUAGGCAGCAUCCAGCAAGCACUGACAGGACACACAUUUUGGUAACAAAAUGGUAAGAGUAUCAUCAGGAUCAUUACUCUCCCUCUUGCUGAAGUAACAUGUUUGUUGUUUCUGCUCCAUGGCUGUCCUAAACAAAAACCCCACGAAAACCUGAAGAAGAAUAAAAAGCUAGUUAGGCGAAAACGCAGCAAACCAAGAUGGCUUGGUCUAAAAGGCUUCAACUAAAAGCUAGUAGUUAGGCUGGAAUCUAAAUGCAGCCUGUGCACAUUUGUUGCACAUGUCAAAUCAGCAAUGAAUGAAUGAGCUGCUUUUGCAGCACAGCAAGCAAAUGCAAGGAAACACUCAAUUUGGAACAGAAGGAAGCCCGGUUUUAUACAAGCAAAGAUUAAAGGUUGAAUGUUCAACGGCUCAUAUAAUAUGAUGGUAAGAAAAUGAGGGCAAUUGCGGCAUCAAACAGAUUGGCAACAAGAUUUACUCAUCUUGGGCAUGGAGAGCUCUAUGCAAAUUGAACCAAGCCAAUGGAUGAAUUUGGCCUAAGCAGGACCAACCCAAUACCAUGGCAAAAACUAGUUGCAUGCAAGCUCAGUUGAUGAAUUUGUUAAAGCUGAGAUAAAAAAACAGGGCCUGAACCAUCCGUGUGUGUGUGUACCUUUCUCUCUCUCUCUCUGAAACCAAGCAUGUAUUUAUGUAUGUACAAAGUAAACUGCAACCAAAUUAAAUGGAAUGCAAACCAGAAAAUGGAAUGCAAGAUCACAUGACAAUUGUACGGAACAUGACAAUUGUACGGAACAUGACAAUUGUACAGAACAAAAACAAAUAUAGUCAAUGCAACCUGUGUGUCAAGUUGAAGGAGAAUAUAAGACAUGAAUUGCAAUAUAUGUUUCUCACCAGAAACAAUUUAAACAAAGAAGAGAUAACUAGUCAGUCAACUGAACAAAAUGUGGACAGUAGCUUUCUGAGUAUUUAAGCAGAGAUGUAACAGGCAAUCAAAUGAAAAUAUAUGGAGAAGAAGAAUGAAAUGAGGCAAUCAACAGCUUAGGUGUGUGGUCCCGGUCGUCGAUGGAGAGCACCUGUUGCUCCAAAUCAAACAAACGAAUAUGUUUAGCCCACCAAGAAGGGGCGUACUAACCAAACAGCAGCAAUUUUAGGCGGUGAGCUAGAUGAGGUACAAACUGAGACACCAUUCAAUCAUUCGGUAGCAAAACAAGCUUAUUAGCUAGCUAGUAAAGUAGUACAUGGCUACCCAUCAUGCACACACGCAUCAUAUAGGACCAGAUAUGAAUAUUUUGUGUGAAGGAAACAUCAAAACCUUGUUUUGGCAGGACUAAAGAAUGCCUGAAUGUUGUGAAAACACACAAAGAAUUAGCUAAUAGCUAUACUAACCAGUAGGACUAGCUGGCAUCCAGCAAUCAUUGACAGGACACAUAUUUCAUUUAACAAAAUGACAAGAGUAUCAUCAGGAUCAUUACCCUCUUGCUUAAAUAGCAUGUUUGUUCUUUGUGCUUCGUGGCUGUCCUAAACAAAACCCCUUGAAAACCUGAAGAAGAAUAAAAGGCUAGUUAGGCAAAAACGCAGCAAACCAAGAUGGCUUGAUCUAAAUGGCUUCAAAUAAAAGCUAAUCAGGCUGGAAUUUAAAUGCAGGCUGUGCACAUUGAUUGCACAUGUCAAAUCAGCGGUGAUGAAUGAGCUGCUUUUGCAGCACAGCAAGCAAGUGCAAGCAAACACUCCAUGCACAACAGAAGAAAGCCUUGUUUUACAGAAGCAAAGAUUAAAGGUUGAAUGUUCAGCGGCACAUAUAAUAUGAUGGUAAGAAAAUGACGCCAAUUGUGGCAUCAAACAGUUUUGACCGCAAGAUUUUCUCAUCUUGGGCAUGAAGAGGUCUACGUAAAUUGAACCAAGCGAAUGGGUCGAUUUGGCCUAAGCAGGACCUUGGAAAUUUGUGAACGAUCUGUCCCAUAUCUUAAGCAAUGCAAAUAUCAUCUAUUAGCAUUCGAACCAAGAACUGUCAAAGAUAAAUUAGUUUUGAUCUAGUGAAAAAUUGUUAAUUAAUGAAUCCAUUCUGAUGUAAUAGCAUAAUCUGAGCAACAUUUUUGGUUGAUGAAAAAGUAUCCAUGUUCAAAAUCAUGGGCACAAGCAUCAGUGAUUAUCUGUGAAUAAUUUCAUAAGAACUAUCGAUAAUCUAAGCACCAUUGUCUUCUAAUAUUCAUCACAUACACCAGUUGGCGCUUAAAGUCUCGAAUUUGGGAAGAAGAAUAUGGAUUAAAUUCCGUCCGUGACACCCUAGUGUCAGAAUAGGAAUUACUCCUAGUUUAAUUAAGGAACGGUACAGUUGACAGCCCGUGACGCUGCAUGUGAAGGGCACAGAUUAAGUCCUACGAGGUGCAUGGCCUCUACUAUCCAUUUUAGCAUUGUCACAUAGCCACAAUAAUUGAUCGAAUCCCUGUGACAUGGACAUCUCUGAACAAAGUUUCAGUUUUCUCACGCUUGGUGCAGUAUAGAAGCAAACUGGGCAUCAAAUUUGUGAGGAAUAAAACUCACGGCUGGACGGCCUUGACAGCCAGAGCAUGAGAGAGAGGGAGAUUGGGGGCGCUCCAUGGCGUCAGAGCAGCGGCGCGCCGUGAAGAUGCACAUUGAGCGGCGUGCCGGGAAGAUGCACACGGUGGUCUGCGCGCGUGAGGAAAACGCAUCAGGGAGAGACCAAAUCGAAACCAAGAGUGGGAGGGAGGAGAAGAGGGACCUUGACGAAGAAGAGACCUUCCAUGGCUGGUGGUUGUGGAGAAGGAGACAGAGGUGGGGUCAGGUGCCGUGGUCGCUGGCUGCAGCUCGAGCAGAGGAGGAGGCGGGCCACGGCGUUCGGAGAGAGAAGGCGGCCGUCCCCCUCACUCCUACUCUCCCGGUCGGCGCGGCGCAGCUCGACGACGAAGUCGCUGGCGCAUCUGGACGUGCCAUGGCCGUCGCCUGACCUCCUCGGUCGAUCACCGUCCCUCCCUCCGUCCCUCCCUCAUGUCUUGUGANNNNNNNNNNNNNNNNNNNNNNNNNNNNNNNNNNNNNNNNNNNNNNNNNNNNNNNNNNNNNNNNNNNNNNNNNNNNNNNNNNNNNNNNNNNNNNNNNNNNNNNNNNNNNNNNNNNNNNNNNNNNNNNNNNNNNNNNNNNNNNNNNNNNNNNNNNNNNNNNNNNNNNNNNNNNNNNNNNNNNNNNNNNNNNNNNNNNNNNNNNNNNNNNNNNNNNNNNNNNNNNNNNNNNNNNNNNNNCGGCGAGGUCUGACCGAGGGAGACGGGGCGGUGGGUGGCGGCGGCAGUGUAGGUUCCUCUGUGAAUGUGAAUGGGGAUUGGGGAGCGGGCUGGGGUUGGGUGGGACUGGUUUCGUUUCCCUUUCUUUUUUUUCUCUAAGAAAAAGGAGGACUGUUUUCGUUUCGGUGAGGAGCGUCGUGAUUCUUUCUGAUUGGUGAGUGUGAUUGGUGAAUGGACAUCACACACGGAUCGAUCCUCUCUCCGGCGAAUCCCAACCACCCGACCACAUCCAACGGCAGUGGCAAACUCAUACUCCUGCGACUAGGAUUGAGAGAUUAAUUUCAGCCCGGAGAGCCCGGAAAGUGCUGUUUCCCAGGGCAUUGAGUGCUGCUCUUCCAUUGGUCGAUCAUCGUCUCUCACGCCUCGUGAAUCGAUCCUAAUCGCACGCUCGCAUCCGAUAAAAGAGAGCAAGCUGACCGAGGCACUCAAUUAAUAUUCCGUCCGGUUUUUUUACUUUGCAUAUAAGAAUUCUCUGAAGUCAAACUUCGUAAAGUUUGACCAUAUUUAUAUAAAAAAUAUUAACAUCUACGAACAAUGCUAAAUUUAUAUAAUAUGAAAACCAAAGUCAUCACGCACCUAAUGUUGUUGAUUUCACAUUCUGAAUGUUCGUAAAAUUUUCUAUAAACUUGGUCAAAGUUUACGAUGUUUGACUUCAGACAAAUCUUAUAUGCGAACUAAAAAGGACCGGAGGAAGUACAUAUCGAACAUGUGCAUCAACCGAAGCAUGCCCACAGUAAGAGGUCAUUUUCAGUGCUCCAAGGUGUACCGGUGCUAAGGGUGCCACAUAGGCAAAAAAAAAUGAUGUGGCAGAGCAAUUAAAUAUGAGAGAGUAUUAUGGUGACCCCAGAAGAAAACGAUACUAAGAGGGUGCUUGGAUCCAAGGGACUUAUUUUAGUCUGACUAAAAAUAGUCGCUUUAAGAGGCUAAAGUUCCAAGCACCCCUGACUAAAGAGGGGCUAAAACUAGUUUUGAGACUAUAAUUUUUUAGUCAGGGGUACCCCUACUAAAAUGUGGAUUAGUCCUCUCUCUCCUCAUUUAACUCCUCUCCUUUAACACAGACGAGUUCUGGAUUGGAGGGUUUGGAGGAUAAUAAAUGCUCAUUAACUUGAUUUUAGUCUCUUUAGUAUUUGGAUCCAAGCAUGGAUGAUUCCCACUACUUUUAGUCAUGAGACUAAAACGUAUCCAAGCACCCUCUAAGUGCGUGGACCUAUGCAAAAUGAGUACUCACCUUAGCACCAUUUGAUCAAUGCAUGAAGGUGUUUUGAUGUUAAAACAUUAAAUAAGGAAGGCUUAGCUACAAAUGUUAAGCACCAAUGCAUUGGGGAGAGUGGUUGCUAAGCUCUUUAAUGCAUUUAGCACCCCACCUUAGCACCAAUGCAUUGGAAGAGGCCUGAAUACUUUUGGAUGGCCUCAUGCACGCCGCCCACCACACGACCACUAAGUAUUGACACAAUAUAGUGGGUGUUAUUGAUAGGUGUCGUCGUCUCGUUUCAAAUCGGAAACAAUGUAAUAUUAUUAUCACAUGUUGAAUUUUGCAAAUAAAAUUAAAUGUUUACCCAACCUAUAACCUUGAGAUGUGGUGGAAACACAUGGUGGGAGUAAUGAACAGGAGAAAUAUGUGUUGGGGAUCGUAGCAGAAUUUUAAAAUUUUCCUACGCUCACCAAGAUCCAUCUAUGGAGUAUACUAGCAACGAGGGGAAAGGAGUGAAUCUACAUACCCUUGUAGAUCGCGAGCGGAAGCGUUCCAAUGAACGAGGUUGACGGAGUCGUACUCGCCGUGAUUCAAAUCACCGAUGACCGAGUGCCGAACGGACGGCACCUCCGCGUUCAACACACGUACGGUGCAGCAACGUCUCCUCCUUCUUGAUCCAGCAAGGGGAAGGAGAGGUUGAUGGAGAUCCAGCAGCACGACGGCGUGGUGGUGGAUGUAGCGGGAUGUCGGCAGGGCUUCGCCGAGCUUCUGAGAGAGAGAGAGGUGUUGCAGGGGAGGAGGGAGGCGCCCAAGGCUGUUGUAUUGCUGCCCUCCCUCCCCCCCCUUUAUAUAGGCCCCCUGGGAGGGGGGGCGCCGGCCAGAACCCAUCUGGAUGGGGGGGGGGGCGGCGGCCAGGGGGGGACUUGCCCCCCAAGGCAAGUGGGGCGCCCCCCCACCCUAGGGUUUCCAACCCUAGGCGCAGGGGGGAGGCCCAUGGGGGGCGCCCCAGCCCACUAGGGGCUGGUUCCCUUCCCACUUCAGCCCAUGGGCCCCUCCGGGAUAGGUGGCCCCACCCGGUGGACCCCCGGGACCCUUCCGGUGGUCCCGGUACAAUACUGGUGACCCCCGAAACUUUCCCGGUGGCCGAAACUUGACUUCCUAUAUAUAUUCUUCACCUCCGGACCAUUCCGGAACUUCUCGUGACGUCUGGGAUCUCAUCUGGGACUCCGAACAGCUUUCGGGUUUCCGCAUACUCAUAUCUCUACAACCCUAGCGUCACUGAACCUUAAGUGUGUAGACCCUACGGGUUCGGGAGACAUGCAGACAUGACCGAGACGCCUCUCCGGUAAUAACCAACAGCGGGAUCUGGAUACCCAUGUUGGCUCCCACAUGUUCCACGAUGAUCUCAUCGGAUGAACCACGAUGUCGAGGAUUCAAUCAAUCCCGUAUACAAUUCCCUUUGUCAAUCGGUAUGUUACUUGCCCGAGAUUCGAUCGUCGAUAUCCCAAUACCUUGUUCAAUCUCGUUACCGGCAAGUCUCUUUACUCGUACCGCAAUGCAUGAUCCCGUUACUAACGCCUUAGUCACAUUGAGCUCAUUAUGAUGAUGCAUUACCGAGUGGGCCCAGAGAUACCUCUCCGUCAUACGGAGUGACAAAUCCCAGUCUCGAUCCGUGCCAACCCAACAGACACUUUCGGAGAUACCCGUAAUGCACCUUUAUAGUCACCCAGUUACGUUGUGACGUUUGGCACACCCAAAGUACUCCUACGGUAUCCGGGAGUUGCACGAUCUCAUGGUCUAAGGAAAAGAUACUUGACAUUGGAAAAGCUCUAGCAAACGAAACUACACGAUCUUUUAUGUUGUGCUUAGGAUUGGGUCUUGUCCAUCACAUCAUUCUCCUAAUGAUGUGAUCCCGUUAUCAAUGACAUCCAAUGUCCAUAGUCAGGAAACCAUGACUAUUUGUUGAUCAACGAGCUAGUCAACUAGAGGCUUACUAGGGACACGUUGUGGUCUAUGUAUUCACACAUGUAUUACGAUUUCCGGAUAACACAAUUAUAGCAUGAACAAUAGACAAUUACCAUGAACAAAGAAAUAUAAUAAUAACCAUUUAUUAUUGCCUCUAGGGCAUAUUUCCAACAAUAUGGCGGGAUAUAUUGGAACGAGAAAUGAGCGGGAAACUGUGGUGGGAGAUAUUUGGCAGGAGAAAUUUGUGGGGAAAAGAGACAUGAGAUAUUAGGCGAGAGAAAACGACGAAAGAAAGGGAAGGAGAAAUGAGCGAGGAAAGAGUUAACACCAUCAUGGUAGUGUCAUGGGGCGUGAGUGCAACGGUCGACGGAUGCCCCAGCAAGAUGCCCGACACAAAAUUUGUCGUUCGUGUGUAACCAACUUUGAUGGGCACAUUGGGCGGUAGAACAUGGGAGGAGAAAUUAGCGAGAGAUGUUGACAUGACAAAUGGAUGAGAAAGCAUGGCUGAAGAUAUUUGGGUGGGAAAUAUGGUGGGUGUCAUUGGUAGGUGUCAUCGCCCCGUUUCGGCUCCAAACCAAUCACGAGGAUUCGUGACUUAAAAUAAUCUGUUGGGUUUAUGAUAUAUUAUAUAACCUUGCAUUAGGAUAAUAUUUUCAAUUUAUUUUAGUACUUGUUUCUUACUUUUCAUAACCAGAAAAAUUGUACUACUGUUAUCACAUGUUGAUUUUUUGCUUCUNNNNNNNNNNNNNNNNNNNNNNNNNNNNNNNNNNNNNNNNNNNNNNNNNNNNNNNNNNNNNNNNNNNNNNNNNNNNNNNNNNNNNNNNNNNNNNNNNNNNNNNNNNNNNNNNNNNNNNNNNNNNNNNNNNNNNNNNNNNNNNNNNNNNNNNNNNNNNNNNNNNNNNNNNNNNNNNNNNNNNNNNNNNNNNNNNNNNNNNNNNNNNNNNNNNNNNNNNNNNNNNNNNNNNNNNNNNNNNNNNNNNNNNNNNNNNNNNNNNNNNNNNNNNNNNAUAUUGGGAAGAGAAAUGAGCGUGAAAACAUGGUGGGAGAUAUUUGGCAGGAGAAAUCCGCGGUGAACAGAGGGAUAAAAGAGGCGAGAGAAAUUGAUGGAAAAAAAGUGCGGGAGAAAUGAGUGGGGAAAGACUCAACACCAUCAUGGUAGUGUCAUGGGGUGGGAGUGCAAACAUCUUCUCAUGAGAGUGGUGGUUCGCGGAUGCCCCAGCAAGAUGACUGGCGCUAAAAUGGUUGUUCGCGUGUAACCAACUUUGAUGGGCAUAUUGGGCGAAAACAUGGAGGAGAAAUGAUCAGGAGAUAUGAACGGGACAAAUGAGUGAGGAAACAUGAUUGAAGGUAUUGGGCGGGGAAAUAUGAUGGGUGUUAUUCGUAGGUGUCAUCGCCUUAUUUCGGCUCCAAACCAAUCACAAGGAUUCAUGACUUAAAAUAAACUGUGGGAUUUAUGAUAUAUUAUAUGACCUCGCACUUAGAUAAAUUUUAAAAUUUAUUUAAGUAUUCGUCUUUAUUACUUUUCAUAAACAUCAAUAAUGUAAAAUCAUUAUCACAUGUUCGAAUUUUGCAACUAAAAUGAAAAGUUUACCAACGUUUUAUCCUUAAGAUAUGACGGGAAACACAUGGCGGGAAUAAUGAGCGGGAAAAAAUACAGCGGGAUAUACUGGCAAGAGAAAUGAGCGAAAAAACAUGAUGGAAGAUGUUGGGCAGGAGAAAUCAGCGAGGGAAAGAGGCGGGAGAUAGUAGGCGAGAAAAAUCAAUGAAAAAAAAGGAUGAGAGACAUGAGCGGGAAAAGAGUCUGCAACAUCAUGACAGUAUCAUGGGUGGGAGUGCAAACAUCUUCUCAUGGGAGUGAUGGUCGCUGGAUGUUCUGGCAAGAUGCCGAACACUAAGGGCUCCUUUGAUUCAAAGGAAUUACAUAGGAUAUUUGGAGGGUUAGAAUCCUUAGGAUUUUUUCCUACGGUUGUCCUUUGAUUCAAAGGAUUGAAUCCUAUAGGAUUUUUUUCUAUGAAAUCAAGUGUACUACAUUUCAUUGGAAAUCAACCAUCCACUCCAACCUCUUUUUACAAUUCCUUUGUGUUUUCUAUGACAUCAAACCUUCUAUGCUAAUCUUAUAGGAUUCAAAUGGACAUGCCACUCAAAUCCUGUGUUUUUCCUAUUCCUACGUUCUGAAAAUCCUGUCAAAGAGGGCCUAAAAUGGUCGUUCGCGUGUAACUAGCUUUGAUGGGGCAUGUUGGGAGGUAUAACAUGGGAGGAUAGAUUAGCGGCUGAUACUGACAGGACAAAUGAGUGAGGAAACAUGGUUGAAGACAUUGGGCUGGAAAACAUGGUCUGUGUUAUUUGUAGGCGUCGUUGCCUAGUUUUGGCUCCAAACUGCUUGCCCCCUUCAUGCAAUAUUGACUCCAUACAUGUGUUUCCGCGCUUUGAUUGAUCUCCCAUGCGAUCCCACCAUCUUGUCGUUAGGAUUCAGGCAUCACGACUCCAUAUUCUAGUCGUGGACUCAUCGGCACUCGAUGACCAACAUCCAUGCCGCCCACAUCUUCCGGUCCGCGGAGCGAACACACCGUCGUCGCCGAGAGGCGGGUGACCGAAGCACGUGCCAAGAAAGGGGCAAGAAGUUAUUGUUGUUAUUUUGAUGCCUAUACAUAGCAGUCUGCAUAUAAAAUUUGAUUAAGGUCAAACUUUAUAAAAUUUGACUAAUUUUAUAUUAAAAAUAUCAACAUUCAACAAUAUGAAACCAAUAUUAGUAGAUGCAUUAUGAAAUUAAUUUUCAUACUUUAUAAUUUUAGUACGUAUUUGUAGAUGUUGAUAUUUUUUAUAUUAAUUUGGUCAAACUUUUGCUUAGUUUGACUUCAAACAAAUCUUAUACGCGAAGUAAAAAAAACUAAGGGAGUAUAUAUCAAAGAGCAUUGCGUCCAAGUUUGACUUCAAGCCCGGAAAUAGUCUUGUACGGAAAGUAAUAAAGCCCAAGAAAAAGAAAAAGAAUUACAUUAAUUAAUUAAAGAGGCUUUAUAUAGGUUGUAAAUCAGAUCUUCUUGCUACACGUGGCUUCAUCUAGCAUUUCCAGGAAAACAAAAAAGAAACAAAACGCCGUACGUAGUGGAUGCUUGUUUUUUUAAUGGUAAUACAUGUUUUAUUCAUAUCAUAAAGAACUAGUCACGUAAAAACCGAUAUGACAAAACUGAAAAGAUAGCAGAACAUCUCUGAGCUUGACACCAACGGCCGUCACCUGACCCCGGCACCACCACAGCAGCCACCGAAGAAAAGAAUGACGAAUCACCGCCUCACCCGAGCUCGACGCGGCUCCAUCGCUAAUAUGCAGCUUUGCGAACCUCCAAGAUGACUCACCAAAAAAUGAAGCCCUUGUCGUUGAAUGAAUCAGACCAGGGCAACACUCUGGACACGCCAUCGAACUCCAGAUCUGGCACCCCACCACGACUAAGACGCCGAAGGAGGAAACCACACCUGUCAUCCACGAACCACGAGCCCAGCUGAUAUUCCGUCUUUCUGAUAUCGUCGAUGCAGACCACAAUCUGCAUCCGCUCCUGGACCACUAGUACAAAACAGGGCUUUCGUCACAGGGCAAUAUUCACAUUAGUCCCGGUUCAGUCACGAACCGGGACUAAUGUGAGCAUUGGUCCCGGUUCGUGCGGCUAAGGCAUUAGUCCCGGUUCACCUGGGCCCUUUAGUCCCGGUUGGUGCCACGAACCGGGACUAAAGGGUGCGAUGCCCAUUAGUACCGGUUGGUGGCACCAACCGGNNNNNNNNNNNNNNNNNNNNNNNNNNNNNNNNNNNNNNNNNNNNNNNNNNNNNNNNNNNNNNNNNNNNNNNNNNNNNNNNNNNNNNNNNNNNNNNNNNNNNNNNNNNNNNNNNNNNNNNNNNNNNNNNNNNNNNNNNNNNNNNNNNNNNNNNNNNNNNNNNNNNNNNNNNNNNNNNNNNNNNNNNNNNNNNNNNNNNNNNNNNNNNNNNNNNNNNNNNNNNNNNNNNNNNNNNNNNNNNNNNNNNNNNNNNNNNNNNNNNNNNNNNNNNNNNNNNNNNNNNNNNNNNCGCCUUUUCGGUUUUAGAAAAAACAAAAGAAAAUGAUGGAAAUGUCAAAAAAAAAGUUUCCCAUGUGAUAUGUGGUCUAGUUGUUGGGAAAAUUAACAAAUAUGAAUUUCGACUUUAUUUGCAAAAUCUCUCUGGAAUUUCUUAAAAUGGGCAUAACUUUUGCAUACGAACUCGGAUGAAAAAGUUUUUUAUAUGAAAAAUCAUCUACUCGAAAAGUUACAUCCGAAUUUAACCGGGGGGACCCCGUUAAACAUUUUCAAAAUCCUCAAAACCUAACAGAAAAAAAGUUACGGGGCUUUUAAGAUCUGGAGAGGCAAAAAAAUGCAAAAAAAAUUCAAACUGUGGUCAAACAAUGGUCAAACUAAUUAUUCUAGAAUAUUAGUGUUACUAAAUAAUUAUUUUAGUUUUUUUAAUUUUGGUCAAAUCUGGUCAAACUGUGGUCAAACAAUGGUCAAACUAAUUAUUCCAGAAAUAUUAGUGUUACUAAAUAAUUAUUGUUUUUUAAACAAUAGUUUCAAACUCAAACAGUGAAAUAUGUCACUUCAUGCUCAAACUAAAUUCCUGAGGGUUAAUAGGAUUGACAUCUUACUAUUGUCAGGAAAACAACAUGUGCAGACUUGGAAACGAGGAAGAAUAGAACCCGGAAGUUAAGCGUGCUCAGGCUGGAGUAGUGAGAGGAUGGGUGACCGUCCGGAAAGUUAGAUGAUUUGGAAUGAUGAGGGAUGAUUAGAGAUUAGAGGAUAAAUUGAGUAGUGAUGAGGGGCGGUGAUUAGAGAUUAGAGGUUAAAAUAAUUCAAAAUUUUGAAAAUAAAAAAAAUUUAAAAAAAUCGCCAAUUUUUUUUUUUUAAAAAAUAUCAUAAAAUUUCCUUUAGUCCCGGUUGGUAACACCAACCGGCCUGUGAGAACCGGGACUAAAGGGGGAGGCAUUAGUAACGACUCUUUAGUCCCGGUUCAAAAACCGGGACUAAAGGCCCUUACCAACCGGGACAAAAGCCCCCUUUUCUACUAGUGGACUACCUCCCAAGCUCCGCGCCGACGCUGGAGCAAACGCCAUCGCAACAACGGAGCGCGAGGACACAGGUCCACCACGAGGAUGCCGCCGCCGCCACGCCAUCCUUGCUUGAAUAGACUGGUUUCCAAAUACAUCCCCAACCAUAGAACCAAUGGCCUCGUCAGGGAAGAAUCCUAAGAAUCUUUAUUCAGCGUCAUCAUCGCCGCCGCCGAAGUAAAGACGUUGAACAACCUAAAAACCUAAACUACGAGGGAGUAAAAUCGGUCCACACGCGUGGAUCCGGCGACCCCCUCACCAUCGACGACCGAGGUCGCCGACGGAGGGGAGCCGCCGGAGAACGGCGUUGGAAGAUCGGCCUCUCCUGGCAGCGGCUAGGGUUGCAGCCGCCAGGGACGAGAGAAAAACGUAUCGCUUUUUUGUAUGCUCACCACGUACUUAAUGAUGGAUCUUUUUUUUUCCCGAAAAAAAAAGAAUAACAUGACCAUCUCACUGAUCGUAUAUAUGUAUUUAUUUUCUGUUGUGUACUACGUACUGUAUUGAUCGAGACGUACUACAUGUUGUCCUGUCCUGCUGGUUCCUGGUCGGGCGUACGUCGCAGGCAGCCUAGCUCCAUCGAUCCCACGCCACCGCUACGGGCUACCCGUGCGUGGUAGUACGUUCUUCGGCUGGGACGACGCGCACGCGUCGAUCGAGUAGGCAUCUUUGACGGCGCCGUGCUCGCCGGGAGGGACGACGUACGGCUGCUUGGCAUGCACCCACGUUGCUCGACACGACGUGCACGAUGCCAAAGAUCUGCUUCCUCAGCGCCGGCGUCCCCGAGCCGGAGCAUGCAUGGCCGCCGUCCACGGCGUGGAUCGAGCACCGUUCGGCCAAACAUGCAAGUGACGAGAGACGAGAGACGAGAGAGCACACCCGUCCGGCCGGGGAGCUCGCCCGUGCCUGGGUGCCGGUCGGGGAGAGAAGACAUGGGAAGGGAACUAGCUUGGAGAAAGAUGAAAGACGUGGGCUUCGGACGGAGACGAAGACGGCGGGGGGUUGAGACUUGAGAGAGAGAGAGAUCGUACGGGCGUUGACAGGGACGGCGGGUAGGGUAUGUGAGGCUCGAGGACGCCACACGGAUCACACCGGAUGAGGCAGCUUCAGGAGCCACGGUGGAGCCACGCCGACCGGAAGCGGGGAUGACAGACGGCAAAGGGCGCGCAGUGUUCCUUGGGCGUGCGAGUAGCUAGGUGGUUAUAGAUGGAAAUCGAGGAGGAGGAGGAAAGCACCGAAAUUGGAGCGUACGUACAAAAAAGAAGAAAUGCAUGGCGACUGCGGCAAAGGGUCGCCGGAGCCAGAAUUGUGGAAGAAUAAUGGCGGACUCCUCGCUUUGUUUGUCUGCGAAGAAAAAACUCAGCUUUUUUGGUCGGCGGACGGCAGGGAUCGCUCCUGGACAUGUCCAUGCUCAGCGGCCACGCCGGUAGGACGUUGGGCGGCCUCUCCCAAAGAGGUCACCUUACCUGCUUCCUCAGCGCGGACCGCGGAGCAGGAGCAUAGCCGCUGUCCACGCCGUCGGCGUGGAGAACCAUGCAUGCAUAGCUCAGGUCAGGAUCGGAGGAGCUAGCAUUCGGCCGAACACUCUUGGUGCGUGCAGCGCAGCGCAGACAGGAGGGCGGCGGUGCUUGGUUGGUUCGAAGAGGGGUCUUCAGAAUAAGCAAUUAGUGGCGUCAACGGCGAACUGAACCAUCGCCGGAGCCGAAAUUAUGUGUUCCAGACAAAAGAAGCAGAAGAAGAAAAAAAGUCAUGUUUUUUGACGUAGGAGGUCGUCGGCGAGGUAGGAAAGAUUCCCGGCCGGCGGCGAACGUGGGCGGGCGGGAGAGGUUGGGCGAGUCGCGAAAUUGGGUGGGUGCUGGAUGGAUGGAGGAAGACGAUAGACGUACGGCGACGAAGAGGGAGAGAAAACGUGUGUGGAUUGGGCCCCACUCCCAGCGGACGCAUAUUCUUUUUUUUUCUCGAGAAUCAGCGGACGCGGGUCGUGCGUGGCACCAGUUGAUUAAUUGGUCUCGUUUUUUUUUAAUAAACAAGGAGGACACGUACGCACAUUAAUUACUCGGAUUGGACAACCGCGCUUGCAUACUCAUACUUCCAACUUUAUUGAAAAAUUAAACUGUCUCAAAGGUUGACCGAGUUUGUGCAAAAAUAUAUCAGUGUUUGUGAAACCAAAUAGGUAUAUGAUGAAAAUAUAUUUUAUCAUGAAUCUAAUGCUACUAAUUUGAUGACAUAAAUGUUGGUGCAUUAUUGUAUAAAUACGGUCAAACAUAAAAAAGUUUAACUUUCCAACAAAGUUGGAAGUACACUCUUCAAAGGACGGAGGGAGUGCACAUGUUUGCUGUUAACCGCGUUUUGGUUGGCAUCGCAGGCACGCGUCAUUGCGAGGGAGGGGGUCCUGCCCAGGGACGACACCGCUCCUGCUCACACGUUUGCUGUUUGCCGUGGCACGCACGUGCUUGCGUCUUGCGUGCGUGCGUGACGACCAUCGGAAGAACCUUCGCCGGUCACGCGGACAGGACGAGAAGAGGCCAUGCCGCGGGUCAAACAGCGCACGGCACACCAGGGAGAUCCACUCCCUUGCUACCCCCUCGCCAAUGGCCUCCUCAUCCUGAAGCACGAACAUGCGACCAUGGAGCACGUGGCUCGCCGCCUCGGAGACAUAUCUGAAGGAGUCGGGCAGCAGCUGCGACCGAUCAAUGAGCAUCUCGAGCGCAUGAGGCUCAUCGUCUAACAGCAUGAACGCUGACACGUUGCGUCCAUUUCCGGCAGCAUCGCUCUGGCGAAAUGCAUCCGCACGUCGGUCGAACCCGAGGAGGUCCUUGUGCUUGACGACAAUCCGGCCGAUGUCCUUGCACCGGCUCCUAUCGGCGCUGGUGCCGAGCACGAGCGCAUUCUGCGCCGUGCAGGUGGCCCGGAUGGCGCCGACCAAGUGGCGGUCCGUCAAGGACCACAUAUCCAGUUGGCCUAGCACCACCCAGAUGCCGUCAACCGUAUCCUGCUGGUGCUGCUCCAAGGUCGCCAAACCCGGCAAGAUGCUGUGAGUCGCGUCCUGCUGGUGUUGCUCCUUGGUCGCCAAACUUGACCUCCGCUCGCUCGACGGCAAGGCUCCCUCCAACCUCCUCAUGAAUGCAUCGACCGAAAUCAGCAGGGACAUCGCCGUCCGGGACAUCACCGCUCCCACAGGACUGUCAGUGCGCUGUGCGUAAACCUCUCGGCGCCGGAAGUAGCACAUCAGUGCAAAGAAUAUUCUGAACACAAAGAGCUUAUCAUCCGGGGCCGCCCACCCUGCUGCCAUGUAGCGAAUGAUCACGUCCGUCGCGUCUUUGGCAAUUGGUAUUAACUGCUCGAUCAACCACUCUUGAGCCAUCUUCGGCAUGCGUAGCGACGACGUCUGCUCGAACAAAGAGAGCACUGCCGCCAGCCUGUGCCUACACUUCUCGUAGAGCGGGUUGCUUCUGCCUUUGCCGGAGGCGGCGGGUAUCAACCGACAGAACUCCAACAAGAGUGGGAGAAAGCACACCUCAAGGCGAGGGAGUAUGCCGCUUAUCUCCGGAUACAGGAGGCAGAUGAUCGCCGAAUUGGCUCUUAAGUGAUGCGGCAUAGAGCCGGUGGAGUAGAGGCGGACCAGAACCCCGAUGACACCGCUGCGCAGGAGGACAUCGAGGUACUCCACGGCCGUCCCUGCUUGUCUCUCGUUGGUGGCUUUGGCGCCGGCGAGGAACUUCUUGACGAGCAGGACGAUGUCCCUGGUGUAAAGCAUCUUGGUGACAUGCUCAAAGUCGGUCCACGGUGAGCAGUUGGGGACACCGAGAUGCCGCGCCAGUGGAUCAAUUUAGACUUCGCCGUCGUGUAUGAACCUCUUGAACAACUCGGCAGUUUCGUUAGAGAUGUCUGCGUCGGUUGUUGCCUCCACGGCAAUCUGAGAUGCAAGGCUCCAUGCGUCGGGAUAUCUGGUUAAGUGCAAAGUGGCGUCGCGCGGGAGGCCGAGCUCGCCGAUUUUCGCCUUAAGGUGGAGGUUCCGACACUCGUGCACGGCGUGGAGGUCGCUUCUCCUCCUGGGUCCCAUGUCCACGAAGCGACCGAGCACCUCCCCUAAAGUGUCCUGUGGACCCGCCACGACCACGGUCAUCUUGCCGUCGAUGCUCUGUACCAUGAGCCGGAUGGCAUCAGAUGAGGAGUUUGAUUCUCGAGAGAUAGCGACGACGUCGGAAUCCAUGACUCGCAAAGUGCUUUUUACCGGAGCCGGUGGUUCCUCAACCAAUAGAAUCCUGCCAACUCAAAAGCUGUCCUGUGUUGUAUCCCUAUAUUUUACUGUUUUCUUCAUUGAAGCCACUCUAUUUAAAUAGCUGAAGCCCACCCACAUGAUUUCAGCCAUGCCACUCGCUUUAAUCAUACGAUUGGGAUAGAGGCAAGUCUCUCAUUUCACACACGUACAUGCAUGCAUUUAAAAGGAUCAACCUUUCAAUUUAAACUGGUUUGAAAUCCUGACAAAAAAUUGAUACACAUAUCAAUUUCUGUUUCGCAUUUUAAACUUCCAGUUUUAUUAACUUUGAUACACAUAUCAAUUUCUGUUUCAGUAAAUUUAACAAUGCUGAUUUGAAUUCUUUCUAUCACAUAUUUCAAUUAUUUCAACAAACUAAUUUCACUCAUUUUAGAAAAUAAUUUCAAUAGUUUCAGCAAAACUUAUUAUUUAAAAAAUGAGUGUACUACAGAAACAACAACAAAAAAAUCAAUCUUUUUAGAUUUCAAUCAUGAUUUCUGUUAUACCAAUUACACAUAUAAGAAAAAAUUGACACAAACAAUUUCAAUUUAUAUUACCAUAACUUGUUCAAUACAAAUCACACUGAUAUAACAAAUUACACAUAUAAGAAAUACCAAUUUUAUAUAUUUCAGACAAGUAAUUUCCUAUAUUGUCACAAAUAAGUGAAACUGAUUAUUCAAAUGGGUGACAUAAACAAUUUCAAUUUCUUAGAAAAAAGGUGAUUUUAGCUACUCCAAAUUCAUUUUUACUCAAAAAGAGUGAAAUCCAUUGUAGCUAAUGUGAUACAAACAAUUUCAAUUUAUAUCUCGACAACUUUUGCAAUACAUAUCACACUGAAAUAACAAAACACACACUUAGAAAAUACCAAUUUCAAAUAUUUCAGACAAGUAAUUUCAUAUAUUUUUAAUUUUAAUAAGCGAAAUAUUUCAUACACAUACCAGUUUCACUAUUUUUUUCACUUCUAAAUGAACAAAGUAUAUUUCAGUUAUUCGGGUAUCUUAUUGCACAAAAGAGUGAAACUCAUUAUUUCAAAGUACUGACAUAAACCAUUUAAAAAAAAAUGAACCCACAAGUUCUCAUUCACAUAAUGAAGAAACAACAGUUUCACAAAGAGAAACAUGCAUUCCAAUUUCUAAAAAAAAAUGCAUUUCAACAAAAAAAUUCCAAUUCCAAUUCUGUUUCACUCACGAAUGUUAGUUUCACAAAUCCGCAUUUCACAUCAGAUAUAGCAGUUUGACAUAUCUACAUAUCUAUUUCGAUUUCAGUACAACAAUAUCACAUAUAUCACACAAUCUGCUAUAGAUCUUCCCAUCGAUUUCAAUUAGACACCUUCAUUUCCAUCAAAUAUAACAGUUCAAUAUAUCACACAAGCAGGGGAGUUGUCCAUCUAGUGAAGAAGCAAGGGGGGAUCUCAAAACAUGUACCAUAAAACAAAAAUCAGGAAGUAAACACAGAGAUAAAGAUAUUAGGGGAGUUGUGCUUACUCGGGGGUGGACGCAUAUGGUCGUGGGCUUCAUGACUCACCAGAUCCGGUGGCGGUCAUUCUUGGAUUCGCCGGAUCCGGUGACGACCCUGCUCGUCGAACCGUCGUGCUAGGUGGCUGCUGUGGAGGAAUAACGCCGGAGUAGGUCUCCCCAACGCCAGCGCCCACGGCAAGGCGGGGUCAGGAGGUUAGGACCGGCGGACUUUGUCGGUCCUAGAGGAGAGGUGGCGGCGAUCUGUGGAUGUUAGAUGGUACUAGGGUUGUUCGGGCAGGGAAGGCAUCACUGGCAAAUAUAUAGUAUGGGUACUGAGUGAGAAGACCACAUGAUUUAUAUCUGAUGGCUCAAAAUAUAACUUGUUUAUGUCCACACAACAAAUAAUGGCAUGUCACCAAAAUAGUAAAGUUAUAUGUAAACAUCUGGAUUCCAUGUAACAAUAUAUUCCAAAAACAACAAUGCUAAUUUGGCAUAGAAACAUAUGUGCUUAUAUAUACAUAUGAUUUUUUUUCAAAUAUGGCAAUACCAAAAUGUUUUGCAUGACAAUUUUUCUUUCUUCUCUUGUUUGUUGCUCCUCUUGCCUUGUUCAUUUCUAGAACUUGCGAGAAUGCGACAAAUCAAGUUAGAGUUAAUGCACUUCAAUGCGACAACAACAAAGUAGAGUCUAGAGUGGCUAGUGUUCGAAUGUGUGUGGAAGAGGGAGGGGUUGCUAGUGUUCAAUAAUAACAUAGGCCCCCUCACGGGUGACAAUGUUACGACUCAGGGGGGCCUCACCAUAUAGAAAGUCGGCCUAAUAGGCCGACGUAUGGCCAUUAGGUUGGUAUAUGCCUUGGGUCGUCAUCUCGGCAUGUGGGCUCUCUAGAAGGAGGGGUCUGGAAGACUUGGCAAUCACGACAAGGAAGAUGGCUGACAGUGUGAAAUACAGUCAGAUCCCUCGGUAGGGGUCCAAGCACAACUGGAAGUCUUAGAUUGAAGGUCACACAAGGGGUUUAUCCAGGUUUGGGCCUCAGAAGAGUAAUACCCUACGUCCUGCUUGUUUGGUUAUUCAUGGUGGAGGGAUACCUCGUGCGAGAAGAUACCAAUAGUGCAGGCGGGUCCUAUACAAACUGUUUUUACCCCCUUUCCACGACGGAGUUUUAAACCGUCGCCUUGCCUGUGUGUGCGAUAGGUGGGUCCAUCCCACACGACCCAGAAAUAAUCGCCGGUAGUUCCUCCGGUCACCCACGCGGGGCAAAAAGAGCUCGUGGCGAUCGGACGAGCCAUCACAAACAAUUAUACAGAGCAAAUCAUGUGAGAUGUUCUUAGUAACCCACGCAGUGAAUCCAAAACAAACGUUUCCGUUCAUGUGUACAUCACACACAAUUUUCCGCAUCACAUCAUCUGUGAUAGCGUUGCCAUGACAGACGAUAUUCAUAAUUUUAUCGUUUGUGUUGUUGGAUGCAUCACACACGGUACCUAGAAGAAACUGUAUGGCAUAGGCUGUCCAUCACACACAGUUUUUAUGUGAAAACUUUUGUGCAAGGUGGCCUAUGAUGUGAUAGGUGGGAACCCGAUGAACGAGUUCACGCCUGAGGGUGGCCCGAUCUACAUGUCGUAGGAUCGAAUCGGGAGGGAUAACUAGCUGCAAGCAGCCGGGAGAACUAGCUUUAUACCUGCCAAGGUUGGAUGCAACCCGUACAUUGGGGAUGGCUGACCGAAGCUACAAGAACUCCAACCUGCUGUCCGAACAAUCGCAUAACCACAAACGGGGACUAACCCACACAAAAUGGCCGGAACCGUAGAGCACGAAUUAGGGGGAACCAGAGGAUCCUUCUCGCGAAUUCGGAUGAACUCGCAAGAGCAAAGGUAGCAAGGAUCUCUCGGAUCUCUCUAGCAGUCUUGCUGCAUAAGCUUGUAGCUGAAUGGCUUGACAAAAGGUUCUUUCUAGAGGAUGGGGGAGGUGGGGUUUUAUAGCAGGGACAACCCCCUUAGCUAGGUGUGAAAAUGGUUUCAAAAGUAAACAGGUUUGGAUGGCUUCCUUGGGGGAAUAAGCAGUCAACUUUGGGAGUUGUUGGAGAGCUCCUCGGAAAUUCGCGAAGCCUUGACAGCCGGGACACCUUCCACGAGAUUGGCUAGAACUUUUGACUCACAACUCCAAAUGAUGUGAGGUUUUUUUUUGCAUUGGAGAUAUAAUUUGAUGUAGCUUCUGGUGAUGUACCCCUAUGGCCCCGUCCCUCCACCACAUGGGUGUGGCAUAAUAAAACAUCAGAGGUAAAAACUAAUAGCAUCAACUUCACUUGAAAGUUGUUAUCUCCAAACUUGUUCCUCCAAACCUGUUGAGGAUAUAACCAUUAGAGUCACCCGCCCAGGAGGGGCCGGGUUACUCAUAAAGAUCAUCACAUGAAGCCCAGUACCAAGCUUGAGGAUGGCGGAUCAAUAAUGGGCUUAAGACCCGGUAGCGGCUUAAGGCCCGGAGUGAUAAACCGCCGUUAUAGCAAGACUUGUAAUGUAAGGCAAGAGUAGUUAAGAGUCCGAGCCGGAUACUGUUAUAAGCCGGCCGGGACUCUGAGAGCCGCUGGGCGUCAACCUCUCUAUAUAAAGGGACGACCCGGCGGCGGUUCAGGACGAGAGACACCAGAUUGAUAGCCAGGCAUAGCGAUUAAGCUCCCUGGUCAUCGAAACCCUAAGUAAUACCACCUCAACUGGACGUAGGCUUUUACCUUCACCGUAAGGGGCCGAACCAGUAUAAUCCUCGUGUUCCUUGUCCCGCUUAACCCCUUUAAGCUUCCUAGCUGCGAUGGCUCCACGACUAAGUCCUUGCACGAGGACAUCUGCCGUGACAAUUCCAUGACAGUUGGCGCCCACCGUGGGGCCAGCGCACGGUGUAUUUGAGUUCUUGAAGGGCAACUUCGAAGGGCUCAAGGGAUACGCUGUGGGCCGGAUGACCAAGAGUCGUCGCGGCAAGCUUUACAUCGACGAUGCAAACCGGGGCCCCGACGCCGGCUCAAUUGAGUACGGGUACCGGGUCCCCUUCGGCGGAAUCCAUGUCUUUAUUGGCAAGAUUGGUGAGCCGGGCCCUGAGCCGGACCUCUGCGCCGAUCUCAUCGAGACGGCUCAACGUGCACGACCCGCCCGGACUUUGCCUGCCUUGAAGCGUGCUUUCAUGGGAUGCGUCCAUGCAGGGCUCUUUGAAGGAUCUGGAUCUGGUGAUGAGACGGCCGCUCGCUCUGACGGCGAGUCAUCCACAGAGGAGACCGAUUCGUUAUACCAACUUCAAGAUGGCCGGCUCAGGGGUUGUUCCGAUGGCGACAGUAUUCUGGACCCCUUUGAGCCGCCGAGCCGGGUUGGAAUCUUCAUGGCUGGCGCACAACCUGUUCAAAACCCCACUGCCGGGGCAGGAAGCCCUGUGCCCUCGCCGGCUCAGGUGCUGAUGGAUCUCACAGACAAGAUGAUGGUCCUGUUAACCGCUACGGUCGCCCCGGCGGAUCAAGCUCAGCAUGACGCGAAGGUGGCACAGUUAAAGCUCGAUCUAGCAAAAGCCAAGGAGGAUCUGGCGGCGGAAGGGAUCAGGAUGGCUGCAGAGAGGGUGGCUCUCGACGCCCAGGCUCAGCGGAUUCAAGCACAGUCUUUCCGGCUCACGAUGGAUCAGAACGCGUCCAAUGAGAUCAUGAGAAGGAGGCAUCAAAAGGCUCAAUCUCGACUCCCUCCGGUUUACGAUCCUCGAAACCUCUUCAACACGCCUGGUGCAGGGCCCAGUAACCCGCCAGAGAUCGCGGCGCCCGGAGCUGGAACGCCAAUUCAGCCCCAAGUGAUGGGGCCUCCCCCGGUGAACACUACCCCGACUCGGUACAUGCCAAUACCACCGGGUCAUUAUGCCAACCCGUUGGAAAACAUGGUCGCCGCGACGGCGCGACUGGCGGCUCUCCCAAUCGAUGGUGACUCUCCAACGGCGGUCGAAACCCGCCGGGUCAGAGAGCUCCUUCAGACGGCUCUGGCGCAACAGGAGGCAUAUUCUUAUAGCCAGGACAAGAUUCAUUCAACCCCUCGUCUAGGCCGGAGCCCGAGUUAUAGCAGGCACAUGGUCUCAGCGACCGGCUCAAGCAAUGUCCGACGCCGUGACUUGCCUCCUGGCCAUGGCCCGGUUCAUAAUGGAGCCCUUAACGCGGUAGACCAAGACCGAGCACGACAAGAGGCGGAGCAGGCGGCUCAGUUGACGGCUUACCAGCCACUCCCGGCUUAUCCGACGGCUUCCAUCGACGCGGGUAUACCUACGAGGACCGGAGGUGUUCCUUGUCUGGUGCCGGCUCUCCGUAAUGAACGUCUGCCCAAGGAUUUUAAAGGGCCUAGGAAGGUACCUAAUUACACGGCUGAUUUACAGCCCGGAGCAUGGAUCGAGAGUUACGAGAUGGCUAUGGAGUUGCUGGAGGUCAGCGAAGCGGCAAUGGCCAAGUACUUCACCAUGAUGUUGGAUGGGACUGCCCGCACUUGGUUGAAAGGACUGCCACCGAAUUCUAUCGGGUCUUGGGCUGAAUUAAAGGCCCGGUUCAUCCAAAACUUCAAAGAUACCUGUAGGCAGUCUAUGUCAAUUGUGGAUUUGACUAACUGUAAGCAGCAGGAGGGUGAGUCUACAACCCAUUGGGUUCGCCGGGUCAAGGAGAUAAUACAUUCAUCUGAUAAGAUGGAUGUCGGCUCUGCAGUCUUAAUGUUAGAGCAGAAUUGUCGUUUUACGCCCCUGAAGAUGAAGCUUGGGCGGCUCAAGCGCGACUGCAAUGAUAUGGGUACGCUGAUGGCGGCUCUGGUCAAGUACGCCGACUCUGAUAGUACCAAGGAUCCCGCGUCGGACGAUGAAAGGACAGGGAAGGGAAAACGGAAUGGCAAUGGCAAGGGCCCCCAGCAUAACCCGGUGAACCAGGGAGGUAACAAGCGUAAGGCUGAUGGCAGUAUGGAGUUUGUGGCCAACACCAGUUCACAGGGUAACAACCACCGGUGUAAGGGGAGACCACCUCCACGUGCUGGCGGGUCAGGCCCGACGCUUGAGCAGUUGUUGAAUGAGCCUUGUCCAAGGCAUGGCUCUAGGGAAAAGCCGGCCACCCAUCUAUGGAAGGACUGCGCAAUCAUGAAGGCCUUUAAAAAUUCCAAUGUUUUCAAUGGCAACAGUGGCCCGGGCGGCGGCUCAGGCGCCAGCGGCUUUCAUGGCCCGGGCGGCGGUUCAAAUUCCAAUCCUCAGAAUGUUCAAGGGGGCUUUAAUCAGCAGUCCGCCCAGGGUCAUCAUCAGCAGCAGCAGGGGGGAUACCAGACUAAUCCAAAGCAGCUCAACGGCGGGCAGUAUCAUGUGUUUACUACCAGUCUGUGCAAGCGAGAGUAGAAGCUCCAUAAAAGGGCUGUGCAUGCUGUUGAGCCGGUGGUUCCACGCUAUUUAAGAUGGUCUGAGCAGCCUAUUGUGUGGGGUAGGAAAGAUCAUCCUCCACGGGUUGAUAAUCCGGGUCACCUGGCCUUGGUGGUGGCUCCUCAGGUUGGGGGAUAUAAAUUCACUAAAGUGCUCAUGGACGGAGGCAGCAGCAUCAACAUCCUCUAUUAUGAGACCUUCCGUCGUAUGGGUUUAACCGAUAAAAAUCUCAGCCAGUCCAAUACUGUUUUCCAUGGCGUGGUGCCCGGUAAGUCGGCGUAUCUAGUCGGUAAGAUCGAGCUGGAAGUGGCCUUUGGAGAUGAGUACAAUUAUAGGGCGGAAAAACUAACCUUUGAGGUGGUUAAGAUAAGGAGUCCGUACCAUGCUUUAUUUGGGCGGCCGGCUUACGCCAAGUUCAUGGCACAGCCGUGUUACGUGUAUUUGCAGCUCAAGAUGCCGGGUCACAAUGGGACCAUUACAGUUCAUGGCAGCCGAAAGAUAGCCUUGGAGUGUGAGGAAGGUGACGCGGCUUACGCUGAAUCUGUUUGUGCAACAGAGGAGUUGAAGUUUUACAAGGACAAUGUUGACCCGGCAGAUAUGGCGUCUUUGAAAAAGCCAACCACGGAGCAUGAGCCGGCAAUGAAAUUUAAGUCAGCUGAUGAGACUAAACUUGUUGACUUUGUUCCAGGUGACUCAUCUCAGCAGUUCAGCAUCAGUGCCAAUCUGGAUCCGAAAUAGGAAGGCGCGCUCAUCGAGUUCAUCCGUGAGAACAAGGACAUUUUUGCAUGGAAACCUUCUGACAUGCCAGGUGUACCUAGAGAACUCGCUGAGCACACUCUCAAUAUUGAUCCGAAAUUUAAGCCGGUCAGGCAAUUCCUUCGGCGGUUUAAUGAGGAGAGGCGGAAAGCCAUUGGUGAGGAGGUAGCCCGGCUUUUGGCGGCUGGGUUUAUUGUUGAAGUUUUUCAUCCAGAAUGGUUAGCUAACCCGGUGCUCGUGCUCAAGAAGAACGACACCUGGCGGAUGUAUGUGGACUACACGGAUUUAAACAAAGCUUGUCCGGCUGAUCCUUUUGCUCUCCCCCGUAUUGAUCAAAUUAUUGAUGCUACGGCGGGUUGUGAGCGCUUAAGUUUUUUGGAUGCUUAUUCUGGAUACCAUCAGAUUAAAAUGGCAGUUAAGGACCAGGAGAAGACGGCGUUCAUCACUCCCUUUGGAGCCUUCUGUUAUGUGUCUAUGCCUUUUGGGCUCAAGAGUGCGCAGGCGACUUACCAGCGUUGUGUGCAGAAUUGUCUUCAUAACCAGAUUGGGCGCAAUGUUCAUGCCUAUGUGGAUGAUAUCGUGGUUAAAUCCAGGGAGGAGACCCUGGUAGAUGAUCUUAGAGAAACCUUUGAUAAUCUCCGGGUUUACAAGAUGAUGCUUAACCCGGCCAAGUGUGUUUUUGGUGUUCCCGCAGGCAAGCUCUUGGGUUUUCUAGUUUCUCACAGAGGCAUUGAAGCUAACCCGGAAAAGAUCAAGGCAAUCACCUCUCUGGCUAAGCCGGCGUGCAUAAACGACAUCCAGCGUCUGGCGGGCCGCAUCUCUGCUUUGAGCCGGUUUAUAAGCCGUUUGGGUGAAAAGGCCAUGCCACUGUACCAGUUGAUGAAGAAAACAGAUGACUUUAUCUGGAAUGAUGCUGCUAAUGAUGCUUUUGAGGAUUUGAAGAGACAGCUGGCUGAGCCCCCAGUCCUUGCUGCUCUGUUGACAAGGAGCCCUUAUUGCUGUAUGUAGCCGCUAACACACGAGCCGUCAGUGUGGCUGUGGUGGUGGAGUGUAAGGAAGAGGGUAGGGAGUAUCCGGUUCAGCGGCAGGUUUACUACGUCAGUGAAGUACUCAUUGAGUCCAAACAACGGUAUCCACAUUGGCAGAAGCUUGUUUAUGGGGUAUUCAUGGCAAGCCGGAAGCUUAAGCAUUAUUUCCAGGGUCACCCUAUCACUGUGGUUAGUUCUGCUCCCCUAGGAGAUAUCAUCCAAAACAGGGAAGCCACAGGAAGAGUGGCUAAGUGGGCUAUAGAACUUGGGCCUCAUGGUCUGAAAUACGUGCCACGCACUGCUAUCAAAUCUCAAGCAUUGGUGGAUUUCAUCAACGAUUGGACAGAGCUGCAGGUGCCUGAAGAGAAACCGGAUAAUACAUACUGGACUAUUCACUUUGACGGGUCUAGGCAAUUGGAGGGCUCAGGGGCUGGAGUUGUAUUAACUUCCCCUCGAGGUGACAAGUUUUGCUAUGUGCUACGGUUGAUGUUUCCCUGUACUAAUAAUGCGGCUGAGUACGAGGCUUUGCUCCAUGGUCUUCGGAUGGCUAAGGAGAUGAGCUUGAGCCGGGUAAGGUGCUUUGGCGACUCAGAUUUAGUGGCCCAACAAGUGUCAGGCAAGUGGGAUUCCAAGGACCCUCUCAUGGCGGCUUAUCGCCGCGAAGUUGAUGCCAUUGCUGGACAUUUUCAGGGUUACCAAGUAGAGCACAUCGAUCGCAGGAAGAACGAGGCGGCUGAUGCUUUAAGUCGGCUGGGCUCUCAGCGAAAGCCGGUGCCGCCUAAUACUUUCUUGGACAUCUUGCAUAACCCUUCUGUUAAGUUGCCUACAGAGGAAGACUUGGCUGUUCCUGACUCGGAGGCACAGUUGGUGGCGGCUCUCCGCAUUACCCCAGACUAGAAAGUACCGUACUUGGCUUACAUGACCCAGGGAUAAUUGCCUGAGGAUGAAACUUUGGCCAGACAAAUAACCCGGCGGUCUAAGUCAAUGAUAAUUAUCAAUGGCGAGCUACAUCGUCGCAAUGUCACUGGAACUUUCCAGCGUUGUGUUUCACCUGAGGAAGGCCAAGAGAUUUUACGUGAGAUUCACGAGGGGGAUUGUGGCCAUCAUGCCGGUUCAAAAUCCCUUGUAGCCAAGGCUUUUCGUCAUGGUUUUUAUUGGCUGACGGCUCAUGCUGAUGCAGAGGAUUUGGUCAGUAAAUGUGACGGUUGCCAGAGGUUCUCGCGACGGGCUCAUGUGCCGGCUCAAGAAUUGAGGAUGAUUCCAAUCACUUGGCCGUUUGCGGUCUGGGGGCUUGAUAUGGUUGGGCCUUUUAAAAGAUCCAAGGAUAAGAAGACCCACCUCUUGGUGGCGGUCGACAAGUUUACAAAGUGGGUUGAAGCAGAGCCAGUUAGUAAGUGUGACGCAGCCACAACGGUUCAGUUCAUGAAGAGGGUGAUAUUUCGCUUUGGUUUUCCACACAGCAUUAUAACUGACAAUGGUACCAAUCUGUCUAAAGGUGCCAUGGAGAAGUUUUGUCAACGAGAGCAUAUUCGGCUUGAUGUUUCAUCAGUGGCUCACCCUCAAUCCAAUGGUCAAGCUGAGAGAGCCAAUCAGGAAAUCUUGAAGGGCAUCAAGCCCCGGCUUUUGGUCCCUUUGCAACGGGCGCCGAGUUGUUGGGUGGAGGAGUUACCCUCCGUGUUAUGGAGCACCAAUACUACUCCUAACAGGUCUACGGGUUACACGCCUUUCUUCAUGGUUUAUGGAGCGGAGGCGGUCCUCCCUAGCGACAUUCGUCAUGACUCGUCUCGAGUGGCGGCUUAUGUUGAGGCGGAUAAUGAGCGGGUGCGCCAAGAUGCUCUUGACUUGUUGAACGAACAGCGUGAUGUGGCAGCGGCUCGCUCGGCGAUUUACCAACAAGACCUGCGCCGCUAUCACAGCCGCCGGGUUAAGUCCAGAGUCUUCCAGGAGGGUGAUCUGGUGCUCCGGCUCAUCCAAGAUCAAACAGACGCACACAAGUUAUCCCCGCCUUGGGAAGGGCCCUUUGUGGUCAUCAAGAACUUGCACAACGGGUCAUACUACCUUAUCGAUGUUCGGGAGCACAAAGAUUCAUGUAAGUCAGAGGAAGAGACCCGUCGGCCGUGGAACAUAGCUCAGCUUCGGCCUUAUUACACUUGAGCCACCGGCUCUCAUGAUGUACAUAUUUCUAUAGCCAUGUAUAUAUUAUGAUAAAUAAUAAAGCAGGACCUCUGUCCUUUUCUCCUCCAAAGGCAAAUGUGUUAUUGUUAUUUUUAUUACAACAUUACAUGGUCACUUGGAGGUGGAUCCGGCUUAUGAUCGUAUUCGAAUCUAGCCGUUAACAAUAUGAUCACUUGGGGGCUUCCUGUUCAAACAUAGGUCAUAUUCGAACCAAAGAGAACAUAGCUGUCGAUACCCACUUGAUUGGCGAAUUGCCGAGCUCAUUGGGGAGUUUUUAUUGAUCAUAUUUGAAUCAUAGCUCAACCCCCUUUGGGAACCGACGUGGAUCGUAUUCGAAUCAGCGUCGUUAAACAACUCUCAAGGUCAUUUGGGGGCUUCCUGUUCAAACAUAGGUCGUAUUCGAACCAAAGAGAACAUAGCUGUCGGUACCCUCUUGGUCGGCAACGCCAAAGCCACUGGGGGCUAUAUGAUUGCAUUCGAAUCUUAGCUUAACCCCUUUGGGACGGUUCUCUGGUCGUAUUCGAAUCAGAAGCCCCUAAGUUUUGAUCUUUUGGUUUGCAACAAGUUCUUUUGAUCAUAUCAACAGUGUGAAAGGGCGGUUCUUACUCCGCUGGCUUAGCUUUGAUUAACAAUGUUGACAGCACACAAUAAGUAUUAUCGAUGCUGGUGAGCCGGAGUUGAGUUCUCAACCUCAUUAUUUGGGUUAUAUAAACCGGAAGUAUACUUGAAGGAUUGCAAGUAUGCUAUUAUGGUUACCUCGAGGAUAUAAUUGAGAGCCGGUAUUUUAUGAUUUUGGUUCAUAUUCCGGGUUAUAUGUAAAAUAUAUGACUUUCUGUGCGGUAAGCCGCCUAGAGACUUGUGAUUUGUUUUCUAUACAGGACAAUUAAAGACAGCUCUUUAAGUUUAAGGAAAGCAAAUGAACAAACAUAACCCAGAGGAAUAUAAAAGAGCAGCUUCAACAGAGUUGCUAAGUGCCGCACACGUGCGCUAUGGCACGACAAAAUUAAGUGUUUGUCCUACUCUAUUACAGGACUCCCCGAGUCCAAAAGGUGAGGCAUUGUUUUUAAGGUGUAACCAUGCUAACCAUGAGCUGCCUAAGAAAUCAAGAUGCUUGUUGGGCUGAAGUUCCCGGCUCAUCCCUCUCCGCUCCUCCGGCUGUUCCCAUGACCUGGAAGGUUGAUGAUUUCCAGUCAAUGCCGCUCAAAGCUUCAAAUUGAGCCUCAUCAUCAAUUAACCCGGCCGGGUCAACUUCUGGGGCGAAGGUAUGCUUACGAGUCGGCGGGAUCAGGCUGACUGCUUCAUAGCGUGGAGUUGGGAUCCUCUGAUUCUCCGUGUCAUAGCCCGGCUGAUACUUGGUAAGGUCUGUGUCAUUCCCAAUCAAGGUGGCCACCGGGCGCACGCUCUUCACACAGGCGGCGAAGUCUUUCUGGUCAAAGGGGGUACCGUCUUCCUUCAGGCUGGGGUAUCCAAGAGCGAUGUCGGCGGGGUCUAGCUCCGGUAGAAACGCCUUGGCCCGACUCAGAGCAGCUAUAGCUCCGGCUCUUGCAGAAGCCCGUCUCAGCUCUUGGAAGAGUUGAGGAAGUACGGCAAGCCGCCUGAGUACGUCUGCCAGGUGAGUGGGAACCUCAUUGGACAGAGCCACAACGGCUAAGGCACGUUGUGACCCGGUGUAGAGUUGCUCCACCAAGGUGUAAACAGCCUUCAGCUUGGUCAGCACGUUUUGAUUAAGAUUGGAGCUUCUGGGACCUGCAUAAUAACGUCAGGUGAGCUGAUGGCAAUGGUGGGACUUAUGAGACAUGAAGAAUGUAAACUUGUUAAAAGCUUGCAGAAUGACUUACCGAAGAUUGCGGAGACCAUCUGUGACACAUGGCGUUUUAAGCCGGAGAGUUCGACGGUUCUUUCAGUCAGAGCAGCCUCCGCUUGUUCGGCCCGGCUGAGCAAUGCAGUCUUCUCCUCGGCCCAAGUCUUUCUUUCUGUUUCAAAUUUCUUCUUCAGUUUUUCUUGUGCAGCAACACUGAACUCAAAUUUGGCAUUGGCCUUCCGGGUCUCAGUUUCCUGAGUCUUCAACCGGUUCUUCAGCUCAGAGAUUUCCGAUUCAAAUUUCUUGCAAGCAGCCUGUACAAAUUCUGGGUUACAAUUUGAGUAAUUAUCAUGCAAUAUUAAAGUCCCAAGUACUUUGCAAGCAAAGACACUUGGCACUUGGGGGCUAAUGUAUGCUGAAAGAUUCUAUUUAUAGUGCCGGUUCAUGAAGGUAAGCCGGAAUUAAGUCUACAACAUAUUCUAUCAUAAGUAAUAGACUUGGGGGAUAGCAUGGUAAGAAUGACUAUGGAGUAAGCAAGAGAGUUGUACCUCAGAUUUUUGCUGUAUCUGUUUCACCAUGUCAAUUUCCAGGUCCCGGCUGUUAUGCACUUGACCAAUAUAACCAGAAACAAUGUCUCCAAUGCUCAGGUUAGCAUAGUUAGUGAUAUCCAGUCUAGCCCUGCGGCGCUCCAGCAAUUCUUCUUUAGCAGAGCAUCUGGCCAGUACAGUGGGUCUUCCCGGCUCAACAUAUUCGGUCCGGGUAAUCACCACAUCCGGGUCAUCGGCCGGUUGAGCUGAGCUGGGGAUCUCCGGGUUGUCAGAACCCCCCAUGGCUUGUUGUUUAGUUGGAGCGGUGGUUUCUGGAGCUGGUGCAGCCGGCGGCUCAGAAGCAGAGGUGUUGGGUUCAGUCAAGACCGGUUCUUCGACCGGGUGACUUUUCUUUGCCCUCUUGCUGAGCUUUGCUUGUGCGCUGAAAGUCAAAAGGUUAGUGCAAAAACAUGAGUAAGAUAAGCACAAAAUAAGAUGAUCAUCAUUACCCGGGUGCAGUCUUGAAAGCCGGCAAGUUAGAUUGCAUGGAGUCACCGGAGGAAGGUGAAGUUUCCUGAUAGUUUGAAUCAGAAGAGUUGAGUGGUUGACGAGUGAUGCCCGCCAAAGGAUGAAAAGGAUAUAAGUUGGAGAUAACCUCGGUCCGGCGCUUCCUUGAUGCUUCAGGUAAGCCGGAGGAGAGAUCUGCAUCCUUGUUGGCCCGGGUUUGUCUCCGGCUCUCAUGAAUCUGUUGCUUCAAAAGAAAUUGAGGAUCUUGAUAAGCUAAAGGAUGGGAAAAUCUUACUUUCCGGGUUACUCUUCGGACUUUCAGCCUUGGCAAGGGCUCCGAGUCGGAGGAAAGUAUAGUUACCUCUUCAAUCACCGGGUUACUCGCUCCGGUGUCCUCCUGCUGAUAAUCAGUGUCAAUAAGGUGGUUAAGAACAAACAAAAAACAAAGAGAAGAGCAUAAGAAUGAAGGGUUACCUCUGACUCGGAGGUGUCAUCCAGCUGAAGCAGGUCUGAGGCGCUAGGCUUACUCCCCUUCUUGCGGGGAGCGGCUCUCCUGGCGGCUUUCUUAGCCUUCCUGGCUUUUUUAGCUGCCUCAUGAUCGUACUUGACCUUCCAGAACUUAUCAUUAGCCUGAAAAAUACAACAAAGAUUUCUUGAGGUUAAGAUGAAAAUUGUUAAAAUGGAAAGUAAGGUGCUCAGAUCAGUAGCUUACUGCCGGAGCCGGGUUAGCUUUGCAGAAGGGACUUAAGCCUGUCCUCCCGCAGUCUGCUAAGCUCUCGUUCAGAAGGGACUUGGUCAUGUCAUCAACGACGUCCUCAGGUAAGUCGUUGGGGCUGUGCCGCAGAGGAUCAUCCUUCCGGCCCGUGUAAUCACACAUUAAGCCGGGGCGGCGGCUCAAGGGAAUCACCCACCAGGCAAUCCAGACCCGGACCAGAUCAACGCCGUUAAGACCAUUUCCUAGAAGAGCUUUUAUCUUGUUGAUGGUGGGGAUAAGCGGUUGACGCUCAGCUUGAGAUAAUUUGUCUGGCAGAGGGUGAUUUGACUCCAGACGCAGGGCGUGAAAGCCGGGCAGAGGGUUCUCAUCAGCCGGAGAAGUAUCCUGGCAGUAGAACCAUGUCUGGUUCCAGUCCUUCGGGUGGCUUGGCGGUUCAGCAUAAGGAAAGAGGCAAUCUCUCCGUUGUUGGAUUGAAAUUCCACCAAGUUCCAAGCUAGGCCCGUUGGCACACUCGUUCUGGCGGUUCAGAUAAAACAGCUCCCUAAAGAGCAGUAGGCUGGGCUCUUCUCCAAGGUAUUCUUCACAGAACACUUGAAAGUUACAAAUGUUCGACACGGAAUUGGGUCCAAUGUCUUGAGGUCGCAGAUUAAAGAAGUUCAGAACAUCUCUAAAGAAUUUUGAGCCGGGAGGUGCAAAACCCCGGCUCAUGUGAUCAGCAAAUAUCACAACCUCUCCAUCUCUUGGUUGAGGUCUUUCUUCCGACGGGUCAGGGGCACGAUAGGACAUGACCUCCUUCUUAGGCAGGUAACCCGUCUUCACGAAAUCAUCUAAGGUAUCAUCAGUAACGUUGGACCUCACCCAGUUGCACGUAAUGGGUGCCUUGGGAGCCUUGGGCGGCAUUGUGAAAGACGAAAGCCUAUGACAAAAGGAAAUGUCCGGUUCAAAUAUAAACCGGAGGAAGAUUCCAGAUCAGUAUUCAAGAUGGCGGCUUAUGAAGGGGCCUAAUGAUAUAUGGCUAAUUGUGUCGGGUUAUCUAAGCCGCUGUGGACAUCAUGAGUAAUUCAAGUUGUUUAAAACUCUAUCAUAAAUGAGCCGGAAAUUUCACAGCGCAUGGCCUCUUUUAAACCGGAGAUAUGAGCCGCCAUAGCUAACAUAUGCAAUUUUUGACUAAGUGUGGCACAAACAGGUUUCACAGAUCGCAGUAAUUAUUUUGGAUCAAACGGUCGUCUAGAAAGGAAAUUUUUUCUAGACCUAAAAACUGGCACAGAGAAGUUCAUAAGUUCUAAUGAGGUCUUUUUGCAAGCAAGAGGGAUCUGCUUGUACUGGAAAUGGGUGCGAAACCACUACCGCAGGAGUUCUAUCCUACUUUCCGGAUCAAAAGAGGUCGCGGUGGCGGAACUGUGAAGAACUUGAGAUGAACUACGAAGAACAGGGGAAGAAUGACAGAACCCUAAUGCAAAUCUACUGUAGGGAGGGGCAAGGAUUUACUGGCGCUGAUGAGAUGCGGAGGUCGCCGCCGUUUCUCUAGACCAGUUCAGGGUGAUGUAGCGGCCGAGGUUGAGGAAGACAAGGGGCGCGGCGGCGGCGGAGCUCGAGCUCUCGGGCGUCAGAGGAGGAAGACGAUGGAGGAGAGGAGUGAAUGAAGGCUUAUGGGCCGGGCCUAUUUAUAAGGGUGGCUGGUAAAUGGGCGCGAGAAACGAGGAGGCCGAAGACGUGAUUAUCUUGCCGCAGAAACGCCUCGAUUUUUGGGAUGGUCAUUAAGAGAUAAGAUCCGUUGGGAUAUGACAGAAUGAAAAAUGAAUUUAAUGGAAGAUGAUGUCAUGGCGGGUUACCAGGAAUCCAGAAGAUGACGUCACGGCGGGUUAUAACCUUCGCACGAGCAGAAGCCGGAAGAUUUUCUCGUAAAGGGAUUGAAGAUUGACAUGAACCGGUUCAAAUCAAUCUGGGGCCUAAUGUUGAGGAUAUAACCAUUAGAGUCACCCGCCCAGGAGGGGCCGGGUUACUCAUUCAUCACGUGAAGCCCAGUACCAAGCUUGAGGAUGGCGGAUCAAUAAUGGGCUUAAGACCCGGUAGCGGCUUAAGGCCCGUAGUGAUAAACCGCCGUUAUAGCAAGACUUGUAAUGUAAGGCAAGAGUAGUUAAGAGUCCGAGCCGGAUACUGUUAUAAGCCGGCCGGGACUCUGAGAGCCGCUGGGCGUCAACCUCUCUAUAUAAAGGGACGAACCGGCGGCGGUUCAGGACGAGAGACAACAGAUUGAUAGCCUGGCAUAGCGAUUAAGCUCCCUGGUCAUCGAAACCCUAAGUAAUACCACCUCAACUGGACGUAGGCUUUUACCUUCACCGUAAGGGGCCAAACCAGUAUAAUCCUCGUGUUCCUUGUCCCGCUUAACCCCUUUAAGCUUCCUAGCUGCGAUGGCUCCACGACUAAGUCCUUGCACGAGGACAUCUGCCGUGACAAUUCCACGACAAAACCGGUUGCUUCAAGAGCUCAUAGGUUGUUGGAUUUCUUCCAUGUGAUACCUAAGUUCAAUCAACAACAAUGGGGAUGAAAGUGCAGCCAUGUAUUCAAGAUUAUAGUAUGAACUUAAGUUAGCGUUCACUUGGGCAGGUGUUUGCUUGAUUCGGCUUAGUAAUUAUUUUCAACUAAAUUUUGCACAUUUCUGAAAAGUCGUGUAUGAUGUACCCAUGUGCUCAUCAUCCUCCCUCCCUUGAUGAAGAGUCGUCCUCGACUCUCCACUACAAAAAAAGACACAUCCAUGACAUUUUGGGCCGAACGAAUUUUUUUUCUGUCAUACAUAUGACACUUCUGUGACGAUAAUUGUGACAAAACCCGGUAUCAUCAUAGAUGUGGUGGGCUCCUACUUCUAUGACAAAAAAUCAUGACAGAAAAUGGGCUUUUCAUCCUGGGCGGACCGGAGACGCAGCUGCAUGACAUUCUUUGGGCUGUCCAUGACGGAAAAAACCGUGGUAGAAGCGAGGGCGAGGAAAAUUUCGGCGAGUUCCCGGUUACGGUGGGAGGUCGGGGGCCGAGCGAUGCGCGUUUCUCUCGUACACGUACGCGCGUGUGUGCGAGGCAUUGGCUCUAACUGAACCCGAGCGAGGCGUUGGACUCUAACUGAACCCGAGCGAUUGCACUGCAGGCUACGCGUUACUGAACCUGAGCGAUCGAUCGAUGGCUGUUAACUAAACCCGAUCGAGCGAUUCCUUCGCUACUGCUGCUAACUGAAGCNNNNNNNNNNNNNNNNNNNNNNNNNNNNNNNNNNNNNNNNNNNNNNNNNNNNNNNNNNNNNNNNNNNNNNNNNNNNNNNNNNNNNNNNNNNNNNNNNNNNNNNNNNNNNNNNNNNNNNNNNNNNNNNNNNNNNNNNNNNNNNNNNNNNNNNNNNNNNNNNNNNNNNNNNNNNNNNNNNNNNNNNNNNNNNNNNNNNNNNNNNNNNNNNNNNNNNNNNNNNNNNNNNNNNNNNNNNNNNNNNNNNNNNNNNNNNNNNNNNNNNNNNNNNNNNNNNNNNNNNNNNNNNNNNNNNNNNNNNNNNNNNNNNNNNNNNNNNNNNNNNNNNNNNNNNNNNNNNNNNNNNNNNNNNNNNNNNNNNNNNNNNNNNNNNNNNNNNNNNNNNNNNNNNNNNNNNNNNNNNNNNNNNNNNNNNNNNNNNNNNNNNNNNNNNNNNNNNNNNNNNNNNNNNNNNNNNNNNNNNNNNNNNNNNNNNNNNNNNNNNNNNNNNNNNNNNNNNNNNNNNNNNNNNNNNNNNNNNNNNNNNNNNNNNNNNNNNNNNNNNNNNNNNNNNNNNNNNNNNNNNNNNNNNNNNNNNNNNNNNNNNNNNNNNNNNNNNNNNNNNNNNNNNNNNNNNNNNNNNNNNNNNNNNNNNNNNNNNNNNNNNNNNNNNNNNNNNNNNNNNNNNNNNNNNNNNNNNNNNNNNNNNNNNNNNNNNNNNNNNNNNNNNNNNNNNNNNNNNNNNNNNNNNNNNNNNNNNNNNNNNNNNNNNNNNNNNNNNNNNNNNNNNNNNNNNNNNNNNNNNNNNNNNNNNNNNNNNNNNNNNNNNNNNNNNNNNNNNNNNNNNNNNNNNNNNNNNNNNNNNNNNNNNNNNNNNNNNNNNCGUUUCGUCCGUUUUGCGGUACGCCACACCCCUCCCGAUCAACAGGACCCCCGUUUCGACCGUAGGAGGUCCGUUUCGUCCAUUUUGCGGUACGCCACGCCCCUCCCGAUCAACAGGACCCCCGUUUCGACCGUAGGAGGUCCGUUUCCUCCGUUUUGCGGUACGCCAGACCCCUCCCGAUCAACAGGACCCCGUUCCGAACGUAGGAGGUCCGUUUCCUCCGUUGUGCGGUACGCCAUGAAGGAAAUAUGCCCUAGAGGCAAUAAUAAAGUUAUUAUUUAUUUCCUUAUAUCAUGAUAAAUGUUUAUUAUUCAUGCUAGAAUUGUAUUAACCGGAAACAUAAUACUUGUGUGAAUACAUAGACAAACAGAGUGUCACUAGUAUGCCUCUACUUGACUAGCUCGUUGAUCAAAGAUGGUUAUGUUUCCUAGCCAUAGACACGAGUUGUCAUUUGAUUAACGGGAUCACAUCAUUAGGAGAAUGAUGUGAUUGACUUGACCCAUUCCGUUAGCUUAGCACUCGAUCGUUUAGUAUGUUGCUAUUGCUUUCUUCAUGACUUAUACAUGUUCCUAUGACUAUGAGAUUAUGCAACUCCUGUUUACCGGAGGAACACUUUGUGUGCUACCAAACGUCACAACGUAACUGGGUGAUUAUAAAGGUCCUCUACAGGUGUCUCCGAAGGUACUUGUUGGGUUGGCAUAUUUCGAGAUUAGGAUUUGUCACUCCGAUUGUCGGAGAGGUAUCUCUGGGCCCUCUCGGUAAUGCACAUCACUUAAGCCUUGCAAGCAUUGCAACUAAUGAGUUUGUUGCGAGAUGAUGUAUUAUGGAACGAGUAAAGAGACUUGCCGGUAACGAGAUUGAACUAGGUAUUAAGAUACCGACGAUCGAAUCUCGGGAAAGUAACAUACCGAUGACAAAGGGAACAAUGUAUGUUGUUAUGCGGUUUGACCGAUAAAGAUCUUCGUAGAAUAUGUGGGAGCCAAUAUGGGCAUCCAGGUCCCGCUAUUGAUUAUUGACCGGAGACGUGUCUUGGUCAUGUCUACAUAGUUCUCGAACCCGUAGGGUCCGCACGCUUAACGUUACGAUGACAGUUUUAUUAUGAGUUUAUGAGUUUUGAUGUACCGAAGGAGUUCGGAGUCCCGGAUGAGAUCGGGGACAUGACGGGGAGUCUCAAAAUGGUCGAGACGUAAAAAUCGAUAUAUUGGACGACUAUAUUCGGACAUCGGAAAGGUUCCGAGUGAUUCGGGUAUUUUUCGGAGUACCGGAGAGUUACGGGAAUUCGUAUUGGGCCUUAAUGGGCCAUACGGGAAAGGAGAGAAAGGCCCCAAAGGAUGGCCGCACCCCUCCCCAUGGACUAGUCCGAAUUGGACUAGGGAAGGGGGGCGCCCCCUUCCUUCCUUCUCCUUCUCCCUUCCCUUCUCCUACUACAACAAGGAAAGGAGGAGUCCUACUCCCGGUGGGAGUAGGACUCCCCCCUUGGCGCGCCCUCCUCCUAGGCCGGCGGCCUCCCCCUUGCUCCUUUAUAUACGGGGGCAGGGGGCACCCCAUAGACACAACAAUUGAUCUAUUGAUCUCUUAGCCGUGUGCGGUGCCCCUUCCACCAUAUUACACCUCGAUAAUAUCGUAGCGGUGCUUAGGCGAAGCCCUGCGUCGGUAGAACAUCAUCAUCAUCACCACGCCGUCGUGCUGACGAAACUCUCCCUCAACACUCGGCUGGAUUGGAGUUCGAGGGACGUCAUCGAGCUGAACGUGUGCUGAACUCGGAGGUGCCGUGCGUUCGGUACUUGAUCGGUCGGAUCGUGAAGACGUACGACUACAUCAACCGCGUUGUGUUAACGCUUCCGCUUUCGGUCUACGAGGGUACGUGGACAACACUCUCCCUCUCGUUGCUAUGCAUCACCAUGAUCUUGCGCGUGCGUAGGAAUUUUUUUGAAAUUACUACGUAACCCAACACGCCAGGCCUCGUUUCCAUCGCCUGUUCUGUCCAAGCGCUCCCGAUGAACACGACCACGCAUUCCGUUCCGACCCAGCCGGUUGGCUCCCACGCGUUUCGUUGCCUCCCGAUGAACACGACGCAUUCCGUUGCCUCCCCAUGAACACGACGCAUUCCGUUGCCUCCCCAUGAACACGACGACGACGUUGUUUCUCCGUUCCGACCCAGCCAUGUACACGAGCCCUGGCCGUACGUAUGCGCGAGUAGGCGUUCGAGACCCCGCCCGUAUGUACACAUACGUGGCCGUAUUUUCUUUCUUGCACCCUGGCCGCUGUACGUACGUGUACAUGCUACGUGCGCGCCUCUACUACGACAUGUACGCGCCUCUACUACGACACGUGCGCGCCUCUACAUCCACCAGUAUAUAUGUACGUACACGUUCGCGACAAGAAUGACAACGCCACGUACGCUUCGACCAGGUGGGUCCCGACUAUCAGGCACUUCCUUGCCUGCGAAGAUGUAGCUGGUGGGUCCCAGCAGUCAGGGGGCGAAUCGUUUUUUUUCGGACGCACUUCCUUGCGUGCGAAGAUGUAGCUGGUGGGUCCCAGCAGUCAGGGGCAAACGUUUUUUUUCGCGAAAUACGGUGGCCCAUCCGGUGGGUCCCGCUGUCAGGUGGAGGAAUAAUUAUUUUGCACGUAAUAAGGAGGCACUUCCUUGCUGCGGCCGUGGACCCAGCUGUCAGCCUCUCCACGUACAGUCCACGUCCGAUGGAAGCCGUUCCUUGACCACGUUGACCACGCCGCGCCGAGAGCACCAGGGCGGUGGACGACGGCGAGGCCUAGGAAGGGGACGACACGGAGCCGGGGAAGACGCGGCAGCAGAUGCCCACACGUAGAGGAGUACGAGGGUUCAUUGGUUCGCUGGGUGUGAGGCUGCCGUCGCCGCAGAAUAACAGGGGGUGUGGGUGAGUAGAGGGAUGGCCUGGCCAGCCGUGGGAGUAGUAGGGGGCGGUGAGGCCUCCGCCGCAUCACAGCCGGCCACGGGAGGCAGGAGCACGAGGCACGACCGGCGCUGGUUUGGGUGGCUGGAGCAAGAAGACCAGAGGUUGAAGAAGCACUACGGCCGUUGGAUGGACAUCGUAUGGUCACUGGAGCUAGAAUCGUGCAUAUUGACUAAGUUGACAAAGCCCUCUGUCUCCGUCAACUUAGUAGGCCCACAAGUCAGCCUGCCACUAUACUGGGUCCCAGCUUACAGGGGGAGUAUUCAUUUUUUUGUGCGUAAUAAGGAGGCACUUCCUUGCGUGCGAAGAUAUAGCUGGUGGGUCCGAGCUGUCAGCGUCGGUAACGUUUUUUCGCGAAAUACAGAGGCCCUUUCGGUGGGUCCCUGAUGUCAGGUGGAGGAAUCAUUAUUUUGCGCGUAAUAAGGAGGCAUUUCCUUGCGUGGGGCCGUGGACCCAGCUGUCGGCCUCUCCACGUACAGUCCACUUCAGAUGCAUGUCGGUCGUUGACCACGUUGACCAGAGAGCACCAGGGCGGUGGACGACGGCGAGGCCUAGGAAGGGAACGACACGGAGGCAGGGAAGACUCGACAGUAGUUUCCCACGCAGAGGGGAGUACGACUGUUAGAGGGUUUACUGGUUCGUCUGCCGUCGCCGGAGAAUAACACCAGGUGUGGGUGAGUAGAGGGAUGGCUAGGCCAGCGAUGGGAGUAUGGUGGGGCGGUGAGGCCUGCGCGGCAGAACAGCCGGUCGCGGGGAGGAGGGAGCAGGCAGUCCCGCCGGCGCUUGUUUAAGCGGCUGGAGCAGGAAGAGCAGAGAUUGAAGAAGCACGGCGGCCGUUCGAUGGACAUCCAACAGUCACUGCUUGUGCGUCAACCUUUUUUUAGGAGAGCCUCAAAUCUGUGGAAAACAGCAUACAACCCAUCUGCCAUUAUUUCUAAUAAUUUACAGCCCAUUUGCUAAUUCUUAAGGUUUUUUUUGGAGCCCAUAUUCUUUUUGUUAGCAUUACAACCCAUAUUGUGGCCACGGUUAAAAAAUUAUACGAAAUUUUGCAUAUUUCGGUGCGGUCCGAACUGUUUUUAAUCCCGAAAUUUCGACUCACAUUCAAACUUAUUUUAAAAAUAAAUGUAUAUCAAUAUAAAAUCCAACAAAUUCUCCACGCAUAAAAAUUAAUGUAAUUUAAAAUCUCGAAAUGAAAAAAGAUAUUUGAAACUAAUUGCCGGUUUGAUGUGUUUUAAAAAUGUAUAACCCAUUUCUCAUUACUGAUAGGCCAUUUUCUCGGCUAGCCGAAUGAAGCUCUCCUCGUCUUGAAAGAUUUGCAGCCCAACAGGCCUGACAAAGCGACUUACUUGGCAAAUCACAAAAAAACUGGGCUGUGGCCGUGGACCCAGCUGCCAGCCUCUCCACGUACAGUACUCUUCCGAUGGAAGUCGGUCGUUGACCACAUUGACCACGCCGCACCGAGAGCACCAAGGCGGUGGACGACGGCGAGGCCUAGGAAGGGGACGACGCGGAGCCGGGGAAGACGCGGCAGUGGAUGGCCACGCGGAGAGGAGUACGAGGGUUCACUGGUUCGGCUACGGCGUGAGGCUGCCGUCGCCGCAAAAUAACAGGGGGUGUGGGUGAGUAGAGGGAUACCCUGGGCCAGCGGUGGGAGUAGUAGGGGCGGUGAGGCCUCCGCGACAUCACAGCCGGCCACGAGAGGCAGGAGCACGCGGCACGACCGGCGCUGCUUUGGGCGGCUGGAGCAAGAAGACCAGAGGUUGAAGAAGCACUAUGGCCGUUGGAUGGACAUCGUACGGUCACUGGAGCUAGAAUCGUUCAUAUUGACUAAGUUGACAAAGCCCUCCGUCCUCGUCAACUUAGUAGGCCCACAAGUGAGCCACCCACUAUGGUGGGUCCCAGCUAGCAGGGGGUAUUCAUUUUUUGGUGCGUAAUAAGGAGGCACUUCCUUGCGUGCGAAGAUAUAGCUGGUGGGUCCGACCUGUCAGUGGGGGGAACAUUUUUUUCGUGAAAUACAGAAGCCCUUCCCACGUACAGUGCACGUACAGUGCGUAAUAAGGAGGAACUUUCCUUGCGUGCGACCAUGGACCUCAUGGGUCCCAGCCGUCAGGCUCUCCACGUACAGUCCUCUUCCGAUGACUCUCGUAUGUUGACCACGCCGCGCCGAGCGCACCGAGGCGGUGGACGAUGGCGAGGCCCCAGACUGGAACGACCCGGAGAUGGGGAAGACGCGGCAGUGGAGUCGCAGACGAAGAGGAGUGGGAAACUUGACUGGUUCGGGUGCGGGGUGGGCCUACACUCGGCAGAGAAUAACAGGAGGUGCGGAGUGGAGGGAUGGCCUGGCCGUCAGCGGGGUAGCGUUUCACUGAGGAGCGCAAAACAACGCCGCUGGACGCCGAAGGCUGGAGCAGGCGGUUCCGGCAGCGCUGGGGGAAGAAGACGAGAGAUUGAAGAAGAAUGCCGGCCGUUGGAUGUAAAUCCAACGCCUUCUUAGGCUUCGACCUACUGGCCCACAUGUCAGCCAGUCCAUUUGUUUUUUAGUCCAUUUGGUAGGCUGGGUGAAACAAUGAUGUAGCAUCUAUGCAGCCCGUUUAAAUCCCAUUUGCAAUUUUCUCGAAAUCCGCGGACUUGCUGGGCUGGGUGAAAAUAUCAUGUUGGGCUAGACGGAGAAAUGUUAUAAAAACAUAAACACAUGAUUGCACGUCAGUAAAAUCUUUGCAAGCUUAUGUACGCAAUCACUAGGAGUUAACUUGCCAAGUUAUAUAUAAACAAUUAUUAUUAUUAUUUUGUAAGAACUUUCAACUUAUGAAAUAAAAUAUCAUUUUAAUUUGAUGAGUUAAUAGUACGUGGGGUAUUAUUAUUUUUUAGGCUAGACGUGGGACAGUUGAGUUGGUUCUAGGGGAAAGUACUGGGAGAAAACUCUGUUUACAUCGAAAAAGAAAGUGGGAGAAAAUUCAGAGACCUGCUGGGUCCACCUGAGGAGGGGAAUAUGUUGGGAGGAAGGAGAUUCAAAGCACGGCAGCCGAGUGAACUAGUUUUUUUACAGACAAGUGAACUAGUUUACAUACAUAAUCAAAUAGUCACUAAAAAAAGCAAUCAGGUUAAUGGGUUCUUAAAAGAAAUAUUUCAGACAAAACAGAUAAUUACGACACAUAGGCUAAUGCAUAAAACACUCAGAUGAUAAAGGUGCUUAUAAACAGAUAAAGUACAACAUCUAGACCUUCCUGGCACGCUUGAUCAUGACGCUGCGGCUGUCCGUGUACUCGUCGGUUACGGGAAGCAGACACGCCCUCAUGUCCAAGAUCUGCCUGUACAUGUCGUAGCAUGCGUAUGCGUCCUUGGCCGCGUAGGUUAUGUAGGCUAGAUUCAGAGGUACCUCCCACGUGUUCAGGUCGUCUUCUUUCAUGUUGGCGUAUCAGGGGUCGAUGAUGGUCUCAGCGAGGUCAACCACGGAGUCCUUCUCCUGCCUGUUGCUGAUGAUCUUGUAUUGCUUCUGGAUGUCGACAAGCUUGUUGCACCAGAUGGCCGAAUCGUCGCGUUCUUCCUUCUCUCCACCGUAGCGAAGGUGCUGUCGGCGCUGCCGAUGAAACGGGCGAAUGCUCCAGAACCUGGUGCAGCCAUAGGACUGAGGCGAGGCAGAGCUUCACCGAGUCCGUAUCGUUGGUGUACAUCACAUUCAACUUGGUGCAGCCAUAGGACUGAACGGCGAACUCAAAGGGGAACUCCUUGCUGAAGUCCAUAUCCAGCAGGUCACCCCUCGGAUCGCCAUUGGAGUCUCUUCGAGUGAACGAGUGUGUAGGCGGCGGCAGCAGUUCGUUUUCCAGCUCUUGGGGAACUGGAUUCAACAAUAAGCUGAGUGUGUACAGGCGACAACAGUUACUACCCCUCCCUCGUCCGCUGCACGCCCAGCAGAAGAUGCACCCUCGGCCACACGUCGGUUCACGAGCGGGUCUGUAUUGGUACUGUAAUAAUAGGAGUUAGUGGUCACUUUACUUAAAUUUAAUUAGCUUUAAUAGAAAUUUAUACUUAAAACAAGCAAUGCAUUCGCUCGUUCUAUCAGUGCCACAGGAUCAACAUGCACAACAAUUAGAAUUAUUAUUCUCAGGACGCACACGAUCAGCACAUUUGUCGCACUUUCACAAAGAUAAUACUACCAAGUUUGAACUGUUUGUUAUGGUUGUUGUCCUCUGCAUCAUCAUGCCGUGUUUCCCAGCUUGCAAGAUUCAGAACCAACAAAUAAGAUCCAAAUAAUAAGUACAACAAAGAUGCCUACACAUCUCAUUGAUUCCCAGCUUGCAAGAUUCAGAACCAACAAAUAAGAUCCAAAUAAUAAGUACAACAAAGAUGCCUAGACAUCUCAUUGAUUCCCAGCUUGCAAGAUUCAGAACCAACAAAUAAGAUUCAAAUAAUAAGUACAACAAAGAUGCCUACACAUCUCACUGAUUCCCAGCUUGCAAGAUUCAGAACCAACCCAUUAGAGCCUUUUGAUAAAGUGAAUAUCGGGAUUAAAUCCAUCUUGGCUAGCCAUGUCAUACAAUCGAAGAACUUGGCGAAUGCUCUUGACCGUCACAACAUCUGUAGUUGAGUAUUCCUGUUUGCACAGCGCAGAUAAUAAAGAGCAUGAUUACUAUAAUACUGGCACUAGUGGAAGUCAACCUGCAGCUCCACUCGAUGAUUCAAUUCAUGCCACUUUUUCUGCAGUUCACCUGAAAUGAAGCAAAGAUUGCAUCAUUCAGCUACGACUCAUCUUGCAAAGGCUAAUAAAAUGUUGCACGAGAUUACCAGCAGAAUUUGACGGAGAUUUUGGAAACUCCAAUCACCAUUUUGUGCAGUUCCACCAAAAUUGAGAGAUGUUGCCCAUGUAACAUUUUAGUUGAACUGCACAAGACACUCAUUCCAAAAAGUGUUUUGUGUAGUUCACCAAAAGGUCACAAUAGCAACAAGGUGAAACGGAUAUCCCUAUCUGCACAAAAAGAUAGAAAGUGAACAGUUGCUGGUCAAUAAGAAUAUACGAAACAUAUACAAAAUGAAAAGAAGCAUCUUAAUUAUGUUCAUGGCAAUCACACAAGGACAGUAGAAAUUUUAAAACGUCAACAAUGCUUCAUGUUACCAGAAGCAUUACGAUCAACAAUGAGAUUCCUCAAAUAUGGGAUUACUUUAAUGGUGGCAUUGCUUGUUUACCAGACACGGUAAAUCAACAGCAGCUAAAGAGUUGGUUUAAGGGCAUGGGACCAUGGGGACACCAGGACACUCAACAUCGUAAAGGAGCAACUUACUUAUCAUACUGGGGAAAACAGCAGGAGUGCCAUUUGUAACAUAGUUUAAUUGCAUCUUAUCACUGGAGGCAUUAGAUUAACAAUAACACUGGUUAGACAUGUCCCUAAGGUAACAGUGUGAUCGCUUCAUUUUACAUGCGCCCUUACAUUAACAAUAGCAAAAGGUUGGUAUAAGGACAUGCGACAGUGGACGCAUCAGCACAAUGUACCUACAAGGAGGCAUAAAGUGGUGAUGCCGAGUUUGUUCAUGCUAUGUGAGGGCAGCAAACCUAAUCCUGGAGACCUUGUACUAUGUGAGGGCAGAAAAUCUAAUCCUGGAGACCUUUUACUAUGUGAGGGCAGCAAAUCUAAUCCUGGAGACCUUUUACUAUGUGAGGGCAGCAAAUCUAAUCCUGGAGACCUUUUACUAUGUGAGGGCACCAAAUCCAAUCCUGAGACCUUUUACUAUGUGAGGGCAGCAAAUCUAAUCCUGAGACCUUUUACUAUGUGAGGGCAGCAAAUCUAAUCCCGGAGACCUUUUACUAUGUGAUGGCAGCAAAUCUAAUCCUGGACAUACUCUGUUGACUUGUCCACCAGCCGCCACUUUCUAUCCUUUUUUCAACCAAUAAUAGAUCUGUUCCUUAUCCAGUUUGUACUGCGUUUUCCCAUUAUUUCCCUUUUCAACCAAGAGACCGGUUGGGUAUCCGGUCUCUACUACUUUCACCAUAUUAUUUCCUCUUUGAAUCAAGUCCUAGAUUCAUGCUACAACUUCCCCCCUUUCUUCGUUGUUUGAACAAAGCCCUAGAUUCGAAUGCAUGAAGUAGCUUUACCUCUAAUAAUACUAAAAAUUUAGGUGGCUUUGGAAGAGCUGAUGGGAGUAGAAAAAGAUGCACAUGCAGACACGUGGGGAGCUGGGGCAGUAGAGCAAGGCCGCUUUCGAAGAACUUAUACCUGAGGGUCGCUGGGAUGUCGGCGGCGGCAGGUCGGAUCUGCGGACAAUACGGCAGGGAGGAAGAAGGGUCGGAGGACCUCCCGAGCCGGCGCUGUGUCGGAGAGAACGGCACGGGCAGAGGACCGGGCCCCUCCGGCAGCUAUCGGUUUCCUCCCUCGGCGGCGAUGACCGCGUGAACGAUGCACCUUUUAGUCCUCUACACACACUGGCCGAAGGGAUCCGGUCGGAUCUGUGACCAGCGGUGAGCAGAGAGAAAAUGUCGCUACCGCUGUCUUGUUUAUAUCUGGAGAGGAUGAGAGAAUGAAGAGAGCAACCCUAGUAAAGCAAGCGCUCAGGCCCCUGCGUCCAUAUAUAGUGGAGUGAUUAUCUUUUUUCUCUCCACAACAAGCGUUUCAAUUUGUGUAUGUGGCAUUAAAAAAAGAAACUCUCUAUUUAAGGUGACUACUGUACAACUCCUACUUACUACUAGUAGUACUACAGUAUUGUUCACUUGUGCUCCCCGCCCCUCCAUUCAUUGAACAACCCCACGGGUGAAUAAACAUACAGUAAGUACUGUAUUUAUAUAGAACGAACAAGCUCGAACUAUUUUCGCGUAGUUAAAAGUUGAGGGCGGGGCUUUUCCCGGGCAGUACGCGCGGCAGUUUUUGGGCACGCGGUUUGACAGAGAGGCGAGGUGGGUGAGCGAGUGGGGCUGUGCGAUUUGACAGCGCGUUACUGCUGGAAAGACUUGUGAUAUGACCACUCACUAUAGUCAUAAAUUACUGGCGCUUCGACCGGGGUGAUGCCCCCCUUCCGUUCCGCGCUCUAAUCUGGUGCAUGACAUGUCGACCCGGAUGCUGGCUCUCCCACAUGUCGGAGUAGUAAGAAGGAGCAAAGAAUGAUGCGAUAUAUACUAGUACUAUACUACUCAGGUCGGAGGAGUGCAAACCACGGCAGCCCAGUGAACCAGCAGUGCGAACCACGGUAGCCCAGUGAACCAACAGUAGAAAACAAUGUGGUGAUAUGGCCAUAAAAACAAUAUGCUACGGUCCACACUAUAGCAUGUACAGUAACACUCCUCUUUGUUUGGAUCCCUGAGUUAGAGCUAGUUUGGGUUGAAAUAGCCUCAAAUUAUCGAAACAAGAGGGGUUAGUUUGAGCUAGUUUGCUCUAACCCAGCUAAAAAAACUAGCCCGGUGGAGAGGUUCUAAUUGGGUUAGUUGUCCUCGGGCCCACUAAAAGAGAACUAAAAAAAUCUCCCCUGCCCGCACCAGAUCGCUCCCCCCUCUCGCACGACUCCUCUCUGUUCCCCAUAGGGCCGCUCACCCUCUCUCUCCUCCGGCCGCCCUCUCCUUCUGGCCUCCGCCGCCCUACUCCGGCCGCCCUCUCCCUCCGGCCUUCGAAGGUCGGCCCGCUCCCCCUUCACCAGUCGUUUUUCUCCCUCUGUCGUGCGCGGCAGCGGCGCAUCUACCAGGGAGGUCGCGAGAGGGGUGAGUUUGUUCGUUCCUUCUCUGUCUCACGGCCAUAUCAUUGAUCUUGCUUGCUCUAGCGCUAAUUCUGAUUUGGAAAAGUAGAUCCUGAUCAAACUUGGUAUAGAUUUGUGGUGCACACAUGGAAUUGUUUGAUGAUGCUUGAGGAGGUAAUAAAUCUUUCUAGAGGCCCAAAUAUUCAGGUCACCUUUCUAGGUAUUUCAAUUUCAGGCUUGCAUUAUUUCUAGAGGCCCAAAGAUUCAGUUCACCUUUCUAGGUAUUUCAAUUUCAGGCUUGCAUUAUUUCUAGAGGCCCAAAGAUUCAGUUCACCUUUCUAGAUAUUUCAGUUUCAGGCUUGCAUUCUUUCUAGAGGCCCAAAGAUUUAGUUCACCUUUCUAGGUAUUUCACUUUCAGGCUUGCAUUAUUUCUAGAGGCCCAAAGAUUCAGUUCACCUUUCUAGGUAUUUCACUUUCAGGCUUGCAUUAUUUCUAGAGGCCCAAAGAUUCAGUUCACCUUUCUAGGUAUUUCAGUUUUAGGCUUGCAUUAUUUCUAGAGGCCCAAAGAUUCAGUUCACCUUUCUAGGUAUUUUAGUUACAGGCUUGCAUUAUUUCUAGAGGCCCAAAGAUUAAGUUCCCAGUCGGUGGCAAGCGGCCCUGCUACCCAUGCCGGUGUCGACCUCAACUCGCAAGGGCCGGCGUCGGAGGGGUUCCCGGGGCUUGGGCUCUACAGAGCCUUCCUCCAGAGCGACGAUGGCGAGCUCCUCCCUCGGUGCGUGAGGGGCUUCGGGCUCCCUCCCUAUCGUGAAUGACUUCCGUGAUGAGUUAGCUCAUUCUUUGUUUCAUGAAGUGUUUUUUAUUUAUUUUGUGAAGCUUGAUUGACGACUUGUAUGUUUAAGUGGGAUAUCUCAUUUGUAUGGACAAAGUAAAAAUUAUCAUGUUUUGCAUGCUUGAUUUGUAUAGAUGGUUCGUUUAUGUCAAUUGUGAGCGGGAGGAGGCCACAGAAGAGCCGGCCACACCAAGAGGGUGCUUGGAUCCAAGGGACUUAUUUUAGUCUGACUAAAAAUAGUCUCUUUAAGAGGCUAAAGUUCCAAGCACCCCUGACUAAAGUGGGGCUAAAACUAGUCUUGAGACAAAAAUUUUAGUCAGGGGUACCCCUACUAAAAUGUGGAUUAGUCCUCUCUCUCCUCAUUUAACUCCUCUCCUUUAACACAGGCGAGUUCUGGAUUGUAGGGUUUGGAGGAUAACAAAUGCUCAUUAACUUGAUUUUAGUCUCUUUAGUAUUUGGAUCCAGGCAUGGGUGAGGCUAGCAAGUUUUAGUCCCACUACUUUUAGUCAUGAAACUAAAACGUAUCCAAGCACCCUCCAAAUCCGGCAGGAAAUAGGGUCCAAAGUAGUCAAAUGAUUGAGACAGAGCAUUUAUAUUGUCAAUCUAACCCUGCCAUCCAUACACCUCUUUGGUUUAGAGUUAGUUCAGGGUUAGAAUCUAACUCUAACCUCUAACUGAGUUAGAGUUCUCCUUGUCUCGGUUCAUCGCCAUCAUACUUUCCCCAUUCCUGUGUUUUCAGUAUCCUGCGAAUCAAGAGGCCCUUUUUUUGCGGGAAAAAUCAAAGAGGCCCUUAGACUGGUUUCGGUCCGGUCAUUUUUUAUAAACGUGUUAUGUCCAAAAUUUAAUGAACGUGCUCCGGUUUCCACAAAAAUAAUCCGGUUUCAUGUAGUAAUUCAUUCAUUUAUUUAUUCUUCUGCGGGGGUUUGCAUGUAAUUCGUGAGGUCUGAAAUGUAAAGUACCCCGGCAUAGGCUCUGAGUCGUGCAUGCACUACGACCUAGAUGCUCUAUGUCCCACAUGUCGGCGAAUGGGAGCACGUGGAAAUAUCCUAGGAGUACAUAUAGGAGGAUAAAUGCGUGAAAUAAUAUGUACUGUGAAGCGUAGCCGCGGUUCGAAAAGGAAACCUAAAGUGAUGACAGCUAUAGGUCGCACGCACCCAACUAGUGGUACUAGACAUACGACUAAUUUUUCCCUCAAUAAAAAAAGAGGCACGAGUGCUCAGUACUCCUAUUCUAUAAACACGAGUCCCAUCUGACAACAGCGUCCGUGCUACAGCUAGCUCUCCUCCCUCGUUUCUCUCUUCUAAUUCUAAACUCGGCCGGCGCCUUGGAUGAUUUGGCACAGCCGACUGCCGCUUGCGUCUAUCGCCUCCAUAGGUGCUUGUGGCUUCUGGUCACUUGGUCUUGGAUUGGAGUGAGCAGUGUUGCGCAUAGACUUGGGAGUAGAUGGAUUGGAGUGGUGGGGCGCCUUUAUUAUAUGAGAGUCCAAACUCUGUUGCAUUCACAUCGUGCUGGCUCUAUUCUGCUUCUCCAAUUAAUUCCCUCUGGAUGUAAUUGAGGAUGCAUCAUUGACCGUUCAACGUCUCGGGAACCGCUACCCUCUCCCCCCUUGGCAUUCAAGCACCUAUGGACCCGUCGACGACGAGGUGCCUAUGGUGACUUCGUAAAUUUCAAGAUGAUAGUGCCGUGCGUGUGUGCGUUCAUAGGGGUGAGUGUAUGCGCGUGUAUAUGAGCGCUUGCGUCUGUACUGUGUAAAAAAACCGUAAAUGCGUGUCAAAAAGAGACUAGUCAGUAUACUCAAUAUUGUGCACCUCGGAGAGGAAAAUGAUAGAACUAGUACGUAUUUAUUAACGGUGCAGAUUCACUCAUUUUGCUCCAUAUGUACUCCGUCUCGAUGUAGUCUAGUCACUUGUUGAAAUCUCUAGAAGGGCAAAUAUUAGCAAGUAGUUGUACGUACUAGUACAAUAGUGGGCUCACAUAGCAAUUUUGUCUCAUGCAAGAGCCUGGCUAUAUGCGUGCUCCAAUGUUCGCAACUGCAACGUUCGGUUUGCGCUUGGCUCUUCGCCUCUUCGAGAAGACGAACAAUGAUGUUACUACUACUGCUUCUACAGUGUCGAAUCCACUGCUGCAUGUCCGUCCACCGCGAGCUGGACGGAUAGCUUGUUGUAGAAGUACUACUAAGCAAAAGCCUGUCCUCGUUUGCGAGCAACCGCGCGCAUGGGUGAGGGAGAAGGCGUGUAGUAAAAUCAAGCUUCUCCUCGUUGUACGAGUUGACGUGACACACCAUAGCACUGGCCCCACAUGCUUGCCUCUAAACUUGGCUGAAAGACCCGCAGUGUACAAUAUAUUUGCUGCAACCUCUAACACUUACCCACCACAAAUUAAAAUAUAUGUGGCCGUAUGCAUCGUUCUGAUGCAGAGGCCGGGGAGUCCCCCCUUUUCGAAAAAAAACAAAUUAAAAUAUAUAUUCCUGUCUUGACCAGAUGAGCGUGCAAACUACAAUCACCAGGGUGUCAUGUAGGGCCAGAAGACUAUUUUAAUUUUUUUAAAAACUUCGAGACGGCCACAUAGCAUGGAGCCGACCCCAACGAUUUUAAGCUUACAGGCACGGUACACGCUAUCCUAGACUACUCUACACAUGAAACUGCCACACGAGCGUCCGGGCUGCGCUUGGCUCUUCGCCUCUUCGGGAAGUCGAACAAUGAUGGAGUACUACUGCACUGGAGGAGUACUACAGUACGCUUCUGGCCAUCUAACACCGAUUGAACUGCUGCAUGUUCACCGCGUGCGGGAGGGAGAGCGUGUAGUGAAAGCUUCUCCUAGUCUUGCCAGCCACCACGCUCAUGGGCGAGGGAGGGACGCUGUAUGUGGCCAACCUGUCAUACAGCCAAAGGCGGGUGCAGUUAAGUCCGCGAGGGAGAGGAUAAUCAAACUUCUCGUUGAUGUACGAGUUGACGCGACACAUCAAAGCACUGCACUCGAUAUAUUUCAAUAAUUUGCGUUUACCGAUGCAUUAAUUACAACGCAUGCAUGCAUGCCGUGACUCUCCUUUUGAUACUUGCAUGUGUUGAUUUAAUGCACCUUGAAGUAGUAUAAAAUAUGUGGAUUGUGUCGUCGGUUGUGAAAUGUUGGGUUCUAGCACGGAUGUUUGGCCUUUGUUGGCCUCUUGGGAUGUUGCGAUUUCAAUCUGGUAGCUUUUAGUCCUUCGUGUUAGGCUGGAGUUGUGCUGAACUUCGUGUGAAUUGUGGUGGUUUUCAGUUGUAACACCCACGAUGCGGCUAUAUCUCCCACGUGCCGAGGCACGACUUAGAGGCAUAACCGCGUUGUAGGUAUUGUCGCAAGAAGGUCAUCUUCACACAAUCCCAUGUAAUGAACAAGAAUGGGAUAAAGAGAGUUGGCUUACAAUCGCCACUUCACACAAUACAUAAAUUAAUUCAUACACCAUCCAAAAUCCACACAUAGACCGACUACGGUCAAAUCCAAAUGAAAAGAAGAUAACCCCAAAUGCUAGAUCCCCGUCGUCCCAACUGGGCUCCACUACUGAUCAUCAGGAAAUGAAACAUAGUAACGACCACGGUCCUCGCCGAACUCCCACUUGAGCUCGGUUGCGUCGCCUGCACUGGUAUCGUCGGCACCUGCAACUGUUUUGGUAGAAUCUGUGAGUCACAAGGACUCAGCAAUCUCACACUCGCGAGAUCAAGACUAUUUAAGCUUAUAGGAAAGGAUGGGGUAAUGAGGUGGAGCUGCAGCAAGCACUAAGCAGAUGGUGGCUAACACACGCAAAUGAGAGCGAGAAGAGAAGCAACGCAACGAUCGCGAAGCUAGAAAUGAUCAAGAAGUGAUCCUGAAACUACUUACGUUCAUACAUAACCCAAACCGUGUUCACUUCCCGGGCUCCGCUGAAAAGAGACCAUCACGACUACACACACAGUUGAUGUAUUUUAAUUAAGUCAAGUGUCAAGUUCUCUACAACCGGGCAUUAACAAAUUCCCAUCUGCCUCAUAACCGCGGGCACGGCUUUCGAAAGAUAAUACCCUGCAGGGGUGUCCCAACUUAGCCCAUUAUAAGCUCUCACGGUCAACGAAGGAUAUUCCUUCUCCCGGGAAGACCCGAUCAGUCUCGGAAUCCCGGUUUACAAGACAUUUCGACAAUGGUAAAACAAGACCAGCAAAGCCGCCCGAUGCGCUGACAAUCCCGAUAGGAGCUGCACAUAUCUCGUUCUCAGGGCAACACCGGAUGAGACAUCCUACGAGUAAAACCAGCCCUCAAGUUUCCCUGAGGUGGCCCCGCAGUCUACUCGGUUCAGACCAGCCCUUAGAGAAGCACUGGCCCCCGGGGGNNNNNNNNNNNNNNNNNNNNNNNNNNNNNNNNNNNNNNNNNNNNNNNNNNNNNNNNNNNNNNNNNNNNNNNNNNNNNNNNNNNNNNNNNNNNNNNNNNNNNNNNNNNNNNNNNNNNNNNNNNNNNNNNNNNNNNNNNNNNNNNNNNNNNNNNNNNNNNNNNNNNNNNNNNNNNNNNNNNNNNNNNNNNNNNNNNNNNAUGCACGACUCCCAAGGGAAAAGGCUAGGUGAGGCAAAUGUAAAACCAAGGUUGGGCCUUGCUGGAAGAGCUUUAUUCAAAGCAAACUGUCAAGGGGGUCCCAUAAAACACCCAACCGCGUAAGGGACGCAAAAUCAAGGAACAUAACACCGGUAUGACGAAAACUAGGGCGGCAAGAGUGGAACAAAACACCAGGCAUAAGGCCGAGCCUUCCACCCUUUACCAAGUAUAUAGAUGCAUUAAUUAAGAUACGAGAUAUUGUGAUAUCCCAACAUAUCCAUGUUCCAACAUGGAACAAACUUCAUCUUCACCUGCAACUAUCAACGCGAUAAGAGGGGCUGAGCAAAAGCGGUAACAUAGCCAAACAACGGUUUGCUAGGAAAGGAUGGUUAGAGGCUUGACAUGGCAAUAUGGGAGGCAUGAUAUAGCAAGUGGUAGGUAGCGCAGCAUAGCAAUAGAGUGAACAACUAGCAAGCAAAGAUAGAAGUGAUUUCGAGGGUAUGGUCAUGUUGCGUGAGAUCCCGCAAGGAAGAAGAACGAGUCCAUGAAGAAGACAAAUGGACGAAGUCGAACAAAUCCUCACAACUCCGAAAUGAAACCGAAGCUAACCCGAGAAGCAAACCGGAAAGGAGCAAACAACAUGGUAAACAACCAUCACAUUAACAUGGCACGAUGCACAAUCAAGUAUGAUGCAUGUCCGGUUUAAAUGAGGCAUGGCAUGGGAAAAUGCAACAAAGAAUACUACAAAUUAAGUGGAGCUCAAUAUGCAACGAGUUGCAUAUUGACAAAACACCACAUCAAUUAUUUAGUUCUCUCCUGUUUAUGUACCCAACAAUAUUAACUGUGGUUAAGCAGGGCAAGAGGUGAAGCAUAAUAAAACUAUCUAUUUAGGCAAGUUUAAAUGAGGCCGGAAAUAACAAAUAACAAUUCCGGAAAAUCCCCAUAUGUCAUUUAGCAAUUUAAAGCAAACAAUAAUUUUAAACGUUUUAAAUGUUAUUAUCAUGAUGCGGAUGACAUAUGCAAGUUUUAAGCAAUUUUAUGGAAAUGUUGACAUGAGCAUGAUACGAGGCAUUUGUCGCCAUGGCGGAAGGAAAAGGGUGCCACUGCGGUGAAACGGAAAUGGUGCUACGGCAACAUCCCGGUUCCGGUAGCUCAUGGAGAUACCGGUGCAAAAGGAAGCGUGGCGUGAGCGUGUCAUGCAAGAUGGUGGGGUGAUCCCGGCAACCGGGUUCCCAUGGGUCGAAGGCAUGGCAACGGGAACAUGCAAGAAAUAAGUCAGGCACGUUGCAAACGUGAGCAUUUCAUGCAACAUAUGCAUUCGUUCACGGGCGGUCGUCUCGUCAUUAUACCUUUGAAGCGUGCGUUUCGAGGCGGUUCAAAAUUGUCGAUGGAAGUAGUCGUUCACGGGUCGUAGUGGAAGUAGUCGUUCUCAAAGUAGUGGUACACGUUUCGUAGUCGUACACAUUCCAUAGAUGUUCGGGGUCACGGCGAGGAACUUGACGUCCACGGAGUCUUCGAGGGUCGACGGUAGUCGUACACGGCAACCGUAGAUGAACUUGUAGGGCCGUCAAUGUCGUGGUACUUGGUGCAAUGCUCGGGAUGGUAGCCCAACAAUUUGUCGGAGAGGGACUUGACGCAUCAAAGGUCUUCGGUGCCACAAUACUUGGCAGGUCGUCAUGUAGACAUAGAACUUCCGAAGAGGAACUUGGCAUGUCCAAAAUCUUCGGGGAUAGUCCUUGGACUUGGCGGUGGUCUCCUCGGGUCAACAGUGAUGUGCAAGGGCCAGAACACCCGGCGGCUUGGGCUGCUCAAGGCCAUGGAGAUGACAGGCAGCAGGAGGCUGCUAGUGGAGGCAGAGCCACGACGAGGAGGUCCUGCUCCGACAGCUGCAAGUGGUGGACGGACGCAGGUAGCGGCAAGGCUUCGGGCGCGAGGGAGAAGGAGCCGGCGCGAGGUGGCUGACGGAGGAGAGCAUCUCACGCGCAGGGAAGGAGGUUGAGGCUGGCGCAGGAGCUAGGCGAGCUCAAGCAGAUCCGGCGGAUGGCGCUGCUCGGAGGUCACCGGACGAAGCAGGACGACGGCGGCGAACGAGAGCGAAACAGAGGAGGCAGGCAUGGCACCGCGCUCUGUUGAAGCAGGGGAACAAGCGGGCGAUGCGGUGCUCCGGCGAGGAGAAGGAGGGCGCCAUGGCAGGGGAACGGCGACAGCGGGAUUGGGACGAGCACGAGGACGACGCCGACGAGCUCCACGGCCACGGCGGACGGCGGAACUGGACGGACUCGAGGGCAGGGAGGCGGCUUGGCGACGCGGGACUUGAGGCGCAGGGGCGAGGCGGUCGGAGGAGUCGCCAGAGCAGGCGCGGAGGAAGGGCUCCGGCGAAGGGGACGUCGAGGGCGAGCCGGGUCGAGGGAAUCGGGCGCGACGCUGCUGUUCUCUCUCAUUCUCUCUGGCGGCGCACGGGAGGGAGGAAGGGAUCGAGAGAUGGGGAUCGAUUGAGGGGGCUAGGGUUAAGGACAGGGGGUGCGGCUGGGCCUCCAGGAGCAAAUGGGCCGGCCUGAGUUCUUGGCUGGGCUUCUCUCCCUCUUUCUCCCUCCUUUAAAUCUCUUCCAUAUACAGAAAAGCAAAGAAAGAAGAGGAGAGAAAAGAAAUGGGCAGACAAAGAAUUUGGGCAUGGGGAUUAUUUUCCCGGACUCACAAAAAUACGAGGAACUUGACAAAAUGGCUUGAGGAUUUUUAGGGGAAGUAAAAUCCACAGGCGUUGGAUUUAACUCGGCAUGUUUGAAUUUUCAAACCCAUUCAAAUGAACUCCAAACGGGUUGAAAACUAUAGAAGGUGACACUACACACCAGAUGUGAUUUAUGGGCAGAUUUGGAACAUUUCUGGAUAAAGUAAAAUUGCAACUCAAUUUUACUAAAAGGCCCCAAAGGAAGAAUUGAAGUUGAGUUGGAUAAAAGGAAAUUUGAAGAACAGAGCAAAUGUGUUAUGGAUGAUUCCAAACCAAUGGAAUGGUUUAGUAUAGCUCCCUAAGUAUUGGGAGGAUAUCUUAUAAAGAGAAAUCACCAUGUGAAUUCCCUCGAUUUAAAUAGAUCAAAAAUCUAUGCAAUUUAUUUAGUUGAGUUUUGAAAAUUAAAUGACAUGAUGGCAUGAUGACAUGAUGCAAUGAAAAAUAAAAGAGCAAGCACAAAAGAAACACACGGUGAUCACAAAAAUAUGGAAGUCUUCUGAAGCGUCGGUCUUGGGGCGUUACAACACUCCACCACUACAAGAGGAUCUCGUCCCGAGAUCUAGGAUGGCACCAGAGAGAAAAGCGGAAGAGGAAGAGGUAAAACAAAGUUGCUUCUUUGACAAACGAGUGAAAUCAAAGAACCUUGAGAGGUCGCAAAGCUUGAAGAAAUGACACAACGGAGGUGAACAUAAUUUAAACACUCCGUUCAGCAAGAGGAACAAUGGACAUUGCGAGAACCUUGUAGGUUGAAGGACAUGAAACAAGAGCUUAACGGAUCAAAAUUAAUGUGAAAGCACACCGGUAGAAAAGAGAAACAAGGAACAAGAAUGACAUAAUUUGGACAACACUCCAAUAGAAAAUGGAAGGAAUUAACAUGAACUUGAGAAGAUGGGAUGACACUUGAUGAAAUCAGCAACACACUGCCUCCAGAACUAUUGAAAGAAUGGCACAAUGGGUCAGAAAGAUUUCAGACAGCACUCCGGUUGAGAAGGGAGGCAAAACUUGUUAAGAUGAGAGAACUUGAAUGGAGGACACGACACUCCUGUUAAUUGGCCAGAAAUGAAAAGAAAACAUGAUCUUGAUAUGAAAAGAUGAUGGUUCGAAGAGAGCAAUAUCAGAAAGCCUCCGGAAUGAAUAAUGGAGUGAAAAGAAUGAAGAAGAAGAACAACUUCUACUAGAAAUGAAUUUGAGAACAUCCUUACGAAGAAGGGUUGAACAGAGUUGUUGGAAAAUCAACAACGAAAAGACGCUCGUUGUGGGCUUAUGGAAAACAUCCAACAUUUGAGGUUAUAACCAGCCACUAGCGGUAUCAAUUAAUUUGAUUGAGAACACCAAAGAGAUGAAAAACUUCUUCCACCAAGAUGAUAAAGAGAUAACUUGGAUCAUUGAUAAGCACCAAAAUAGUAACAUUCCUUAGGAAAUGCUUUAAGCGGAAUAUGACACAAGAUAACUCAAACGAGGAGAUUAAUGAAUUUAAAAUAUCUCAUUCUUGACAACAUGUGAAUCACGAAACAUGAAUGAAAAUUGUCAAGAAUGAUAUAACACCACCUCAAAAGAUAAGGUAGAAAGAAUAGCACUUCGACAUGCAAGAUGAAGAAUACUUGAACUCCUCACGACAAAACAUGUGUUGAACACCGAUCAUAAGUUCGAGAGAAAUCUUGAAAAACAAUUGAAGAAUGAAAAUAAUCCUUGACGGAUCGCCAUGUUGAGCCUUCGUGAGAACUUCGGUAAAAAGAGAAUGAUAGAAAGAAGGAGAAGUGAAAAACACAAGGUGAAUCCUUGCAAAGAUUUAGAAGGAGCUUCCCGAUGAGAUAAUGCCGAAAACUUGUAACUCCGGAAAAGAAAAGAUGAAGCGUCUCGAACCGAGAAAUGUGACAUGAUGUACAACUCUGGAAAGAAGAAAUUAGAUCACUUGGAUGAAACAAUAAUAAGAAUUACGUUAUGCGUAUCCUUCACCAAUAUAAAUUUAUGACAAGCAACGGAUUUGGCAUACUACUUAUUCUCGUAGAAAGGAUUAAGGUAGAUAUAGCACAAACUUUGGAAGGUCUUCAACAAACCACCGGUAGGAUUUGAACAACGAAUGAGUUGAUACGAUGAUGAAGGAAGAGAAAUCUUGAACAAACCACCGUAAGAAUUGAAAAUGAAAGUAGCAAAGGCACAAUUCACCGGGAAGAAUUGGAAAACGAAAGAAGAUACUUGAGGGGAUUUAGAUACAUGAGAACGAAGAGAUCGUGAACUGAUUAGAGGAUAUUUGAACGAUGCACCGGAAGAAUUCAAGAACGAGAGCUGAAAGCUGAGAAUGAAUAAUUCUGAGAUGAUGUGCUGCGGAGAAUGAAAUUGAAAAGACUCCUGCAUUGCUCCGGAUGGGUGAAAAUAAUUCUCACAAUCGCAAACAAUUACGAGAAGAUGGCAUGAAGCUAGAACCAUGAAUCUUGAGAGAACGGAUAAGAUUUGGAGGAAAAACUCUUCUUCGGUCUUCAAAUGUUGAGAAUGAUGACAAGAAACACCACCAUAAAUUGUCGAGAUACUCCGGGAUGAAAAUUAGGAAGGUUGAACCAAUGAUGAAAAGAAUGUGAAAAAUCUUGGAGAAGGCAUUUGACUGAUGAUAACUCACUCUCACGUCAAACUUGGAAAAAAAUGAGAGUAACUCCGGGAAGAUUAGAAGAGUCAGGUAAGAUCCUGGGAAAAGACCUGUGGGUUAGGGCCCACUCAAAAGAUACACCGUUGAACGAUUUAAAAGAUAGAUUGUGCCGGUUAAAUUAAAUGGCUUGAAUAAGGUAAGACCUCGAAAUAGCUUGAAAGGAUUUCAAAUAGAAACUUGAAUCUUCUGGGAUAUCUUCAGCACUCCAGAACAAUUGAAUAGCGAGAGCUGAAUGAUUACAAGCUGCAUCGGCAUGAGAAAGCAUUUGAAACAAGGAAAUGAAUAUGAUCAACACCGCAAGCUUGAAUUGAAACCACCGGAGAAGAAAGAGAACGAAUAAUGAUGAAGUUAAGGCUCCGUUAGUAUCUUCCUGAGAAUCACCGGAUAAGAACAUUUACGGAAAAGAAUGGAGAGACUUCCUAUCUAUAAGAUGGAUACUUGAUUAAGAAAUCUGAGUCCUUGAAGAAAAAGGGUGGGAGGGUGGGAAAACAAAGGCAACUUGGGACGGAUGAAACAAACAACAUUGGGAAAACUGAGAGGUGAUCUUGCGAAUGUUGAAAUGAUCGGAUCCACUUGAAGAGAAGCACGCUGGUUGGAAAAGAGUUGACAUGACAACCUCAGAGAUCAAGAAGGAUUAGCACUCCCAUAGAAAUAUGAGAACACAGUUUAGGGAAGGUAUGGAUCAACACUUGACAAUGAAGCAACUCGAAUACCACAAUUCAAAACAAAACAAAGGAUUUGGCUUGCAGAAUAAGCCGGAAACAAACAUAUGAUAGAUCCCAUAUCGUAUCAUGUGUGUGUUGGAAAGAUAUCCUAUGAGAUACUUGAAUUCCCACUUAUAAACUCCCGAAACUUUCUGGUUAUGCAAUCAGGUGUUGGGGAUACAAGGGACACAAAAUAUAUCACCCAAACUAACAAUCCCUAGAUCCAGCUGUAUCCACCCGUCAACACAUAACCAAGAAACCUUCGGAAAUCGUGUACCUCAACCUUCGAAAAGCAUCUGUUAUAUGAGUUAUGGCAAUACUCCCGAACUCCCGCCACAGUACUGGGUGGCGUCGAGGUGAUCUCACCAACAACUGCAUAAAAGAGAUUUUCGAUGUCGGCGAAACUCAGGUAUUCCAGAACUGCAACGAUAAAAUUGUGACGACAACACCUCGGAGCUCAACUCCCCGGGACACUGCCACAACCCCUAAAUGUCAGGAGGCACCAAGAACAAUGUUCUCAUCACAAAACCAUCGGAACGAUUCCAAGAUACCCGCGUGAUCCUAAUUUUUUUUGUGAAAUUUGAGGAGAGAAGAGUCAAAACUUCUACAUCAGGAGACCUCACCAGAGCGACGAAGGGACUGAGGAGUAAAAGGAAUCCUACUCUCCGAUAUAUAUAAUCCUAAGACUCAAAAUAUUUUUGUUCUAAACUUAACAACGCCAGCGAUUCGAUCAAGGAGGGGGCUCCUAAGUCGGGGAUGGCUCUGAUUACCAACUUGUAACACCCACGAUGCGGCUAUAUCUCCCACGUGUCGAGGCACGACUUAGAGGCAUAACCGCAUUGUAGGUAUUGUCGCAAGAAGGUCAUCUUCACACAAUCCCAUGUAAUGAACAAGAAUGGGAUAAAGAGAGUUGGAUUACAAUCGCCACUUCACACAAUACAUAAAUUAAUUCAUACACCAUCCAAAAUCCACACAUAGACCGACUACGGUCAAAUCCAAAUGAAAAGAAGAUAACCCCAAAUGCUAGAUCCCCAAUCGUCCCAACUGGGCUCCACUACUGAUCAUCAGGAAACGAAACAUAGUAACGACCACGGUCCUCGUCGAACUCCCACUUGAGCUCGGUUGCGUCGCCUGCACUUGUAUCGUCGGCACCUGCAACUGUUUUGGUAGAAUCUGUGAGUCACGAGGACUCAGCAAUCUCACACCCGCGAGAUCAAGACUAUUUAAGCUUAUAGGAAAGGAUGGGGUAAUGAGGUGGAGCUGCAGCAAGCACUAAGCGGAUGGUGGCUAACAUACGCAAAUGAGAGCGAGAAGAGAAGCAACGCAACGAUCGCGAAGCUAGAAAUGAUCAAGAAGUGAUCCUGAAACUACUUACGUUCAUACAUAACCCAAACCGUGUUCACUUCACGGGCUCCGCCGAAAAGAGACCAUCACGGCUACACACACAGUUGGUGUAUUUUAAUUAAGUCAAGUGUCAAGUUCUCUACAACCGGGCAUUAACAAAUUCCCAUCUACCUCAUAACCGCGGGCACGGCUUUCGAAAGAUAAUACCCUGCAGGGGCGUCCCAACUUAGCCCAUUAUAAGCUCUCACGGCCAACGAAGGAUAUUCCUUCUCCCGGGAAGACCCGAUCAGUCUCGGAAUCCCGGUUUACAAGACAUUUCGACAAUGGUAAAACAAGACCAGCAAAGCCGCCCGAUGCGCCGACAAUCCCGAUAGGAGCUGCACAUAUCUCGUUCUCAGGGCAACACCGGAUGAGACAUCCUAUGAGUAAAACCAGCCCUCAAGUUUCCCUGAGGUGGCCCCGCAGUCUACUCGGUUCAGACCAGCACUUAGAGAAGCACUGGCCUCCCCGAGGGGGGGGGGGGGGUAAAAUAAAGAUGACCCUCGGGAUGCGCGACUCCCAAGGGAAAAGGCUAGGUGAGGCAAAUGUAAAACCAAGGUUGGGCCUUGCUGGAAGAGUUUUAUUCAAAGCGAACUGUCAAGGGGGUCCCAUAAAUCACCCAACCGCGUAAGGGACGCAAAAUGAAGGAACAUAACACCGGUAUGAUGGAAACUAGGGCGGCAAGAGUGGAACAAAACACCAGGCAUAAGGCCGAGCCUUUCACCCUUUACCAAGUAUAUACAUGCAUUAAUUAAGAUAAGAGAUAUUGUGAUAUCCCAACAUAUCCAUGUUCCAACAUGGAACAAACUUCAUCUUCACCUGCAACUAUCAACGCUAUAAGAGGGGCUGAGCAAAAGCGGUAACAUAGUCAAACAACGGUUUGCUACGAAAGGAUGGUUAGAGGCUUGACAUGGCAAUAUGGGAGGCAUGAUAUAGCAAGUGGUAGGUAGCGCAGCAUAGCAAUAGAGCGAACAACUAGCAAGCAAAGAUAGAAGUGAUUUCGAGGGUAUGGUCAUCUUGCGUGAGAUCCCGCAAGGAAGAAGAACGAGUCCAUGAAGAAGACAAACGGACUAAGUUGCACAAAUCCUCACAACUCCGAAACGAAACCGAACCUAACCCGAGAAGCGAACCGCAAAGGAGCAAACAACAUGGUAAGCAACCAUCACAUCAACAUGGCACGGUGCACAAUCAAGUAUGAUGCAUGCCCGGUUUAAAUGAGGCAUGGCAUGGGAAAAUGCAACAAACAAUACUACAAAUUAAGUGGAGCUCAAUAUGCAACGAGUUGCAUAUUGACAAAACACCAGAUCAAUUAUUUAGUUCUCUCCUGUUUAUGUACCCAACAAUAUUAACUGUGGUUAAGCAGGGCAAGAGGUGAAGCAUUAUAAAACUAUCUAUUUAGGCAAGUUUAAAUGAGGUCGGAAAUAACAAAUAACAAUUCCGGAAAAUCCCCAUAUGUCAUUUAGCAAUUUAAAGCAAACAACAAUUUUAAACGUUUUAAAUGUUAUUAUCAUGAUGCGGAUGACAUAUGCAAGUUUUAAGCAAUUUUAUGGAAAUGUUGACAUGAGCAUGAUACGAGGCAUUUGUCGACAUGGCGGAAGGAAAAGGGUGCCACUGCGGUGAGACGGAAAUGGUGCUACGGCAACAUCCCGGUUCCGGUAGCUCAUGGAGAUACCGGUGCAAAAGGAAGCGUGGCGUGAGCGUGUCAUGCAAGAUGGUGGGGUGAUCCCGGCAACCGGGUUCCCAUGGGUCGAAGGCAUGGCAACGGGAACAUGCAAGAAACACGUCAGGCACGUUGCAAACGCGAGCAUUUCAUGCAACAUAAGCAUUCGUUCACGGGCGGUCGUCUCGUCAUUAUACCUUUGAAGCGUGCGUUUCGAGGCGGUUCAAAAUUGUCAAUGGAAGUAGUCGUUCACGGGUCGUAGUGGAAGUAGUCGUUCUCAAAGUAGUGGUAAACGUUUCGUAGUCGUACACAUUCCGUAGAUGUUCGGGGUCACGGCGAGGAACUUGACGUCCACGGAGUCUUCGAGGGUCGACGGUAGUCGUACACGGCAACCGUAGUUGAACUUGUAGGGCCGUCAAUGUCGUGGUACUUGGUGCAAUGCACGGGAUGGUAGCCCAACAAUUUGUCGGAGAGGGACUUGACGCAUCAAAGGUCUUCGGUGCCACGAUACUUGGUGGGUCGUCAUGUAGACGUAGUACUUCCGAAGAGGAACUUGGCGCGUCCAAAAUCUUCGGCGAUAGUCCUUGGACUUGGCGGUGUUCUCCUCGGGUCAACAGUGAUGUGCAAGGGCCAGAACGCCCAGCGGCUUGGGCUGCUUAAGGCCAUGGAGAUGACAGGCAGCAGGAGGCUGCUAGUGGAGGCAGAGCCACGACGAGGAGGUCCUGCUCCGACAGCUGCAAGUGGUGGACGGACGCAGGCAGCGGCAAAGCUUCGGGCGCGAGGGGGAAGAAGCCGGCGUGAGGUGGCUGACGGAGGAGAGCAUCUCACGCGCAGGGAAGGAGGUUGAGGCUGGCGCAGGAGCUAGGCGAGCUCGAGCAGAUCCGGCGGAUGGCUCUGCUCGGAUGUCACCGGACGAAGCAGGACGACGGCGGCGAACGAGCGCGAGGCAGAGGAGGCAGGCAUGGCACUGCGCUCUGUUGAAGCAGGGGAACGAGCGGGCGACGCGGUGCUCCGGCGAGGAGAAGGAGGGCGCCAUGGCAGGGGAACGGCGGCAGCGGGACUGGGACGAGCACGAGGACGACGCAGACGAGCUCUACGGCCACGACGGACGGCGGAACUGGACGAACUCGAGGGCAGGGAGGCGGCUUGGCGACGCGGGACUUGAGGCGCAGGGGCGAGGCGGUCGGAGGAGUCGCCAGAGCAGGCGCGGAGGAAGGGCUCCGGCGAAGGGGACGUCGAGGGCGAGCUGGGUCGAGGGAAUCGGGCACGGCGCUGCUGUUCUCUCUCAUUCUCUCUGGCGGCGCACGGGAGGGAGGAAGGGAUCGAGAGAUGGGGAUCGAUUGAGGGGGCUGGGGUUAAGGACAGGGGGUGCGGCUGGGCCUCCAGGAGCGAAUGGGCCGGCCUGAGUUCUUGGCUGGGCUUCCCUCCCUCUUUCUCCCUCCUUUAAAUCUCUUCCAUAUACAGAAAAGCAAAGAAAGAAGAGGAGAGAAAACAAAUGGGUGGACAAAGAAUUUGGGCAUGGGGAUUAUUUCCCCGGACUCACAAAAAUACAAGGAACUUGACAAAAUGGCUUGAGGAUUUUUAGGGGAAGUAAAAUCCACACGCGUUGGAUUUAACUCAGCAGGUUUGAAUUUCGAAACCCAUUCAAAUGAAGUCCAAACGGGUUGAAAACUAUAGAAGGUGACCCUACACACCAGAUGUGAUUUAUGGGCAGAUUUGGAACAUUUCUGGAUAAAGUAAAAUUGCAACUCAAUUUUACUAAAAGGCCCCAAAGGAAGAAUUGAAGUUGAGUUGGAUAAAAGGAAAUUUGAAGAACAGAGCAAAUGUGUUAUGGAUGAUUCGAAGCCAAUGGAAUGGUUUAGUAUAGCUCCCUAAGUAUUGGGAGGAUAUGUUAUAAAGAGAAAUCACCAUGUGAAUUCCCUCGAUUUAAAUAGAUCAAAAAUCUAUGCAAUUUAUUUAGUUGAGUUUUGAAAAUUAAAUGACAUGAUGACAUGAUGCAAUGAAAAAUAAAAGAGCAAGCACAAAAGAAACACACGGUGAUCACAAAAAUAUGGAAGUCUUCUGAAGCGUCGGUCUUGGGGUGUUACAUCAGUAAUGAAAAUCGGAAGGGGCAAGCCCUUCUUUGAUAAAAAAAAUAAUCGUCCUUAUAUAUUCAUCAGUCUUGCUAUAAGUCGCAGUAGAUGCUAUAUAGGUCCGUCGGAUCUUACAUCAAGAUCCGUGCUUUCAGAUUUUCUUUUUUCUCUCUUAAAUCUCAGUCGAGUGAGACAUAGCCACGCCAUUAAACAGAGGCUCGGUUGCCAUUAAUGGAGACCUUGGGAGAGAGGUGGACGGCAGAUGGAGGUCAAAGGGCUCUCCUCCCGAUAAGCACGCGCAAGGGUCUGAUCGCAUGCCUCUCGUACUCAAAUAGCUACCCUACACGGCGCCUCCUAGCUAAUAAAAAAUGGGGACGCGUGGCGGCACGUAAAUGGUACUAGUAAGUAGAACGCCCAUGGUUUCAAUAAUACUUGUGUUUCCGAUUGUAACGUGACGACACUUGUUCCAAAAUGACUUUGUUGCUUGUUAAUGUGUGUGCCUUUGCAAAUCGGACUGCAAAUUUACCCCAGCAUCACUAGGUAAAGAAGACACAUCCGUGACAUUUUGGGCCGAACGAAUUUUUUUUCUGUCAUACAUAUGACACUUCUAUCACGAUAAUUGUGACAAAACCCGGUAUCAUCAUAGAUGUGGUGGGCUCCUACUUCUAUGACAAAAAAUCAUGACAGAAAAUGGGCUUUUCUGUAACGCCCACGAUGCGGCUAUAUCUCCCACGUGUCGAGGCACGACUUAGAGGCAUAACCGCAUAGUGGUUUUGUCGCAAGAAGGGUCAUCUUCACACAAUCCCAUGUAAUGAACAAGAAUGGGAUAAAGAGUUGGCUUACAAUCGCCACUUCACACAAUACAUAAAUAUAAUUCAUACAUCAUCCAAAAUACAAACAUAGACCGACUACGGUCAAGAUCCAAAUGAAAAUAAGACAACCCCAAAUGCUAGAUCCCCGAUCGUCCCAACUGGGCUCCACUACUGAUCAUCAGGAAAAGACACAUAGUAACGACCACGUUCCUCGUCGAACUCCCACUUGAGAUCGACCCCAUCAUCUGCACUGGCAUCGUCGGCACCUGCAACUGUUUUGGUAGAAUCUGUGAGUCACGGGGACUCAGCAAUCUCACACCCGCGAGAUCAGGACUAUUUAAGCUUAUAGGAAAGGGAGGUGUAAUGAGGUGGAGCUGCAGCGGCUAUAAGCAUAAUGGUGGCUAACUUGCACAAAUGAGAGCGAGAAGAGAAGCAACGGAACGGUCGUCAACUAGUAAUGACCAAGAAGUGAUCCUGAACUCCUACUUACGUCAUACAUAACUCAGACCGUGUUCACUUCCCGGACCCCGCCGAGAAGAGACCAUCACGGCUUCACACGCAGUUGAUGCAUUUUAAUUGGGUCAAGUGACAAGUUCUCUACAACCGGACAUUAACAAAUUCCCAUCUGCCUCAUAACCGCGGGCACGGCUUUCGAAAGAUAAUACCCUGCAGGGGUGUCCCAACUUAGCCCAUCAUAAGCUCUCACGGUCAACGAAGGAUAAACCUUCUCCCGGAAAGACCCGAUCAGUCUCGGAAUCCCGGUUUACAAGACAUUUCGACAAUGGUAAAACAAGACCAGCAAAGCCGCCCGAAUGUGCCGACAAAUCCCGAUAGGAGCUGCACAUAUCUCGUUCUCAGGGCACACCGGAUAAGUCAAGCUACGAGUAAAACCAGACCUCGAGUUUCCCCGAGGUGGCCCCGCAGGCUGCUCGGUUCGGACCAACACUCGAAGGAGCACUGGCCCGGGGGGUUAAAAUAAGAUGACCCUCGGGCUCGCGAAAACCCGGGGGAAAAGGCUUAGGCGGCAAAUGGUAAAACCAAAGUUGGGCCUUGCUGGAGGAGUUUUAUUCAAGGCGAACUGUCAAGGGGGUCCCAUAAAUCACCCGACCGCGUAAGGAACGCAAACUCAAGGAACAUAAUCCCGGUUAACAGAAACUAGGGCGGCAAGAGUGGAACAAAACACCAGGCAUAAGGCCGAGCCUUCCACCCUUUACCAAGUAUAUAGAUGCUUUAAUUAAAUAAGAGAUAUUGUGAUAUCCCAACAUAUCCAUGUUCCAACAUGGAACAAACUUCAACUUCACCUGCAACUAGCAACGCUAUAAGAGGGGCUGAGCAAAAGCGGUAUCUUAGCCAAACAACGGUUUGCUAGGAAAGGAUGGUUAGGGCUGACAUGGCAAAAUGGGAGACAUGAUAUAGCAAGUGAUAGGUAGCGUAGCAUGGCAAUAGAGCGAACAACUAGCAAGGCAAAGAUAGAAAUGAUUUCAAGGGGUGGUCAUCUUGCCUGCAAGGUUCUCAGAGUUGUCGAAAGCUUGAUCCUCGUAAGCGUACUCAACAGGUUCCUCGUUCACGAACUCGUCUCCCGGCUCUACCCAAGACAAGAACACAAGCAACGGAACCACAAUCAAUCACGAGAAAUGCACAAGCAACAUGAUGCAAAACAUGUAUGAUAUGCAAGAUAUGAUGUGCGAUGCAUAUGCGUGCUCCGGAAGGAAAAAUAUGAACAAGGCAGUAACUUGGCAAACCAAGCAUGCCACUGGAAAGAUGAGAUGAUUUCGGUCGAAAUCGAUAUAAAGAUCACCGGAAACGGAUGCACGGUUUGCAAAAGGCAAGCAAAACAAGAAUGACACGAAUCUGCGAUUAACAGCAUGAUAGCAUUUAAAAUGCAACAAACAACAAUGCUACAGCACUCCAACAUAGCAAAAAAGCACAUGGCAGUAAUCUACAGGAGAUGCUUGACAAAAGAUGAACAAUAAGCUACGGCUAGUUCACAACAUAUCAAGCUCAAACAAGCAUGGAAAAAGUGCAAAAGAUAACAGGUUCACAGACUUGGUGAAAAACUGGACAUGGCAGAAAACAGCAUCAGGUAGCAAUGUUCAGAGCACGAAAUCAACAUGCUACAGGAACUUAACAUGGAAAAACUUGGCAUGGAAGUAUUCUACUAGAUGCAUAUGACAAAAGUCCCUUAAUGACCAUAAGUCAAAAAGGACCAGAAGAUAUGAUGGCAAGCAUGUAAACAUAGAAAGUUUCGUUAUCAGGUUUCAGACUUAGCAGAAAACAGAGCAUGGCAGAAAUAAUAAUAUGAAGGCCUCUUUGUGAGCUUGAUGCACUUACUACAGAGCAAUGAAUGACAAAACAAGCAUACCUACAGCAAGAUGGCAUGUUUAUGAAGCUAACCAUGGCAAGAACAAUAGCAUAGCAUGUAUGGAUCAACUACAAUAAUCUUGGCAAAAAUGAAUAUCAUGUUAAGAAUCUGCCAGAAAUAUUUUAUAGCAAAAGUAGAGUAAGAUUGAGUCAUGCUAUGUCACUCCAUAAUUGCAAACAAGGGCAGGAAUGGAACAAUUACAACUAUAUCUACAAAACAGCCUUACUGAACAUCUCCAAAAUAUGCAUGGAUCUCUCUGUAGCAUCAAGUUUACAUGGCAACAAAAUAACAGCAGACAAAAACUUAGAGAAAUCACCAAGUCCCUGAAAUCAGAAACAUUACGGGGCCUACUUUGCAUGCUUGUGCUAGUCACCACAGAGAUCACAAAAAUACAUGGCAUCCACCCUUGAAAAGAUGGCAUGGCAUACAACAAAACACAUGUAGAGCUCAUGCCCAUAAGAUGCACAGAUUUAAAGAUACAAAAAUGACAAAUCUCCAAGUUCUGUUAAGAACCAGCAGAUAACAGCAACUAGCCCUCUUGCAACAGAGAUUUGGGCAUCAAGAUGACCUCUAAUGAACAUGGUGCAAUUGAACAAAAUGUCGAGCAUCGCGAGAUGAACAAUUUGACAUAUUACACGCGCGAAUCGGAGCUACAUGCGAGGAGUUAUGCAAUGAGGAACAUAAGCAUAUGCUGUAGAAUUUAGAGGACUUGGAGAAAAUUUAGGGGUUCGAGAAGUCAACGCUCACAGAGUGGAUCAAGAUCUGAGGAGCUCCUCGAGCUCGAGCUCGGCCGGAGCGGCGCCGGAGGAAGGAGCCGGCGGGAGGAGGAGGACGCGGCGGCGGCGGUGCGGUGCGGGGACGGCGGCGAGGUCCGGCGGCGGGGCCGGCCGCGACGNNNNNNNNNNNNNNNNNNNNNNNNNNNNNNNNNNNNNNNNNNNNNNNNNNNNNNNNNNNNNNNNNNNNNNNNNNNNNNNNNNNNNNNNNNNNNNNNNNNNNNNNNNNNNNNNNNNNNNNNNNNNNNNNNNNNNNNNNNNNNNNNNNNNNNNNNNNNNNNNNNNNNNNNNNNNNNNNNNNNNNNNNNNNNNNNNNNNNNNNNNNNNNNNNNNNNNNNNNNNNNNNNNNNNNNNNNNNNNNNNNNNNNNNNNNNNNNNNNNNNNNNNNNNNNNNNNNNNNNNNNNNNNNNNNNNNNNNNNNNNNNNNNNNNNNNNNNNNNNNNNNNNNNNNNNNNNNNNNNNNNNNNNNNNNNNNNNNNNNNNNNNNNNNNNNNNNNNNNNNNNNNNNNNNNCGGCAGACGGGUGCCACGUGGCGGCUCGCCACUGGCUCGGGGAGGCGGCGCGGUUCGUCCGGCCGGCGGCAGACGCGUCCGGCGGCGCGGAGGGAAGUUUUUAGGGUUUCAUCAGCGAUUCGUAUACGGGAGGUGUUGAGGAUAUAGACCUGGGAGUCACCCGCCAGGAGGGCCGGGUUACUCUAAGGGUCAUUGCCAGAAGCCCGGAGUUAAGUUUCAAGAUAAUGGGCCAGAGAUGGGCUGAGACCCGGCGAGGGCUUAUUACUCAUAGUUAUCAUCAUUGUUAUAGUAGACUUGUAGUGUAAGGCAAGUAUUGUUUGGAGUCCGAGCCGGACACUCUUAUGAGCCGGCCGGGACUCUAAGGGCUGCUGGGCGUCAGCCUCCAUAUAUAAAGGGACGACCCGGCAGCGGUUGAGGGGCGACAACAAUCUGAUCGAGAGCCGGGCAUAGCUGUUUAGCUCCCUGGUUAUCGAAACCCUGAUUAAUACCACCUCAACUGGACGUAGGCUUUUACCUUCACCGUAAGGGGCCGAACCAGUAUAAACCCCCGUGUUCCUUGUCCCGCAUAACCCCUUCAAGCUUCCUAGUUGCGAUGGCUCCACGACUAAGUCCUAGCUCAAGGACGUCUGCCAUGACAAGUCCACGAUAGUUGGCGCCCACCGUGGGGCCAGCGCACGGUGGAUUUGAGUUCUUGAAGGGCAGCUUCGAAGGGCUCAAGGGAUACGCCGUAGGCCGGAUGACCAAGAGUCGUCGCGGCAAGCUCUACAUCGACGACGAGGACUGGGGCCCCGACGCCGGCUCAAUUGAGUAUGGGUACCGGGUCCCCUUUGGCGGAAUCCAUGUCUUCAUUGGCAAGGUUGGUGAGCCGGGCCCCGAGCCGGAUCUCUGCGCCGAUCUCAUCGAAACGGCUCAGCGCGCACGACCCGCCCGGGCCCGGCCUGCCUUAAGGCGCGCUUUUGUGGGAUGCAUCCACGGAGGGCCCUCUGAUCCAUCCGGGUCUGGUGAUGAGGCGGCCGCCGGCUCUGACGGCGAGUCGGCCGCUGAUGAGUCAAACUCGUUGUACCAACUUCAAGAUGGCAGGCUCAUGAGUUUUUCCGAUGGCAACAGUAUUCCGGACCUUUUUGAGCCGCCAAGUCAGGUUGGAGUUUUCAUGGCCGGCGCGCAACCUGUUCAGAACCCCGCUGCCGGAUCAGGAAACCCGGUGCCUUCCCCGGCUCAGGUGCUGAUGGAUCUCACGGACAAGAUGACGGCCCUGUUAACCGCCACGGUUGACCCGGCAGAUCAAGCUCAGCAUGAUGCGGAGGUGGCAUAGUUAAAAUUAGAUCUGAUGAAAGCUAAAGAGGACCUUGCAGCGGAAGGGAUCAGACUGGCGGCGGAGCGGGCGGCUCUCGAUGCCCGGACUCAGCUGAUUCAGGCGCAGUCCUUCCAACUCACGAUGGAUCAGAGCACGGCCAAUGAGGUCAUGAGAAGGAGGCAUCAAAAGGCUCAAUCUCGACUCCCGCCGGUUUACGAUCCGCGCAACCUCUUCAACACACCGGGUGCAGGGUCUAGUCACCCGCCGGGGGUCGUAGCACCCGGAUCUGGACCCCUUAUUCAACCACUAGUGAUGGGGCCUCCCCAGGGGCCCCCCGCCCCGCCUCAGUAUAUGCCAAUACCCCCGGGUCAUUAUAAUAACCCGCUGGAGAACAUGGUCGCCGCAGCGGCACGGCUGGCGGCUCUGCCCGUUGAUGGCGACUCUCCAACGGCUAUUGAGACCCGCCGGGUCAGAGAACUCCUCCAGACAGCGCUGGCGCAGCAAGAGGCGUACUCCUACAGCCGGGAUAGAAUCCAUUCAACCCCUCGUCCAGGGCAGAGCCCGAGUUACAGCCGGCACAUGGUCUCGGCGACCGGCUCAAGUAAUGUCCGACGCCAUGACCCGCCCCCUGGCCACGGCCCGGCUCAUGUUGGAGCCUUCUAUGCAGCAGACCAAGCACGGCAAGAGGCGGAACAGGUACCGCAAUUGACGGCUUACCAGACCCCCCCCCGACGUAUCCGACGGCGUCCGUUGAUGUGGGUAUUUCUACCAGGACCGGGGGUGUCCCUUGUUUGGUGCCGGCCAUCCGUAAUGAACGUCUGCCUAAGGACUUCAAGGGCCCGAGGAAGGUGCCUAACUAUACAGCUGACUUACAGCCUGCGGCCUGGAUUGAGAGUUAUGAGAUGGCGAUGGAAUUGCUAGAGGUCAGUGAGGCGGCCAUGGCCAAAUAUUUCACCAUGAUGUUAGAUGGAACUGCUCGCACGUGGUUAAAAGGGCUACCUCCAAACUCCAUUGGGUCUUGGGCUGAGCUGAAAGCCCGGUUCAUUCAAAACUUCAAGGAUACCUGUAGGCAGUCCAUGUCUAUUGUAGAUUUGACUAACUGUAAGCAGCAGGAGGGUGAAUCCACGACCCAUUGGGUUCGCCGGGUCAAGGAGAUCAUACAUUCAUCAGAUAAGAUGGAUGCCGGCUCUGCGGUCUUGAUGUUGGAACAAAACUAUCGCUUUGUGCCCCUAAAGAUGAAACUUGGGCGGCUUAAACGCGACUGCACGGAUAUGGGUACACUAAUGGCGGCUCUUGUCAAGUACGCCGAUUCUGAUGGUACCAAGGAUCCCCCUUCAUAUGAUGAAAGGACAGGGAAGGGAAAGAAGAACGGCAAUGGCAAGGGUCCUCAGUUUAACCCGGGGAAUCAAGGAGGAAGCAAGCGCAAAGCCGAUGGCAGCCUGGAGUUCGUAGCCAACACCCAAGGUAACAACCAGCGACGCAAGGGGAGGCCCCCUCCCCGAGGCAGCGGGUCAGGACCUUCUCUGGAGCAGCUGUUGAAUGAACCUUGUCCGAGACACGGUUCUAGAGAGAAGCCGGCGACUCAUCUGUGGAAGGAUUGUGCUAUCAUGAAAGCCUUUAAAAACUACAAUGGUUCGGGUGGCGGCUCAGGCGCCGGCGGCUUUCAUGGCCCGGGCGGCGGGUCAAAUUCCGGUCCUCAGAACGGUCAAGGGGGCUUUAAUCAACAGUCUGGUCAGGGUCAUCAACAGCAACAGGGGGGCUAUCAGACCAACCCAAAGCAGCUUAGCGGUGGACAGUAUCACGUGUUCACCACCAGUUUGUGCAAACGAGACGAGAAGCUUCACAAGAGGGCUGUUAAUGCUGUUGAGCCGGCGGUUCCACGCUACUUACGGUGGUCGGAGCAGCCCAUAGUGUGGAGUAGGGAGGAUCACCCUCCCCGGGUGGAUAACCCGGGCCACCUGGCCUUAGUGGUGGCUCCUCAAGUGGGAGGCUAUAAGUUCACAAAGGUACUCAUGGAUGGAGGCAGCAGCAUCAACAUCCUCUAUUAUGAGACUUUCCGUCGUAUGGGGCUAGUUGAUAAGAACCUCAGCCAGUCAAAUACUAUCUUCCAUGGUGUGGUACCCGGCAAAUCGGCUUAUCCAGUCGGCAAGAUUGAACUGGAAGUGGCCUUCGGUGAUGAGAACAACUACAGGGUGGAGAAGUUGACCUUUGAGGUGGUCAAGAUAAGAAGUCCUUACCACGCCAUAUUUGGGCGGCCGGCUUACGCCAAGUUCAUGGCACGGCCGUGUUAUGUGUACUUACAACUCAAGAUGCCGGGUCACAACGGGACCAUUACGGUUCACGGUAGCCGGAAAGUGGCUCUGGAGUGUGAGGAAGGUGACGCGGCUUAUGCAGAGUUUGUUUGUGCCACAGAAGAGUUGAAAUUUUAUAAAGACAAUGUUGACCCAACAGAUAUGACCUCUCUAAAAAAGCCAACCACGGAGAAUGAACCAGCAAUGAAGUUUAAAUCAGCUGAUGCGACUAAACUUGUUGAUUUUGUUCCAGGUGACUCGUCUCAGCAGUUCAGCAUCAGUGCAAAUCUGGACCCGAAAUAGGAAGGCGCGCUCAUCGAGUUCAUCCAUGAGAAUAGGGACAUCUUCGCAUGGAAACCCUCUGACAUGCCAGGUGUACCUAGAGAACUCGCUGAGCACACUCUCAAUGUUGAUCCAAAAUUUAAGCCGGUCAGACAGUUCCUUCGACGGUUUAACGAAGAGAGGCGGAAGGCUAUCGGUGAAGAAGUGGCCCGGCUUUUGGCGGCCGGGUUCAUUGUCGAAGUUUUUCACCCAGAAUGGUUGGCUAACCCGGUGCUUGUACUUAAGAAGAACGGCACCUGGCGGAUGUGUGUGGACUACACGGACUUGAACAAGGCGUGUCCGGCUGAUCCUUUUGCUCUCCCCCGUAUUGAUCAGAUCAUUGAUGCUACGGCAAGUUGUGCACGCUUAAGUUUCUUGGAUGCCUAUUCCGGGUAUCAUCAGAUUAAAAUGGCAGUUAAGGACCAGGAGAAGACGGCAUUCAUCACUCCCUUUGGAGCCAUCUGCUAUGUGUCUAUGCCCUUUGGACUCAAGUGUGCACAGGCGACUUACCAGCGUUGUGUGCAGAAUUGUCUUCAUAAACAGAUCGGGCGCAAUGUUCACGCUUACGUGGACGACAUUGUGGUUAAAUCCAUCAAGGAGGAAACCCUGAUAGAUGACUUAAGGGAAACCUUCGACAAUCUCCGGGUCUAUAAGAUGAUGCUCAACCCGGCCAAGUGUGUUUUUGGUGUUCCUGCAGGCAAACUAUUGGGCUUCUUGGUUUCUGACAGAGGCAUUGAGGCUAACCUGGAGAAGAUCAAGGCCAUCACUUCCUUGGCUAAGCCGGCGUGUGUAAAUGACGUUCAGCGUUUGGCGGGUCGCAUCGCUGCUUUAAGCCAGUUUAUAAGUCGUUUGGGUGAGAAGGCUAUGCCCUUAUAUCAGUUGAUGAAGAAAACUGACAACUUUGUCUGGAAUGAUGCAGCUAAUACCGCUUUUGAGGAUUUGAAAAAGCAACUGGCAGAGCCCCCCGUCCUUGCUGCUCCGGUUGAUAAGGAGCCCUUGCUACUGUAUGUGGCGGCAAACGCACGAGCCGUCAGCGUGGCUAUUGUGGUGGAGCGCAAGGAGGCGGGUAAGGAGCAUCCGGUUCAGCGGCCGGUUUAUUAUGUCAGUGAGGUGCUCAUUGAGUCCAAGCAGCGGUAUCUGCAUUGGCAGAAGCUUGUAUAUGGGGUGUUUAUGGCGAGCCGGAAGCUUAAGCAUUAUUUUCAGGGUCAUCCCAUCACUGUGGUCAGUUCCGCCCCUCUUGGUGAUAUUAUCCAAAACAGAGAGGCUACAGGGAGAAUUGCUAAGUGGGCUAUAGAACUUGGACCUCAUGACCUUAAAUAUGUGCCGCGCACUGCUGUUAAGUCUCAGGCCUUGGUGGAUUUCAUCAAUGAUUGGACAGAAUCACAAGUACCCGAGCAAAAGCCGGAUAACACUUAUUGGACUAUUCACUUUGAUGGGUCCAGGCAGCUGGAGGGCUCGGGGGCUGGUGUUGUCUUGGCUUCCCCUAAAGGUGACAAAUUCCAUUAUGUGCUACGGUUGAUGUUUCCUUGCACUAACAAUGCGGCGGAAUACGAGGCUUUGCUCCACGGUCUUCGGGUGGCUAAGGAGAUGAGCUUAAGCCGGGUGAGGUGCUUUGGUGACUCAGACUUGGUGGCUCAACAAGUAUCAGGCACCUGGGAUUCUAAGGAUCCUCUAAUGGCGGCUUACCGCCGCGAGGUUGAUGCCAUUGCCGGGCACUUCCAGGGAUACCAAGUGGAGCAUAUUGAUCGCAGGAGGAACGAGGCGGCUGAUGCGUUAAGCCGGCUAGGCUCUCAGCGAAAGCCGGUGCCGCCUAACACUUUCCUGGAUGUCCUGUACAACCCUUCGGUCAAGUUGCCUACAGAGGAGGACUUGGCUAUCCCUGACCCGGAGGCGCGACUGGUGGCGGCUCUUCAUGUCAUACCAGACUGGACAAUGCCAUAUCUGGCUUAUAUAGCCCGGGGAGAGUUGCCUGAGGAUGAAAUUCUGGCCAGGCAAAUAACCCGACGGGCUAAGUCAAUGAUUGUUAUCGAUGGCGAGUUGCAUCAUCGCAGUGUCUCAGGGGCAUUUCAGCGUUGUAUCUCCCCUGAGGAAGGUCAAUAGAUCUUGCGCAAGAUCCAUGAAGGGGAUUGUGGCCAUCAUGCCGGUUCAAAAUCUCUUGUGGCCAAGGCUUUCCGUCAUGGUUUUUAUUGGCUGACGGCUCACGCUGAUGCAGAGGACUUGGUCAGUAAAUGUGAUGGCUGCCAAAGGUUCUCACGACGGGCUCAUGUGCCGGCUCAGGAGUUAAGGAUGAUCCCAAUCACUUGGCCCUUUGCGGUCUGGGGGCUUGAUAUGGUUGGACCCUUUAAACGAUCCAAGGAUAAGAAGACCCACCUCUUGGUGGCAGUUGACAAAUUCACGAAGUGGGUGGAGGCUGAGCCAGUUAGCAAGUGCGAUGCAGCCACGGCGGUUCAAUUUAUAAAAAAGGUGAUUUUCCGCUUCGGUUUUCCGCACAGCAUCAUAACUGACAAUGGCACCAAUCUAUCCAAGGGUGCUAUGGAAGAGUUUUGUCAACAAGAGCAUAUCCGACUUGAUGUUUCCUCAGUGGCACACCCCCAAUCCAAUGGUCAAGCUGAGAGAGCUAACCAGGAGAUUCUGAAGGGCAUCAAACCCCGGCUCUUGGUCCCUUUGCAACGGACGCCGGGUUGUUGGGUGGAGGAGUUGCCCUCCGUCUUAUGGAGCAUCAACACUACUCCUAACAGGUCUACAAGCUUCACGCCUUUCUUCAUGGUUUAUGGAGCAGAAGCAAUUCUCCCCAGCGACAUCCGUCAUGAUUCACCUCGUGUGGCGGCUUAUGUUGAGACGGAUAAUGAACAGGCGCGCCAAGAUGCUCUGGACUUGUUGGACGAACAGCGUGAUGUGGCAGCCGCCCGUUCAGCGAUUUACCAACAAGACCUGCGCCGUUAUCAUAGCCGCCGGGUCAAGUCCCGGGUCUUCCAGGAAGGUGACCUGGUGCUCCGGCUCAUCCAGGAUCAAACAGAUGCACACAAGUUAUCCCCACCUUGGGAAGGGCCUUUUGUGGUCAGUAAGAACUUGCAUAACGGGUCAUAUUACCUCAUGGAUAUCCGGGAGCGUGAAGACUCGUGUAAAUCUGAGGAGGAGACCCGUCGGCCGUGGAACAUAGCUCAGCUUCGGCCUUACUACACUUGAGCUACCGGCUCUUGUGGUGUACAUAUUUAUCUCCGCCAUGUAUAUAUUAUGAUAAAGCAAUAAAGCAGGACCUCUGUCCUUUGGUCUCUUCCAAACAUGUGUGUUGUUUUUUACAUGCUGACUUACAAAAAGAUCCGGCUUAUGAUCAUCUUCGAAUCUAGCUGUAAGCAGUAAAGUCACUUGGGGGCUUCCUGUUCACACAUGGGUCGUAUUCGAACCCAAGAGAACAUAGCUGUCGAUACCCAUUUGAUUGGCAAAGUGCCAAGCUCAUUGGGAAGUUGCCUCUGGUCAUAUUUGAAUCAUAGUGUAACCCCUCUGAGAACCGACGUGGACCAUAUUCGAAUCAGCGUCGUUAAACAAUUUUCAGAAUCACUUGGGGGCUUCCUGUUCAAACAUGGGUCGUAUUCGAACCAAAGAGAGCAUAGCUGUCGGUACCCUCUUGAUUGGCAUCGCCACACCCAUUGGGGGCUAUAUGAUCGUAUCCGAAUCUUAGCUUAACCCCUUUGGACCGGGUUUCUGGUCGUAUUCGAACCGGAAGCCCUUAAGUUUUUAUAUUUUACCACAAGUUUACUCUGGUCAUAUCAAAGUAUGUACUACCGGGUUUCGCUUGCCGGCUUAAUUUUGGAGUUAUCUUGUUAAUUGAACAUCCUGGAUGUCAUCAAGACAAGUCCAUUAGAGUUAAGAUACCAACCAUGCUACCCGGGUCAUUUAAUCCGGAGGGUGAUAAGCCGUCUUGAGACUUGUGAUUUACCUUUCUAUGCAGAUGCUUGAAGGUACUUUUUUAAAAAAAAGGGUUGAGAAGCACAAAGGAUAAUUAUGACCCGGAGGAGCAUCAAGAGAAUGACUUCAAAGGAUUUCAGCAUUCAUUACGUGCACGAUGGCACGACAGAGAUAAAUUGUUGCGCCUAUUCUAUUACAAAAAUCUUUCAAAGUUUCAAGGGUGGAGCGUUGUUUGGUGAGCCGCUAGCCGGUUUAUGACGCCUGAUGAGUCGAAGUCCCCGGCUCAUCUUCUGCUCCGGCUGAUCCCAAGGCUUCGAAGGUCGACGACUUCCAAUCGAUGCUGCGGAGAGCUUCGAACUGGGCUUCUUCGUCAAUUAAUCCGGCCGGGUCAAUCUCGGGGGCGAAGGUGUGCUGACGAGCCGGAGGAAUCAAACUAAGAGCUUCAUAGCGAGGGGUUGGAAUCCUCUGAUUCUCCGUGUUGUACCCUGGCUGAUACUUGGUUAAGUCGGUGUCGUUCCCGAUGAUGGUGGCCACCGGGCGUACCGCCUUAACACAUGCCGCGAAGUCCUUCUGGUCGAAGGCGGAGCCGUCUUCCUUCAAGCUCGGGUAACCCAGUGCGAUGUCUGCCGGGUCUAGCUCCGGCAGGAAUGCUUUUGCCCGGCUCAGCGCGGCAAUUGCUCCGGAUCUUGCGGAGGCUCGGCGUAGCUCCUGGAUCCGCUGCGGCAGAACUGCGAGCCGGCGCAGGACUUCGGCCAGAUGAGUCGACACUUCAUUCGAUAGGGCCACCACAGCUAAGGCCCGCUGUGACCCGGUGUAGAGUUGUUCCACCAGGGUGUACACGGCCUUUAGCUUGGUGACCACGCUCUGGUUCAAGUUGGCGCUUCUGGAACCUGUUUAACAACAUCAGAUGACCCGGUGACAAGGAUGAAUUAGGAGAUGUAAGCAUUCUAACGUGAGUGAAAGCCGGUGAGGCGACUUACCGAAGAUGGCAGCUACCAUUUGGGACACUUGGCGCUUUAGGCCGGAGAGUUCGGCGGUUUUUUCAGAGAGUGCCUUCUCCGCCUGUUCUGCCCGGGUCAUCAGUGCGGCUUUCUCCUCAGCCCAGGCCUUCCGCUCAGCAUCGAAUUCAGUCUUCAAUUUCUCCUGAGCGGCGAUGCUGGAGACAAACUUGGCAUUCGCCUUCCGGGUCUCCAUCUCUUGAGUUUUUAACCGGCUCUUGAGACCCGCCAGGUCCGACUCAAAUUUCUUGCCAGUAGCCUGUAUAUAUUUCCGGGUUAUUAAACAGUCAUUCUAUAAGUCCCAAGCACUUUCCAAGCAAAGACACUUGGCACUUGGGGGCUAAUGCAUAUUGAACGUGUUUGUCUACGUACUGCUAUUUCAAUUAAGUAAGCCGGACUCUAAGUCUACAACAUAUUCAAGUAUAAGUCCUAGACUUGGGGGCUAGAAUGACAAGGAUUACUAUGCAGAAAGUAAGAAAACAGCAGAAGGUUACCUCAGAUUUUUGUUGGAUCUGGUUGACCAUGGCGAUCUCGGCGUCCCGGCUCUUGUGAACUUGGCUGAUGUAGCCUGAGACAAGCUCUCCAAUGCUUAGAUCGGUGUAGCUGGAGAGAUCCAGACUCACCCGAUGGGGUCGGAGCAGCUCCCCCUUCGCGGAGCAUUGGGCCAGUGCGGUCGGUCUCCCCGGCUCAACAUACUCCGUCCGGGUGAUUACCACGUCCGGGUCGUUAGCCGGUGGGGUUGAGCCGGAGGCCUCCGGAUUAGCUGACGCUUCGGUCGUUGUCUUGGUGGUCGGGGCAGGGGCUUCAGGCGCCGUAUCCAUGGGAAUGGUGGCCUCGGAGGUGGCUGGCGGAUCUUGAGCCGUCGUCUCCGGCUCAGGCAAGUCCGGCACUCCGGCUGACCUGGUCUUCUUUGCUCUUUUGGUGAGCUUUGCCUGGGCACUGAAAAGACAGAAGUGUUAGGCAUACAAAGAGUAAAAACAGACAGGUAAUGUAAGGUGAUUGUUAUUACCCGGGUGCAGUUUUGAAGGCCGGCAGACUUGACUGCAUGGAGUCACCAGAGGAAGGGGAGGUCUCCUGGUAAUUGGAGUCAGAAGAAUUAAGCGGUUGACGGAUAACACCCGCCAACGGAUGAAAAGGGUACAGGUGAGAAAAAACCUCAGUGCGGCGUUUCCUCGUUGCGUCGGGUAACCCGGUGUAGAGGUCGGUGUCCUUGCGGGCCCGGGUGUGACGCCGGCUUUCGUGAACCUGCUGCUUCAAAAGAAAUUGAGGGUCUUGAUGAGCUAAUGGAUGAGAAAAGCUUACUUUCCGGGUUACCCUUCGGACUUUCAGCUGUGGCAAAGGCUCCGAGUCGGAGGGGAGUAAUGUUACCUCUUCAAUCACCGGGUUACUGGCGCCGGUGUCAUCCUGUCAAUAAGCAAGUGUUGAUAAGGCGGACAUCAUCAGACAACAUAUACAACAAGAAUUUAAAAGGUUUAAAGGUUACCUCUCACUCGGAGCUAUCGUUUAACUGCAUUAGCUCCGAAGCAGUGGGUCUGCUGCCCUUCUUGCGAGGGGCGGCUUUCUUGGCGGCCUUUUUUGCCUUCCUGGCCUUCUUGGCCGCCUCAUGGUCAUACUUGACCCGCCAGAAUUUAUCAUCAGCCUGAGAAAUACAGUAAUGAAUUCCUAAAAUGGUUUAGAGCAAGGUGACAUACCAAAGAAGUUGAAAGGUUAAAGUCAGCGGCUUACCGCUGGGGCUGGAUUGGUCUUGUAGAACGGGGCUAGCCCGAUUUUUCCACAGUCUGCCAGGCUCUCGUUUAACAGAGCCUUGGUCUCUUCUUCAGCAACGUCUUCUGGAAGAUCAUUGCGACUGUGCCUCUGCGGGUCAUCCUUUCGCCCGGUGUACUCACACAUUAAGCCGGGGCGGCGGCUCAACGGGAUCACCUGCCAUGAGAUCCAGACCCGGACUAGAUCAAUUCCGUUCAGACCGUUGCCUAGCAGGGCCUUGAUCUUGUUGAUCGUUGGAAGCAGGGGCUGGCGUUCUGCGGCAGUCAGUUUGUCGGAUAGUGGAUGAGUCGGCUCCAGGCGUGUUGGGCGAAAGCCGGGCAGCGGGUUCUCGUCAGCCGGGGAUGUAUCUUGGCAGUAGAACCAAGUCAUAUUCCAGUCCUUAGGGUGGCUCGGCGGCUCUGCGUAAGGGAACAGACAGUCCCUACGUCGCUGGAUGGAGAUGCCGCCUAACUCUAGACUUGGCCCGUUGGCACACUCAUUUUGGCGGUUCAAAUAAAACAGCUCUCUGAAGAGUGGCAGACUCGGCUCUUCUCCAAGAUAUACUUCACAAAAGACUUGGAAGUUGCAGAUAUUGGAUAUGGAAUUGGGUCCUAUAUCCUGAGGCCGAAGGUCAAAGAAGUUGAGCACGUCCCGGAAGAAUUUUGAGCCGGGCGGUGCGAAGCCCCGGCUCAUAUGGUCUGCAAAGAUCACUACCUCCCCGUCCCUCGGCUGAGGUCUUUCUUCGGACGGGUCAGGGGCACGGUAGGACAUCACUUCCUUCUUGGGCAGAUAUCCGGACUUAACAAAGUUGGCCAGGGUCUCUUCGGUGACGUUGGAUUUCAUCCAGUUGCAAGUGAUGAGAGCCUUGGGAGGCAUGGUGACGGUUGGUGGUCUAUGAGGAAGAGAAAAGUAUCCGGGUUAAUUAUAAGCCGGAGUUUAUCAUUCAAACUACAAUAACGGCUUAUGAAGGGGACUAAUGGUAUGUAUUGAUACGGUGGGUUAUCUAAGCCGUCGGGGCUUUCAGGAUAAGUUGAUCAUCUACGGUUUACUACAGUUAAGCCGGAAGAGUCUACAGAGCAUGGUUCUCUUUAAACCGGAAAGUUUUUCGGCGCGUGUAUUCUUUAAGUCGGAAGUAUAAGCCGCCAAGGUUCAAGGGCUGCAGUUUUUACUAAGUGUGGUAAAACAGAUUUCACAUAUUGCAGUAACCUUUUUGGAUCAAAAUGGUCGGGUGAAAUGAAAAUUUUCUAGACCUAAAAGCAGAGGCAGGAGAAGUUCUUGAGGUGGAACAUAGUUCUUAUGCAGUAAAAAGAGGGUUCUUUGCAGAAGAAACGGAUCUCAAACAUCUACCGCACUGAUUCUAUGUGAGGUUAACAAUCAACUAAGUGUGGUGACUAUAGGAAAUACGGAGGUUUGCGGCAAUGGUGAAGAACGCGAAGAACACAAGAUGAACCCUACAAGUAGAUCUAUCUGGCAGAGCGAAGAAGACUUACCGGAGUUGGAAAGAGCGGAGGUCGCUGCCGUGAGUCUGGUCCGAAUCAGGGUGAUGCAGCGGCCGGGUCGAUGAAGGCCAGGGGCGCGACGGCGGCGGCAGUGGCGGAGCUCAGGCAGAGAAGCGACAGCGCGAGGAGGAAGAAGGAGAGUGUGAGAGGAGAGUGUUGGGCCGGCCUAUUUAUAAGGUAAGUCAUAAGUGGGCGCGAGAUUCAAGGAGACCGCGGCGUGGUUAUCUCCCCCUCACGGCGCCUCGAUUUUCGCAAAGACAGUAAAAGCAGAGAUCCGUUGCGGAUCUGGCGGAGUAAAAAACGGACUUAAUGGAGGAUGACGUCCCGGCGGAUUAUCCGGAGUCCGGAGAAUGACGUCACUCCGGGUUAUGGCCUUCACACGAACGAUGAGCCGGAGAUUUUCCUAUCGGCAGAGUUGAAGAUUGACACGAGCCGGCUCAAGUCAAUCUGGGGCCUAAUGUUGAGGAUAUAGACCUGGGAGUCACCCGCCAGGAGGGCCGGGUUACUCUAAGGGUCAUUGCCAGAAGCCCGGAGUUAAGUUUCAAGAUAAUGGGCCAGAGAUGGGCUGAGACCCGGCGAGGGCUUAUUACUCAUAGUUAUCAUCAUUGUUAUAGUAGACUUGUAGUGUAAGGCAAGUAUUGUUUGGAGUCCGAGCCGGACACUCUUAUGAGCCGGCCGGGACUCUAAGGGCUGCUGGGCGUCAGCCUCCAUAUAUAAAGGGACGACCCGGCAGCGGUUGAGGGGCGACAACAAUCUGAUCGAGAGCCGGGCAUAGCUGUUUAGCUCCCUGGUUAUCGAAACCCUGAUUAAUACCACCUCAACUGGACGUAGGCUUUUACCUUCACCGUAAGGGGCCGAACCAGUAUAAACCCCCGUGUUCCUUGUCCCGCAUAACCCCUUCAAGCUUCCUAGUUGCGAUGGCUCCACGACUAAGUCCUAGCUCAAGGACGUCUGCCGUGACAAGUCCACGACAGGAGGUCUCACAUAUAAAUAGGUAGAGGGAGCUAGGAGGCUCCAAAUGAGGUGCGGUUUUUGCCCACACGAUCGUGAUCGAACGACCUAGAGCAUGGAAGAGAGUUUGGUGGGUUUUGGGCUGGUUUUGAGGGGGGGGUUGCUGGACACUCAAAUGGAUUUUUCGGAUGCCCGGUUAACCGUUGGAGUACCAAACGACCUCCAAAUGGAACGAAACUUGACCGGUGGUCUCCGGGUGGUAUAAUAAGGCCACUUGACAAGCCUCGGUCCAUUCCGAGAAAGUUUGACACCCGCACACGAAAGAAAACAAGAGGGGUGCACCGGAGGAGAUAGGAGCGCCGGAUUGCAAAACGGACAACGGGGAAAAUGCUCGUAUACAAGAGACGAACACAUAUGCAAAUGCAAUGCACAUGAUGACAUGAUAUGAAAAUGCAUGACAUGACAAAAUGCAAAACGAAAAACAAAACCCGACCACAGAGGGAAUAUCAUAGCACAUAGCCGAAAAUGGCAAGAGUCGGAGUUACAAAUAUGGCAAGUUACAUGCGGGGUGUUACAUUUUCGUCCUGGGCGGGCCGGAGACGCAGCUGCAUGACAUUCUUUGGGCCGUCCAUGACGGAAAAAACCAUGGUAGAAGCGAGGGGAGGAAAAUUUCGGGGAGUUCCCGGUUACGGUGGGAGGUCGGGGGCCGAGCGAUGCACGUUUCUCUCAUACACGUACGCGCGUGUGUGCGAGGCGUUGGCUCUAACUGAACCCGAGCGAGGCGUUGGGCUCUAACUGAACCCGAGCGAUUGCACUGCAGGCUACGCGUUACUGAACCCGAGCGAUCGAUCGAUGGCUGUUAACUGAACCCGAUCAAGCGAUUCCUUCGCUACUGCUGCUAACUGAAGCCGAUCAAUGCUGCCUCUGGGAUGAACAGUGANNNNNNNNNNNNNNNNNNNNNNNNNNNNNNNNNNNNNNNNNNNNNNNNNNNNNNNNNNNNNNNNNNNNNNNNNNNNNNNNNNNNNNNNNNNNNNNNNNNNNNNNNNNNNNNNNNNNNNNNNNNNNNNNNNNNNNNNNNNNNNNNNNNNGGGUGCCCGUGGAGGGGUGGUUGAACAGUAGCCAGUGGAGUAGCGCGCGGUGGAGGCUGGAUGAACAGGAGCCCGUGGAGGCUGGAGGAGGUCGACGGUAGCCCGUGGAGGCUGGAGGAGGUCGACGGUGGAGAUGAACAGUAUCCCGUGGAGUCCCGUUUUGCGGUACGCCACACCCCUCCCGAUGAACAGGACCCCUGUUUCGACCGUAGGAGGUCCGUUUCGUCCGUUUUGCGGUACGCCACACCCCUCCCGAUCAACAGGACCCCCGUUUCGACCGUAGGAGGUCCGUUUCGUCUGUUUUGCGGUACGCCACACCCCUCCCGAUCAACAGGACCCCCGUUUCGAUCGUAGGAGGUCCGUUUCCUCCGUUUUGCUGUACGCCAGACCCCUCCCGAUCAACAGGACCCCGUUCCGAACGUAGGAGGUCCGUUUCCUCUGUUGUGCGGUACGCCAGGCCUCGUUUCCGUCGCCUGUUCCGUGCAAGCCCUCCUGAUGAACACGACCACGCAUUCCGUUCCGACCAAGCCGGUUGGCUCCCAUGCAUUUCGUUGCCUCCCGAUGAACACGACGCAUUCUGUUGCCUCCCCAUGAACACGACGCAUUCCAUUGCCUCCCCAUCAACACGACAACGACGAUGUUUCUCCGUUCUGACCCAACCAUGUACACGAGCCCUGGCCGUACGUAUGCGCGAGUAGGCGUUCGAGACCCCGCCCGUAUGUACACAUACGGGGCCGUAUUUUCUUUCUUGCACCCUGGCCGCUGUACGUACGUGUACAUGCUACGUGUGCGCCUCUACUACGACACGUACGCGCCUCUACUAUGACACGUGCGCGCCUCUACAUCCACCAGUAUAUAUGUACGUACACGUUCGCGACCAGAAUGACAACGCUACAUACGCUUCGACCAGGUGGGUCCCGACUGUCAGGCACUUCCUUGCCUGCGAAGAUGUAGCUGGUGGGUCCCAGCAGUCAGGGGGGCGAAUCAUUUUUUUUGCCCGGGCGCACUUCCUUGCGUGCGAAGAUGUAGCUGGUGGGUCCCAGCAGUCAGGGGGAACAUUUUUUUUACGAAAUACAGUGGCCCGUCCGGUGGGUUCCAGUUGUCAGGUGGAGGAAUCAUUAUUUUCCGCGUAAUAAGGAGGCACUUCCUUGUUGCGGUCGUGGACCCAGCUGUCAGCCUCUCCACGUACAGUCCACGUCCGAUGGAAGUCGUUCCUUGACCACGUUGACCACGCCGCGCUGAGAGCACCAGGGCGGUGGACGACGGCGAGGCCUAGGAAGGGGACGACGGGGAGCCGGGGAAGACGCGGCAGUGGAAGCCCGCGCGGAGAGGAGUACGAGGGUUCACUGGUUCGGCUGCGGUGUGAGGCUGCCGUCGCCGCAGGGCCUGGCCAGCGGUGGGAAUAGUAGGAGGCGGUGAGGCCUCCGCGGCAGCACAGCCGGCCACGGGAGGCAGGAGCAUGCGGCACGACCGGCGCUGCUUUGGGCGGCUGGAGCAAGAAGACCAGAGGUUGAAGAAGCACUACGACCGUUGGAUGGACAUCGUACGGUCACUGGAGCUAGAAUCGUUCAUAUUGACUAAAGUUGACAAAGGCCCCCGUCCCAGUCAACUUAGUAGGCCCACAAGUCAGCCUCCCACCAUGGUGGGUCCCAGCUAGCAGGGGGUAUUCAUUUUUCUGUGCGUAAUAAGGAGGCACUUCCGGUGGGUCCGAGCUGACAGCGGGGGGAACGUUUUUUUCGCGAAAUACGCUGGCCCGUCCGAUGGGUCCCAGCAGUCAGGGGGGAAACAUUUUUUUCGCGAAAUAAGGUGGCCCGUCCGGUGGGUCACUGCUGUCAGGUGGAGGAAUAAUUAUUUUGCGCGUUAUAAGGAGGCACUUCCUUGCGGCCGCCUGGACCUAGCUAUCAGCCUCUCCACGUACAGUACUCUUCCGAUGGAAGUCGGUCGUUGACCAUGUUGACCACGCCGCGCCGAGAGCACCAGGGCGGUGGUCUGGACGACGGUGAGGCCUAGGAAGGGGACGACGCGGAGCCGGGGAAGACGCAGCAGUGGAAGCCCGCGCGGAGAGGAGUAGGAGGGUUCACUGGUUCGGCUGCGGUGUGAGGCUGCCGUCGCCGCAGAAUAGCAGGGGGUGUGGGUGAGUAGAGGGAUGGCCUGGCCAGCGGUGGGAGUAGUACGGGGCGGUGAGUACUCGGCGGCAUCACAGCCGGCCACCGGAGGCAGGAGCACGCGACACGACCGGCGCUGCUUUGGGCGGCUGGAGCAAGAAGACGAGAGGUUGAAAAAGCACUACGGCCGUUGGAUGGACAUCGUAUGAUCACUGUAGCUAGAAUCGUUUAUAUUGACUAAGUUGACAAAGCCCUUGGUACGCGUCAACUUAGUAGGCCCACAGCUCCGAUUUGGCAGAGAACAUAUAGCCCAUUUGCGAUUUGUAAGAAUGUACAACCCAUUUUUUAAUUCUAAUGGAAUUUACUACAGCCUAUUUACAGUUUGUUAAAAGUACAACCCAACUUCUAGCUAGGACAACGAUUAAUAAUUUCAAACAACCGCUCAAAACAGAAUUCAAAAAAAAUUCCCACAUUUUGAUGGGAUCCGAAAUAUUUUUAUCCAAAAUUUCUAGUCAGGUUAAAUAUAAUUUCAAAAUAAAGUUGUAUUACGUUAAAAUCCAACGAAAUAUUGCGCGCGCAACAAGUAAUGAAAUUAAAAAAUUUAAAUUCCAAAAAUAAUAUAUUUUUCAAACUAAUUACGUGCAUAGUAACUGUCCAGUUAUUAUAAUUACAUCUCAUUUAUUAUUUUCUUAAAGUCCAUUUUCUUGUUAAGCCUAAUGCAUACCUCCUAGGAAAGUUUGCAGCCCAGCGGGGCGGAGAAUAACAAGUUGACCCGGAUAUUGUGUACAAUUGUCGGCCCAGUUGCAUUGUUGAUGUUGAAAAAAAGGCCUGUGUAGUACAGUACAACCUAACAUGGUUACUCAGCCCACAUUCAGCGACGCCGGAAAGGCCCAAACAAGGCUUCUGUACAACUUUUUGAAGUCACUGAGCUCAAUUAAUAACUUAAGAAAAAAGUUAGAUUACAGUGGAACCUAAUUAAAAGCUGUCACGAGCAAAUAAAUAAUUCAACGGGUCCCACUUGUGCGUGUGCGCGUGUGUGUGCGUGUGUGUGUGUGAGAGAGAGAGAGAUAGAGAGAGACCCAUCGGUCGAUGCUCGUAAAUACAUCUUUCAGCCAUAUGCAUUGCUGAUGCUCAGUAAAAACUUAUAUAGUUGACACAAUCAUAUAGAACAUCAUAACACACUGAACUUGCAUACAAAAAUUUCACGCAGGCAGCACAAUCAGGAUGGAAGCAGUGGAUCGCUACGGGAAGGGCUAUGUUGAAACCAACGAAGUCGUACAUAACGGUUCAUCGUCUUUAUCAAUGACGGGGAAAUAUAUUGAAUGUUGUGCAAAGAAAACAGACAGACAACACAAUAAGUUCUGCUAGCACAUUAAGUUGACGUACAUCCCUUUCUAAAAAAAAUUCAGGUACAAAAUUAGAACAUGUCACAAUCAAAUGUACUGGCAUAUCAGUGCUUCACACCCAUAGCUCGGAUUUAACUAGUAUCUGACAAGAUUCAUUUGUUACCUCAAAUUAGAGCACAUCCAGGCAGCCAGCCCUGCCUCUUCUCCCAAAGAAGCAGUGGCCUCCGCCUCGCGAUGGAGUAGGCCCUGUGCCAUCCAUCGUUCCGAGCAACACGGGGAAAGUCUGACGUUGACUCCUGUAAUGGACGUUGUCGACGGACCCUGGCACCAGCGGCGGCGGCAGGACUUCGAUUGAUGGAUUGACCACUUCUUCGACAUGCACGAACACUCGAUACAGGUACAUCCCUAACGUGGUCCGCGGCGGCCUUGGUGGCGACGAAUAGUACAACCCCGGUUCCUGCACCGGUAUCUCAACACCAAUCACCUUCGGUAUGGUGGACGGCUUCUUCAUCCAUGCCAUAACCGUCAGAGCCCAGCUGUCUGGAGGAACAAACAUACUUACGAGCUCAUCUCCAAGGUCAUUGAUAAGCUCGUUCAUGGACUCACUGUUCCAAGCACGUCGAGGCAUGCCGUGGAAGGUAAGCUUUGUUAAAAACUCAAGCUCAGAGGGCAGCAAGCCCCAUCCUGGGUGCCACCGAUCAAAGCCCACCAGCGCGCCAUCGCAGAACAAACGCCGGGAAGAUUUGAACACACGACUACAGUCAAAAGUUGUCCGGAACCUGACGAAGAAAUCAGCUGGUGGCGGACAGACUUCGACGAGCAAGUCACUUAUUUGGAUGUCGUGCGCAAUGCCAAGAGCUUUGACAAGGUCGUCUGGCGAGACGGGAGGCCGGUCGCCGUUGAUGGUUACCAUCAGCACUUUGCCGGCAAACUGGUCGUCAAGCGCCGCCAUGCCACUGUUGAGCGACAGCAUGCAGCGACCGAAGGCAGGACGGACCUCAGGAUCUCCGCGCGUUGACCGGCGACAUGAUAGUGCGCUUGAGUACAGGGAGUACAGGAGGGGGAUUAGGGGGAACUGGAGUAGGAAUCGAGAUUCCAGAGGUGGGGGAGAGGCGGGAGACUGGGGAUGAAAAGGUAGCAUGAAUUUCGAGCACGCGCCAAUAUGCUCUCGGCGCGCAAGCGCACGAAAACACCGGUGGCGCCCACAUGUCGGCCUAAGAGUCCUUAUUCUUUCUUUUUUGGAGAGCCCGACCUUUUUUCUCAGGAUCUUUUGAGAGCCGGGCCUGAGAGUCAUAAUUGACCUGUUUGGCAUUGCGUUACUACUCGGCCCAUAUUCAACAACACCUCACUGGCCCAAACAAGUGUACAUCAUCGAAAAGACACUGAGCUCAAAUUAUAUAACUUGAAAAAAGGAGAUAUACUCUGAACACUGGAGAAUGGUGAUGCCCUCAUUUAGCCCACCAGUAGUUUGAGACAAUAAACAGUUCGAAACAACGAUAUAUACAACAUUCAAACACUGACUAGUGACUACUACUGACAUAAACAGCAAGACAUGAUAGUUCAUAAGAAGUCUUGCUACACCACCAAAACGCACCCAUCUGCAGCGCUCAGACUCUCGUGAUCCAGACGAGAAUGACAUUCUAAACAGAAGCAACUAUUACGUAGUAAGGGUGACAUAGACGAGGAUGACCAAAUGACAAGGAAUAUGCAUAACAAAAGAAAGAACUACCCAUCCAGAACCAGCAACAAAGACAACGAAGUCAUUCGAAGAGAUGAUCCAACACCAUCAUAAUUUGCAGUCCCGCUUCAGCGACCAGUGAUCCGGAGACACCAGUACUCCACCCUUUCGAUGCAACAGCCCAAUUACCUAUCAACCUGAAGGCUUGAACCACAUCACUGCCUGUCAUAAUUGAGACAUCCAAGGAUCAAAGUUAAUCCGGAUGCCUUUGUCAUUCUCACCUUCUUUUGGCUGCAGGCUGUAUCGUUGACAAUCAGGGGAGUUUGCUCCCGAACUCCUAGGGCUCACCGUGUAGACACAGUUUUCCAUAGCAAACAGAGCCUCUCUGCCAUCAAGGUCCUUGCCAACGGUGAUCUCCUGGUUAAUCGAAUAAUUGAGUCCGAGAAACAGAGAGUGUGAACCAAGGCUGUUUACCCGCCUCCAACUAAAAAAUCCUAAAGGCCCCAACAAGCUGGUAUCCUGCUCAUAGACGUAACAGCCACUGUCCGGAUACUCACGUAUUACAUGGCGCUUGUAUACAGUGGGGUUUUUGCAAUAUAACUUUUCCGGCUCAUGUGUCCGAAUGAUCAUCAGUCUUUUGCCGUCGUCUGAUCGAGCGAGGAACCAGUUGUGCUUCCCUGUUUUUGGCAAAGGUGGUGUGAUUACAAAGGGCAGUAACUGUAGGGACACUGCAUCAUAUCAAAAAGGACAGGCAUUGUUAAUGUAAGAUCAGCAUUGUUCAGAGUAUGAGUAGGAUAAUGCAAGAAACAGCAUUGAUAUGUCCCUGUUGGAACUGGGAGGAAAAUACAGGGAAAUGUAUACUGGGUUCGAAAAUAUAGAAGUGCCAUGCAUGGUUAUACUCAUGUAAUCUCGCAAUCGAUUCUUCACAGGAAACUACCAUGUCAUGCAUGUUAUGUACUCUCUCCGUUCCCAAAUAUUUGUCUUUCUAGGCAUUUCAAAUAGACACAACAUACGGAUGUAUGUAGACAUAUUUUAGAGUGUAGAUUCACUCAUUUUGCUCCGUAUGUAGUCACUUGUUAAAAUCUCUAGAAAGACAAAUAUUUGGGAACGGAGGGAGUAAUCAUGUUCUGUCCUCACAAACAAAUUCUUCAAGGUAACUAAUAGACCAUGCAUUGUUAUAUACUCAUGUUCUGUGGGCAAAAUUUUUGUGAGGAUAUUAUUCUAGCCAUUGAUUGUUGAAGGGCGAAUAUAGGUAUGUACACAUGGUAAGCAUUGCAGGAUUUCACUACUUCCAAAUAUAGAGUUCUCCAUAUGCACAUUUACUUCCCUAAUGUAUGGUUAGAUGAAACCAACAGUGUGGUGCAUGUUUCUACAUCAUGAAAAUGAGGAAACUAACAUGGCCAUUGAUACACACUCAUAUUUAGUAGUAGUAUAUAGAUUACUGUAAAAUAAGGAUAAUAUCCAUAUAUUCCUAACCGUUUGAUUAUUCAGGGUACAAAUUGGCUGUAAUGACAUGGUCACAAUCGCAUGAAUGAACUCAUUCCAAAUAUAGCUGAUUUACAGUGUCUCUAAUACAUUGCCAUAGUUCUACUCAAAUUCUGCUCAAACAGGGAUAUGCCAAUCAUCACAAAAAGUUCAAACAGUGUCAUGGCGUCAUCAUUAACAUGAGACGGAAACAACUUACACGCGCCGUCCCAGAAAUACAUGGUGCCAUCUGCUUUGUCGAUCGCGUAGAUGAUGCCAUUGUGUUCAAUAGCAUCACAGAAGUGUGUAUCAGCUUUGACGAUGAUCCACUGCGAGCCGAGUUGUCUCCAGCUAAAGAAGGCACCGGCGUAAAGAUAGGCGAGUCCGCGGUCGAACAAGGCAAUUAGCUUGAAGUCCGCGUAAUUCGCAUGUCAUGUGGGCACUUGGCAGAUUACAAUCUUCUGCAAAACAAGGUCCGUCCAACUGAAGUAGUAAUCUAGAUGACUUGGACCGCGAUGGUAAUACUCUAUAUAAUCCAACGGAGGAAGGAUAAUCUCAUGGGAGGUAUGGAAGUUCACGAGCACCAACUUUUUACCGUCUUCUCUGAAGGCAGCCAUCCAGUGGGAGUUCAUGCCGACCCAGUACAUACCUGCCAAGAAGUUUCAGGCGAUGGUGAUCGGAUCGAUGUCAAGGGAAAUGAUGUACGGCGACCCACUACAUACCUGCAAAGAAGUUUCGGCUAAUGGAGAUCGGAUUGAAGUCGAGGGGCAUCAUGCACGCCUCCGUAUCAUGGUGAGCCAAUCUCGCAAGACCAUGUAGCAGCAAGCAGGGUGUCUUGAAAAGCUUAGGCCUCGCUUCGACGAUGGCCGUGUGCAUGUCCCUCGAGCAUGCAGCCAGCCGCAGGGCGCUCAACAUAUCCAUACACGAACAACAGAGGUCGAGGAUGUCACUGGGGAGAUUGCUCCAAUCGCAGCUCAUAUGGAUGUUGCGCGGUUCGCGUUCGGCCAUGGUGGAGUUUGGAAGGGGGCUUGAUUUACGGGGGAGAAGGAUGUCGGUGCUGGAGCGGCUAGCGAGGGAAUAGUAGUACUGGGGGAGGCGAGUGAGGUGACGGUACACGGGGGCACAGUGAGAUGGAGACGGAGACGGAGACAGAGAAGGGGAUGGAGAUGGAGUGGUGCUAUGGGAGCGGAGAGGGAGACGAGGCGAGGCGCCAAUGUGCUGUACAGCGGCGGUGACAGACUGCACAGUGCACAGGGUGAGGCUGACUUUGGUAACCCGAACACGCCGCCUGGACUAGUGUCAGGCGCAGGGUGUUGUCACUUCACUGUGAGGACCGGAUGAAUAGUAUUUUGACCAUCAAGUGUACCACAUUUGUACUACUACUACUACUACUAGUAGUAGUAGUAGUAGUAGUAGGAACAUGAGUACUCCAGUAUUGAAUAGCGGAAAUAGGUCUCCCGUGCUAGCAUGCCUGUUCACUUCAUCGUUCAGGUAUCAUCCAUAUUGCGAGCAGAACCAAAUUCUCGUGCAUGCCCAAUCGACGCCCUGCCGCGAUGCAUGCAGUGGUCGUUCUGGUGCAUCAAGGACGACAUGCAGAUCGUUCCACACUUGAGAAGAGGAAAAAUGGAAAGGUAGAACGCGGCAGCAGAGGAAGAGAACGCUGGCUAACGAGGCUGGGAGGGGAUCGAGCAGGAAGUUAAUGCUCCACGCCUAAAGGUUUUGGGAAAACCUGAUUUUCAUAAGGUGACUUAUACUCACCUAAACGGAGGGAGUAUUCCUUAACCAGAGAAUGUUGUGUCUCCCACUCACGCGCUCAAAAAAAACUACGACACAUUUUUUUAUCUGUUUGCAUAGGUCCCACCUAUCAGGAAGGAUUGACACGUACACGAACAGGUACGACUCAUCAGUCUACCCGCAUAGCCUUUUCGUUUAGUCUACCUAGCCAUCUAAUCAACUGCCUGCACGCCACUUCUCCCAUGUACUUCUCCAUCGGGAACCGAUUCUCCUCGGCUUCUUCACCUCCCCUUCGUCUUCAUUUGCAUCCAAACCCCACUGCGUUCACAUUGUUUAACCUCUUUAAAUAAUCAUUUACUACUUCAGUUAGACUAGCCAUCUAAUCCUAAUUCUCCAAACCAUAGCCCUCCGUUCCAGCGGUUCCAAAUGGCGAAAGAGAUCGAGAUGCAGGUUUUUAGCGUCCAACAUGUCCUCGUCGAAGGCUCGAUGCGCAUAGUUUCCACUGUCACCGUCCACCCAAGGGUUGUUCGGCAGUGGAUCAACAAUGUAUCCAAGUCCCUAGAAAAGUUAGAGACGAGGGUCAUCAGUCUCGACGCAGAGUACACGGAGCGUGCCCCUGGGAAGAUCCAGCGCGCCGCCAUCCUUCAGCUGUGCCUCGAAGAUGAUGUUUUGGUGUACCACAUCAUACACUCGCCCUCCAUACCAGGUGGGCUUCACGAUUUCUUGUCUCGGGAGGAUGUAUACUUCUGUAGGGCAGCCAUCGAAGGGGACAAACAGAAGCUGGAGUCGUACAACCUUGAUUUGAAAAGCAUCGCUGACCUACAAACCAGAAUCAAAAUUCCUGUAGAAGAUUGUGAUAAAUAGACACCAUCCCUAUUCGACGUAGCAAAUUUUGUGCUCGGUACAAUCUUCAGAAGGGUGACAAGACGGUGGCAUUAAGGUUGUCUGGAUGGGAGAAUUAUCCCUUGACGUACGAGCGGAUAAAAUAUGCUGCCCUCGAUGCCCGUGUGAGUUUCGAGAUAGCUGCAAGGUCCAAAGAGCUUGUUGCGAAGCCGUCUCCCACAGAGAAUGAGAACAAGAAGAAGAAGAAGAAGAAGAAGAAGAAAAGGCUGCACCAGCAGGAGGGCAUUAUGGAUGGAUGAACUAUUUCCUCUCUUGUAAAAAAAAUCAUUCCCUCUCGGUGUAUAUUGAUAUAGAUGGACUAUUUCGAUGGUGUGCAUGUCUUUGGAACAGAGUAGUAGCGUGGGUCCGCUUGACUAUAAGGAACUAUUUAUCCGCAUAUAUAGCUUUCUCUGCUAAUCCUUCCAGUGAUCGGUACGUAGUGUAUGUGUCCGUAGACAUGACAGCUUGUCCAUGGAAGUUCAACUACGACGACCAUCACGUUUCAUCUCGCGAUUCCCACGACGCCUCUCCAACCCACGGCACCACGCCCCCCGACGUGCGCCUUACCCCUCUCGGCCGCACCGCCCCUCAGCCUUUGUGUGCAUGGCAUGUGGGCCACCUAAAAUGCAGCGAGCAUCAAGUUUCUACCACAGCCACCCACGAUUCCCACGACGCCGCUCGAACCCAUGAAACCACACGUCCCCCGACCUGCGGCUCACCCCUCUUGGCCCCACUGCCCCUUUGCCUAUGGGAGCAUUACAUGUGGACCAGUCACCUAUCGCGUCCACAUGUUAUUGACUCAAAGGUAGGUGUAGUAAGGCGCUGAAGCUCAGUCCCGACGGCCCUGAGAGGGAAAUGUAACUCCUGCGCCAGGGCUUGUGGUGCUCCCGCAGCACGAACUCGUGCCAAACUCGAGAUUUGUUUCUUUACUAUACAUGCACGCAACGAUUUAAUGGACAUUGUAAUCUCAACAUGUGAUGGGGAGCUCUAAAUUUGAAUUUGAAACUUGUAAAACGAAAAGAUUCAAAGAAAAUAAACUGGGAGAGAGGGAGUAUAUCGUAGGAUGUGUCCCAUACAAAAUUAGUCCCCUGGUUUGUCACCGCGAAGAUGCGGUUAGAAAGGAGCACAACGUCUUCCUACUCGUACGACAACAAAUCGGCCGCAGACAGCACGGUCCGCCUUUGACCGCCAUGUGCAAGGUUCGUGCUAUCUUAUUCAAUCUCACCGUUGUUCCAUCGUACCAAUUCAUGCGGUGGCCUGUUGCAUGGCUGAUCCCAAUGUUGGACAAAGGUUCUACGGGAACGGUGUCACCGUUGUAAAUGUUGUGCAAAUUGAUGUUGGUACCCUCCCGUACAUAUGCAAGCCAAUCUCCACUCGCACCGAGCCUAACCUAUGAAACAGUGGGCAGGGGGAGAAUUAGGAAAUGGACACGGAAGUAGUCUUUAGAAUGCAUUUACUACGUGAUCAAACUCAUCUUACCUGCUCAUCGGAGGAAAUCCGAGUGCCCCUCAACGUCGGCAUCUCAAGGGGCGUAAACUUGCAACUACGGCCACGCCGCGCUGGAGAGACCCCCAAGGAAACAUCCUCGUGCGUUCCACGGAACAUCAAGAUGCAUUUGUAUGAGUAGUUUAUCUUGUGAGAGAAAAGGAUGAACGAGGGAAGGCCUCUAGAGAUAGAGAUGGACACUACUACUACCAAUGUGCUGGCCCGUGCGUUGCAAUGGAUCCAAAGUAGUAGAAUAAUACUUGUUCACGUGCUUGAAAUAUAAACACUCUAGUUUUGAUAUACAUGUGUCAGCAGACAUGACAACUUGUCCAUGGAAGUUGAACCACGACGACCAUCACGUUUCUUGUUUCUACCACUGCCACACCCACACGCGAUUCCCACAACGCUGCUCCAACCCACGGCACGACGUCCCCCAACGUGGACAUGGAUCCUCUGACGUGGCUAUCACUGCCUUGCCCUGCCUUUCCUUCGCUGACAGGUGGGACCCACGCUCAUGGGUCCCACAUGUCAGUGACAGAAUGGUAGGAUUGUUCGCGUCAGGGGAUCCUCAUCCCCCCGACGUGCCCCUCAUCCCUCUCGGCCCCACCGCUCCUCUGCCUUUGUGUGCAUGACAUGCGGGCCAGCUGAACUGCGGCGACCAUCAACUUUCUACCACAGACACACCCGAUUGGAUGCGGUUUGCCUGCUCUGCUGCUGUGCUCCGAUCCGUACUCCUGCAGCAUCGAAUUUUCAUCCAGCGGCUGUGACACAUUUCGUCCCGGGCAUCAAUCCUCAGCUGGAGUACUUAUGUACUACAGGUAGUACCCGCCGGUGUGGCCAUCUACGCCUCGUAACGCCCCGAUGCCCAGCUAUGGCACCCUCGCCACGGCCACGCCACCACCGGCCGGUUCAUCUCGAACGAGUGAGUCGCGAACCACGCCACCACCAUGAGAAUGACAUGUGGGCCAGCCGCAUUUAAGGUCCGCAUGUCAUUGACUCAUAGGCCGGGCACUAAGACACUGAAGUUCGGUCCCGUGGGACCCGAGAGGGAAAUGUAAGUCCUGCGGCAGGCCUUGUGGUGCUCCCGCAGUACGAGCUCGUGCCAAAACUGGAAUUUGUUUCUUACUACUACCAACUAAUACUAGUAAGGUACACGUGCAUUGCACGCAUGAGAUUCUGGUGGUUUGUGCAUUAUGCUUCUACAUGUGGAGCUUUCUGGAUUCUAACAUGUGGCAAAAUCUGGUGGAAUGUAAGGUUAGGCAAGUUUGAUUAACUUAGGUGAGUGUUUGGUUCAAGCCACACCUUAGGCAAGCCACACUAAGGCCCCACAUGACAUACACACAAAAAUGUGGCAAGAUUCCCUUAGGCUUGCCAACUUGUGGCUCUCAUUUUGAAGAACUAAUAACUUUGCCUAAGCUUAGUUGUGGCAAAGUUAGUCAUGAAUUAAGUUCAACCAUGGAGUCUUCUAGAUUAUACAUGUGGCAGAAUCUGGUGGAUGAUAUCCAACGGCCAGUAGUGCUCGGAUUUGCCAUCUUUGUACCAUCGGAUUGGCUUCAUCCAACGACCAACUUUCAAAGUUUUUCACACACUAUAUAGGGGGUAUAGAUAUAGAUGUGCCGGUCCGUUGCAGUGGAUCCAAAGUAUAUCUAUUUAGUGGAGUGCACUCUAAACACAUUAUCUAUUUAUUUUUCUCUAACCUUCCGUAGCCAUGCAACCAAGCCACAUAAGCUUCAUGGGUGCCCCCCACAUCAUAUUAUUCAUACUACGUUGAUUAAAAAAAGAUAAAUCACCCAAAACAAGAUCUUCCCUUUUUUGUUCCUACGAUGUUGUGCCGUGCACGUACCUACUAGUUGUAUAGUGGUAGUACUAGUAAUAUAGUAUUAGGAGUACAAACUUGGUACUAGUAGGAGUAGUACUAGUACGGAAUGCUCCUACUCUAUCAACGAGCCCCGUCUGACACCAAAUUUCUUGGCUUCUGUGCUACAACUCGAUCUUCCCCUCGUUUCUGUUUUCCAACCCGGCGGCGGGCGGGGUGUCGGUUUGCUCAACGGCGGUCCCACAUGAAAGUGAAAAUGCUAGGCAACACGCCUUCCCUAAGCUAUGUGUCGUGCCGGACGGGCCGUGCUGUACUCCCGAUUCCCGGGCGUGUGGGGGUGCGACGCGAACGAGAAUGCAGCAGCACAAUAAGAAUUAAGGCCACGAUGAUGCGAUCGCAGUGGUGGUUACAGAAGGCAAGAAGAAAGAUGGAUCCACGAACGUACGACCUCCUCCUCCUCAACUUAGUGCGCCCGGUCACCGACCGGCGGCUAAGGAGCGGCGGCUUUUGUGGCGAGGUCGAGGUGCUUCUCAGCAAAGGCAUCCAAGGCUUCCAGCCGGUUGAGGAAGGCCAACAUCGUAGCGUCCUCACUGGCCUUGUAGAUACCUAUGUACACAAUUUGCUCGUACACGUGGAUGUGUAGGUCGACGAUUUCUUGCAGGGCGAGGCGCCUCGCGGCGAGCGCGACCUCCAGGUGGACAUUCUUCGUGGCGUCGGCGGGCAGUCGCAGGGCCACCAGUGCUUGAAAGAGGUUCCGGUCAUGGAGGCCGAUUAGGGUGGCAGGCAAUGAGGAGCCCGGGCGCACGGGCUGGAGGAGUACGGCGAUGUCGUCCGCGAGCUUCUUGAGGAUGGUGAACUUGUUGCUGGUGGCAACGACCAUCUGGUCCAACUGAGAGUCAUAGUUGGCGUUGACGGCGGCCAUCCACCAGCCGGUCUCCAACACCGUCUGGAGACGAUCCUCGGCGCCAUGCCGCAGGCCGGCGUCGUGGACCAUAUGGCGCAGCCGCUGGCCGCUCACGCGCAUCGCCGCCAUGGGUCUGGAGUGAGCUCUUUUGCGCUUAGUGUAGGUGCUUAGGCAAAUGCUUAGGUGCGUACGAUGUGGUAGAUGCAUUGGAAUGGUGGGGCGCCUUUAUACGAGGGCAAACUGCGUUGCAUUCACAUCGUGCAGCCUCUUUUCCCGGACCUCCUCCCAUUACUUCCUUCAUGCAUUAAUUGAAGGAGGAUGCAUUGGCCGUUCAACAUAUCGGGAACCGCUACUCCCUCCCUCGUCUGCAUUAAAGCCGUAUCGGGAACUGCGCCGCCCGCUGUCAAAUCGAAUACUCCCUCCGUCUAGGUGAGUAUUAAGUCAUCUUACGAAAACCAAAUAGUAAACACAUAGGCGUGGUGCAUUAACUCUCACGUUGUUUCUUAUUUUUUGACAUAAAUAGAGGAAUCAACCAAGAAGAGAUGUGGGGCUUGUAUGCUUUUAAUGACUUGAGACUAUCAAACAUGACAUGCAGUGGUCAGUUCGUUGCACAAGAACAAAUACAACCCACAUCAGCACACACGCAUCUUAUAUAGCAUCACAUCCAACGGCUAUAAAAGAUGAAUGCGACCAAAUUAUAUCUCAUCUAGAUGAGUUCUGGAAAAACUGUAUUAAUAAUACUUAGUACUCCUGCGCCAUGUAUCAUAUAUUAGUAUCAUGUAGUACUUUAUUUAUUGCCAUGUAUGACACAUAGUACUCAACACUCUCUCUUUCUUCAUUUAAUUCUAUGACACCUCAUCAAAAUUUCUAAGGCUAGUACCAUUACAACCAGCCUUAGCAAAUACUAAACAUUAAGUUCUCUCAUUUUCCUCUCCACCUUAGUCACCUAGACGGAGGGAGUAUACUGCGCGGGCUUUUCCUGCGCGGUAGGCGGGGCAGUUCCUUCUAGUCGGUUCGACAGAGACGCGAGAAGACGAGGGAGUAGGCUGCUGCAAACGUAGGGCUGUGUGAUUUGACAGCGAGUUAUUGCUGGACAGGUGGGGCCCCAUGAUUUGACUUGCCAUUAUCAUUUUAACUGCGGCGCUAUGACCGGUGUGAGUCUCCCGAUUCCUGACCACCUCCAUACAGGUGCCUCUCCCAAUGCUCCACCAUGUAGUAGAGGCUGGCUCUUGCAUGAGAGCCCACUUCUCCACUUUUUCCUUGCCUCUCUUUCCUCCACAUAUGCAAAAAUGCCAUGUAAAGCGCACUUUUGUACUUACUUGCUCCUACAGGUGCUUAAGCUUGCCACAUAGGCAUAAAGUCUGAUGUGGCAAGUUAAUCAAGAAGAGAGAGACUAGUUUGGUGACCCAAGGAAGAAACGGUGCUAAGCGCGUGUACCUAGGUGAAAAGACAAUUUUGAGUCUAUAGCUAAUUAAAUGAAGCAAACUUAGCAACACCAUUUCAUUGGAAGAGGUCACUCCUUGGCAAAUGCAAUAAAUACUUGUACUCCCUGUGUCCCAUAAUAUAAGAACGUUUUUGGCACUACACUAGUGUCAAAAACGUUCUUAUAUUAUGGGACGGAGGGAGUACGAAGAAAGAGAUAGAGAGAAGUAAAAAAAACACUUAUAGCCAACCUUAUAGCCAACCUUAUAGCAAAAACCUUGUUGUAGUAUGAGUGACUAAGUGAUGACUAUGUAUGACAUGCCAACAUCAGAUAGCCUAACGCACUGUGUUAAAUCUCCAAGGGCGCGACCGCACGAGCGACGCGACGGUCGUGGUAGGCGCGACCACGAUACGGGCUGCUGGCAGCCCUUGGAUCUGAGAUCAAAUGGUCGCAUGCUAAGUUGCUGAAAAUUUGCAGAAUAACCCUCCAGGAUAGGAUAUUCACCCAUAGGUCUAGAAUCAUGCCAUGCAACCGUUCGAUCUUAGAUCCAAGGGCUCUCGGAAGCCCGUAUCAUGGGAGAAUGGAAAGCCACUACCCUGCCGUUCGCACGCUGGCAGUUCGCUCCUACUCGGCCCCACACGUCCUUCAAUACUACGGCGGUUCGCUCCUAGUCGUCCCGUCCAUUCACAUUACGGCAAUUCCACUAAUCUUAACCCUCCUCCCAAAUCCAUGGCGUCCCAUAUCUCCCCGAUCGGCGGUGAGUACAAGGUUAGAACCAUCACCGGCGAUGAGUUCGACAUCAUCUACACCCGUUCUUCCGCGACGGUGAAAGGAUGCCUUUCUCGCUUCAGACGCAUGUUCGAAGACUCAGAUGAUGAGUGGAUGGCUGGGCUAGAUGUUGAGUACACCACAGUCCUGGGACGAGAGAAGGAUCUAAAGGACGAAGAGAGGAAGAAGCCCACCGUGAUCCAGGUUUGCAUGCAUGACUUAUGCUUGGUCUACCACAUAUGCCAUGCCGACGUUGAGUGCUAGGAUUUUAAGGACUUCCUCGAGAGCAACCUAGUCAAAUUCGUUACUGUAGACUUUGGUAACGACAAAGAAGUCCAGCGUCGGAUAGGCCUCGUUGUAGGCAACACCUUCGACCUCCAGAAGAAUCGGCUGGUGUCCUCUCGUCAGCCUUCAAUGCUGACCCUGGCAGGAGCCAUGGUUCAUCCUUCGUACGGUAAACUGGAGAAACCUCCAUACACGUUUCAUCGUCAUGCAUGGCAGCAGAAUGUACUAGAUAUAGACCACAUCCACUACACUUCAAUGGAUGGCUACCUUUGCUUCAAUAUCUACAAGGGUUGGAUGAAGAGCAACAACAAAGUGUGCGGUUCAAGCAAACAAGUAUCGGCCAAGAGGAAGAGGGACAAGGACGAAGUCGAGGACGUGGACGAGGACUCCGAGUAAGGUGGCAGUGUCGUUGCUCAUGGUGGUUCUAAUGCAGUGUCUACCGGAAUAGUUGCAAAGUUUAAUUUCAGGUGUGCUUAAUUUAAUUUGAGGGGUGUGUUGUGCUGAGCCCCCAGCAAAACUAUGUUAUGUUUCUUCUUGUUACUUUAACUCUUCAGUACGUACAUACUAGUAUUUCUUACAUUUCAUCUUUUAUUUGGUAUAGUACUACCACUCGUUUCUUCACAUUAUAUACGUACAAUAUAUAUGGCCAACAUCAUAUAGCUAGCAGUUUAGUUGUCAAAGAAUUUCAGAGUGCUUAGUUUUGUCAAAGAAUUCCAGGGUGCUUAGUUUUAUUUGAGGGGUGGGUUGUGCACUUGUGCUGGACACCAUUAUUGUGACAAGCCUUUUUUAAUAGUACUAUAUGCAUAAUUUGGCGACGAGCGCUCUCUACAUGUACCACCUUUUUUUAAUUUCAAGUUUUGCUCCAUGGCGCAAUCCAUCGAUACUACUACUGUUCAAAAGUGGAGUAUAUACAUUUUUUAAAAGGCUAGAGGGCGGGGCAGUCUAGCUCGGUCGGUUUCACGAGAGGCGAGGGCCUUUGUCAUUUGACGGCUCAUUACUGCUGUCAAAUUGAAUAGUACUGCGCCGCCCGCUGCACGCCCGGCGCCUCCAUUAAACCCCCCCGUUAAACCUGCAUGCAAACCGAGAAUCCUACUCCUGCCACACGUCCGUUCAUGAGCGGGCCGGAAUUAAACGCAACACCGGCCGAGCUCGUCCCGUCCGCCCUCAGUUUAAACGAGGCCAGACGCCGGCCAAGCUCGUACCGUCCGCCCUCUAUUUACACGAGGCCAGACAGACAACGGGCAAGAAUCGCACCCCUUCGUCGCUCCCCCAUCUCCUCCUUCACCAUUUUCUCCACUCUUCCGAUGGCUUCCGAUGAGCCAUUCUCCGGCAUAUUACCCGACUGGGUGGCCCGCCGAGCCCUCCGGAUACGGGCGAGGCCGCUCGGUGCUUCACCAACCUCGCUUGGCCCGACGGAGCCAGUUGCCGCCCCAAGCAGGCGCGUGGUCCAGCAACUCGCCGCUCCAGUUCAGCUCGAUGAGGAGUGGCGAGUUGCUCCACACCGGCACGGCGGCUAGCACGCCGGUACGGGCGCCGUCGCUGCCGCCUCGUACCGCGCCACCAGUGUCUGCGGUGGCCGCGCCUCCCGUGUCUGUGGGCGCGACUCCCGUGCCUGCGGCAGCGCCAUGCAGGCAGAGACAGAAGCCGGGUGCAUGGAGAGCGAUGAGUCGGUGGCUAGCUUCUUCGUGUCCGCCGCCAUCAUCGAGGAGAAGUAGAACACGGGAGGCCGCCGCCACUUGGGACCCAUGAAGGUCACCGCCGAGGCGACGACCGCGGAUUCAGGUGGUUUCUUUGCUGCUUCGUCUCUUCUGAGGACCUUCAUCGACCCCGCAAGUGUCUGACGGACAUGAGGAAGACAAAGGGAUCCGCGGGCGGCCAUUUAGAACUAAAAUAAGUCUAGAUACAUCCAUUUCUAGGACAAGUAUUUCCGGCCGGAGGGAGUAUUAAUUAUACAAGAGAGCCGGAUUGACACCUCUUAGUUCAUGUAAAUGUAAUGAAAUCCAUCAUGUUUAUAUGAAGAUCCGGCUUUUUUAUACGAAAUCCUUCAUGCUUAUAUGAAAUCAGUCCGUGUUUGCAUGAAUUUCAUCUGGUUGGUUAGAGUUGUAAAAAUGUAUGCCGCUGGCGUUUGAUGUCGUCCUCCGCUUAAGUAAGCGGGAGGAAAUUUGCCGGCUACCGUUGGAGAUGCUCUUUAUGCUGGAAAUAAUAGAGUGACAUCCAAUCCAUUUGAGUUAAUUGCCUGUAUGAUUGUCCCUCUAUAAAAAGUUAAUUGCAUGUACAGUGUACAUGUGACUUGCAGGGUGGCUACAGCUUCGUACAGAAAGUUAAAAAGAAACAAGUCCAUCCUUAAUCUUGUAUUCUAAGUACUUAUGGGUUCCACUGUCAGUACAGUAGCGAAAGAAGUAUAUAUUAAAUAAGUAGAGUAAUAUAUAAUAUAAAAAUAUAAAGUUAAAAGACAGAAUUCGAACUCAUGUCAUCGCGUUGCGAGCAUCCGGCGCUAACCAGGCUAGCAAAUUUUUGUUGUAGACCAUGCUGGAGAUAUAUCUCCAUGUCUACUCUUAUAUAUACUCCAUUCGUUCCUAAAUAUUUGUCUUUUUCAGAUUUUCAAAUGGACUACCACAUACGGAUGUGUAUGUAGACAUAUUUUAGAGUGUAGGUUCACUCAUUUUGCUCCGUAUGUCUUUUCAGGAAGGGGUCAGAUUUGUCCUUGAUUUAUUUAUGAGGUAUCCAGAUGGCACUGCACCGCCAAGAAAAGAGGGUAACAUCAAAAUUAUGGACUACUUUUUUGAGUAUGUUGGUAAGGUCCGGUCAUAGUCACUUGUUGAAAUCUCUAAAAAGACAAAUACUCCCUCCGUCCGGAAAUACUUGUCAUCAAAAUGGAUAAAAGGAAAUGUAUCUAGACUUAUUUUAGUUUUAGAUACAUCUCUUUUUAUCCAUUUUGAUGACAAGUAUUUUCGGACGGAGGGAGUAGAAAACAGAGUUGGUGAUGAUGGUGUGCGUGCCAUCCUGCAAUAUAGGCCGUCGGAUUUAUAUCUAACGGAUAGGAAAGAAACUAUGGCAAUUUUGCAAAAAUAUACCCACACGUCUCUCCAUGUUCGCAAAUAAGGCCUUCACUCGUUCAACCUUUUCUCUCACAAGAUAAACUACUCAUACAAAUGCAUCUUGAUGUUCCGUGCAACGCACGGGCAGCUAGCUAAAUUCUUUUAAAAUAGUUGCUGCGAUAAUUGGGUUGAAGUGAUAUAUUUUAUGUCUGCCCCAAAUGAUUUCAGAUUCACUAGUAGUAACAAAGAAAAGGUUGCCUUGUUAAUUAACAGAAAACAAGGUGAAAACUAUCACAUGAGGCCGGUAAAAACAAGGCACACUGGGUUCAGCGUCAUCGUCACUACAGCUGUGCGCGUGCGAGAAGUCUACAUAUCGAGGGGGCUACCGAGCGAGGCACCAAGACACAAUGUUUGAGAGAGAAACCAAUUGACAGAUUAUGAUCAGAUCGAGUUGUCACCCUUCUGCUGUCAUUGUUGGGGGGGAGGGAGAGAAAGACGUAUCGAGAGUGUGCGUGGUAGGCACAGAGGCACAACUAGCGAGUGUGUGUGUAUGUGUGUGUUUGAAAGAGGAGUAGAUAGAUUAUUAUCAAGAUCAAUGUGCCACCCUACUCCUUCGGUGCCAGGUAGUGUGUGUGUGUAUGUUUGAGAGAGAAGCCAGUCGAUAGAUUAGUAUCAAGAUCGAGGUGUCACCCUACUCCUUCGGUGUUGGGAAGUGUGGGUGUGUGUGUGGGGGGGGGGGCAGUGACACUCACAUAUCUCUACUCUUAUAAAUAAAACAGAGUUGGUGAUGAUGGUGUUCCUGCCAUCCUGCAAUAUAGGCCAUCCGAUUUAUAUCCGACGGACAGGAAGGAAACUAUGGCAAUUUUGCAAAAAGAUACCCACACCCCUCUCCGCAUUUGCAAAUAAGGCAUUCCCUCGUUCAUCCUUUUCUCCCACAAGAUAAACUUCUCAUACAAAUGCAUCUUGAUGUUCCGUGCAACGCAUGGGCAUCUUGCUAGUAGGGAGAAGGAGUUUGUGUGACACAUAUCUAGCUAUAUUAAGGGAUAGGUAGAUAGCAUAUGUGUGAGAGACAUUAUUAUACUUUGAGACAUUAGUGGCUGUGGGUGGGCGGAAUUAAAGGGGUGGGCGUGUUAGACAUAGAGAGCGUGUGUGUUUCUGUGUGAGAGACUUGUAGGACGGGGUAGAAAGACAAAUUUAACCCUGACGGAGGGAGAGAAAUACACGAAGUGCGCGUGUGUGAUUCCGAUGCCCACAGGCAAAUGAGAUAUGUAUGCGUGUGAGAGAGAUUGCACAAUUCAUUCACGUAUCACUAUCUAGCGAUCGUGGACGUGCAUCGCUUGAACAUAAGUCAAUAUCUACUUCGUAUCGUGGCCAAAGGUACAAUAUCGAUUCAACGCUAUAAAGAUUGGACACUCACAUAUCACAUUUUUUAUUUAAAUAAACCUUUUCAGUUGUGCAUGCCAAAGUUACAGUGAUGUUUCUUCAAACAACCAAUGUAGCUAUCAUGUAUAUGCACCAUUGUUACUCUUGCAUUCAAAUUCAUUAGUCUUGGAUGAUUUAAGUUUCUAUUUUGAAGUAAUAUAUGUAAUAUUUAUAUAUGAAUUCAACGGGUACGCAAUUUAUGAAAUGGAGGCUAUGUAAUCAUAUGAGGUAACACUUUUAAGUAGCUGACUACAAUAUCCAUUUCUUUUUGUGCGCCUCUACACUAACACGUCAAUGCAUUAUGUUUAAAGUAAAUAACUAAUGGCACUAAAUUAUCUAUUUACACGAGAAAUACAUAGGCUGAGCGUGUGAUCCCUUUUUUUGUGAACGCGCCACUACACCCGUACGAUUGGCCGCGCCCGUGUGAACGUCCAAGUUAUCGGCGCAUCAUCCCGAGUUAUUGUCUUUUUUUCUGGGGUGGACUUCACACCAGUUAUUAACUGCUGACGCGUGCCCCGUGUACACAGUCUAGCAUGACCUUCCCGCUAGCAUGGUCCAAAAUUAGUUGAAACUGGAUACGAACGAUCCCGCGGGCGGCAAAAUCUCCCGCCUCCUUCUAAAAUUUCCGCCACCUUAGUCUUUAGCAUGCGAAAUCCCCCUUUUGUCCUUGGUGCACGGAGACCAACAGUUACAAUACCACCCUCAUCUACAUGUAGGUCGGGGCUGCUUUGGUAACUUCCGGUUCCCCCACUACACGGCACCCCCAUUUCCUCUCCCCUCCCGCAAAAACGACUAACUCCACAGCACCAGAGCAUCUUACAUCACGCCGUCCAUACUUCAUCGCCCUUUCUCCCCUCCCCUCUCGAAACCCUAGACUGCUCAUCCACCGGCCUACCAUAGCCCAUUCACUGCCAGCGGCGUCCACCUCGCCGGAUCUGCUUCUGCGGCCGCAUCUACCCCUCCCACCUCCCCUAGAAACAAGUAGACUGCUCAUCCACCACUGUACCACAGCCCAUUCAGUGCCGGCCUUGUCCACGACGCCGAAUCUGCUUUGCCGUUACUCUCGUCAACCGCCGCGCAUCUGCAGCGGCUCAUUCGUACUCCCCACCGGAGACGCUUCGUCCACACCCCCCGGAGCCGCCCCACCGAUGCCCCCGUCAACGGCCUCUGAUCCUCUUCGCCGACACCUUCCUCAACCCUACCGGAGCCGCUUCGCCGACACCUUCCUCAAUCCUACCGGAGCCGCUUUGCCGACACCAUCGGUAACCCUACCGGAGUAGCUUCGCCUAUACCAUUCUCAACCCUACCGGGGCCGCUUUGCCAACUCACAAGUCCACGGCCUCAGAUCCGCUUCCUCGCACCCUCAUCCAACCUACCAGAGCAGCUUCUGACGCCCCGUCCACGGCCGCAGAUCCGCAUCGUCGACACCACCCUUAACCCAACCACCGGAGCAGCUUCUGACGCCCCGUCCACGGCCGCAGAUCCGCNNNNNNNNNNCUUCGCCCACACCGUAGUCCACCCUACCGGAGCCGCUCCACAAACACCCUACUCGACGGUUCUAGAUCUCCUUACCGGACCCCGACAGCCAGCGCAGCGUCAUCACCCUCGACGUUUCUAACCUGAUUCCCACCGUCUGGAGAGAUGCCAAGCACCCGCCACGGCCUAGGUACUUGUCACCUUUAAACCCGUCCAGCAUCACCUGCCCGAUGUACUUCAAAUAUACUAACCGGUCGCUGUUACCUGUUAUGCAGCUGGCAAAAACUACAAUGACGAUGUUUCUUCUGGAUCUAACAGCUUGCCAACCAAGAUCCUGGACUGAGGCAUUGCUAUGAUCUUGUAAGCGCGUCUCUCUCUCUUGUAUUGUUCUGUGCCUGCCAGCGUGCUUUGCUAGGAUUUUCGACCAGUAAUCCCUUUGUGCAAACAAUGAUUUCUACUACUGGCUGCUAAAUUAGAUAUGUAGAUGUCAUACAUGAUACUACCUCGUACCUCCGUUCCUAAAUAUAAGUCUUUCUAGAGAUUCCACUAUAGGCUACAUACGGAGCAAAAUGAGUGAAUCUACACUCGAAAAUGCAUCUAUAUACAUCUGUAUGUGGUCCAUACUGGAAUCUCUACAAAGACAUAUAUUUAGGAACAGGGGCAGUACAUUACACAACAUCGUAGGUGGCAUAUAGGAAUUCCAGUGCACUACAUUAGGCUCCCUUAGAGUGCCUGCUAGUCCAGCAUACAGAGUCAUGGCUAUUUUAUGGUACGCACACAAUCGUUAAUUGGUGGUUUAAAUAUGCGCAUGGGAUAUCCAAUGUAGUAUCAUGUAGAGAUGUCUAAAAUUAGCCGUGUCAACUUGCAGAUAGGGUUACACAAUGAAAAAGUACAAGAUGUAUGUGGCAAUUUCAUGGAACAUCGCAAAAAAGGAGAGGCAGCGGUGAGCCUAUACAGUGUGCUAUGGUACGUCACUCCUCCAUUGCGAUCAUCGUGACAUGUUAUUUGUAUGCCAAUUAUUACGAGUUAUCCUAAGAAAAUAAGCACCUGUGAAUAUAAGCUCCAUGUAAUAAGCCAACCAGUUCUUUUCAUUGCGUUUUUAGCUUAUCUUUGGUAUGAUCAGUGGAAAGUCUAGAUUGCAUUAUAUUUUUUUCAUUUUGCUGCCCAUAUGGAAAUUAAUUUGACUUGCAAACAUCACAAAUUGAACCCAGUGCAGUAAUUAAUAUGAUAGGAAAACAGACCAUCACUAUUUGCUCAAAAUGCAAAUACAAAGAUACCAUCUACUUGGCACAAUCUACUUUGGUCAAUGUUUUCCAUAGAGAUCCCAUUGCCUAAUUUAAACGAAGAACACAUGACCCACAUUUAAAUGAAGAACAAUUAUUUAUUGAAAUUCGAUUAUCCAAGUGGCUGGUUAUUAUUGUAUAGCAGCACCACCUGAAAGCAUCAUAUAGCAGCAGCAACAGCUCAUAGCAACUCAUCAUACAGCAGCAGCAGUCUGCAAUUCAUCAUAUACCAGCAGCAGCUCAUAGCAAUUCAUCAUAUAGCAGCAGCAGGAGCAGCUCAUAGCAAUUCAUCAUAUAGCAGCAACAGGAGCAGCUCAUAGCAAUUCAUCAUAUAGCAGCAGCAGGAGCAGCUUGUAGCAACUCAUCAUAUAGCAGCAGCAGCUCAUAACAAUUCAUCAUAUAGCAGUAGCAGCAGCUCAUAGCAACUCAUCAUACAACGACAGUAGCUCAUAGCAAUUCAUCAUAUAGCAGCAGUAGGAGCAGCUCAUAGCAAUGCAUCAUAUAGCAGCAGUAGAAGCAACUCAUAGCAAUUCAUCGUAUAGUGGAUCAGAAUGAAAAUUUGGCAAAAAAUUAGAGGAGAUCCUCACCUUGUUGGAUGAGCUCAUCCUUCAACAACACCUCAAGGCCAUGGCUUGGGAGGAGGGGAGGGGGAAUAAGGUGCCUUCUGCCGCAGUGUGGCAUCAACCGUAGUUGUGCAGCGCCCGCCGGAGUAGUGCGUUGGAUGAACCACAGUGGAGCAGCUGCUGGAGACCAUGAGAAUGAGGGGCGGCGCCAGAGGGAGGAGCAGCCAGGGAGAUUUGCCCCUACCUGCCGGCCAUGUAGCCUAGCUGGACAUAGCAUCGUUGAGGACCAGGCCAGAUGGGACCAGUGGCGACGGCUCGCUGGAGGAACCCUAGUGCUGCAGGCAGGGGAUCAAGGUAGAGGGAAAGGGGAGAGGAGAUGCAAGCGGGCAGGGCAAUGAAUGCUUGCGUGCUUGUUUUUACUUGAGGGUCAGGUGUGACACGGGCGUCAACAGUUGCAUUUUGAGUGUAAUAUAGGCAGACAACAGAGUCAUUUCACUAUUCCCCUUCCCUUCAAUUUUUAGUGAGGUUCUACCCGAAACACCCCCUCCAAAGCGAAAUUAGUUAAGCCCAAGCCCAUAACUCAAAAAUGAAUUCUUUACAUCUUUUAUGGCUUAUUUUGACAAUAUGCCCUGAAAAGGCGGAAUUGAACUGGCCCUUAACCUGCAAUUCAAUUGUGUGUGCAAUGAUGAAUCACCCCUUCCUGCUAUCUGUACAUUUAGGCAUCAUCAUACAUGGCAUAACCUAAUACAUGUGCAUUCCAUUGUAGAAUCUGGAAUAUGCAAUGUUGAUGUUAGUUCAUACGUUGCACAUGAUGUUUAAAUGCCCCUUAAAUCUGGUAGUCAAGUGAUGGUCUUUAAGCCUCCUUCUUUGCUUCUUUUCUUGAUAUGUAAGAUUUGCUCACACAUCUGUUCAAUUGCUUGUUUGCAUCAGCCAGCCAUACUAGGACUGUUUGCUUUGAUUACUUGAUGUUCUUGACCUAACACUCUAACAGAGCUUGUCAACGAUUUAAACACUAAGGGCUGCUGUAGUGGGGCCUUGUCUAACUCAUAGGUGACAUAAAGGUUUGGCUGUACACUACAGUAGGCUCUCCAAGAGUACCUGGAGAUCCAGUUCGAAGGUAUGCCUAGUUUUUACAUAGUGCAGACAUAGUAAAUGCUCAUUUCAUUGUGUGCAAGUGCAAGAGAUGCGGCAUGUUUCAUUAUGUGGUGUUGUUUUGUUAUAAUCUCAUCCUUUUGUGUUCACAGACUGGAAAGUAUGCAUAUUUAUCUUCCAAGGAGACGAGUAACUAGUUUGUGUCACCUUGCAGAGGGGGUGCAAUGAAGAUAAGAUUGAGGAUUUCCAAGUACAAGAUGUUAGGAAGGAGCCUUGCAAGAGAAGUAGGAGCUGCGCUGAGCCUCUUCAACCUGCUAAGGUAAGUCACUGUAUGCAACUCAACAGUUCAAUUCCUUGUUUGUUUCAGGCAUAGUUAAUUUUCUCUUUUCAAUUGCUUUAUUUGUCCUCAGUUAAUGAGAUGCCCAAAUAAUCAUGCCUGAUGUUCAGUACUUGUAUCACUAUUAGUUGACAUAAUUAAAGGCCUUACCAUUUAAUUACUCUGCCGAAGUGUGCCUGAAGCUUUGAAGUCUAUUAACCAACUAUUACUGCAUGAGGCUCACAAUCUAGUUUAUACUACGCUAAUGAUUGCAUAGUUUUUCCUGCUGUAGUAUGUUUGUAUGAAACCCUCUGCUGUUCAUUAUGCUCCCUAAGACUUUAAUUGAGGCACAAAAUGGCCAACUGCUUGCUUACUUAUACGCAACGUGCUGUCUAAAUUUGUAACUUGUCUGUGUUUUCGAUUGGGCCCCAACAUCAUGCUCCUCUGGUGAGCUAAGAGGGAUUUCUGUAUGCAGGCUGCACAGACUAUCUUUUUUAUAAUUUUUAAAAUAUCACCUGCUUAUGCUUCAUGACCUAUAACAUUUUUUUUGAAAGUGACGUGUAACAUUAUUGUUAGUCCUGUUUUGCCAUGUAGUACAAAAUAGUGUCUUGUUCGCUUCACUGUUGAAACUAUAUUUUUGCCCUAGUCAUGUGUACUUACAAAAACAUUUCAGGAUGAAGUGACAUCAACACAAAGAUCUGCGAGCAGUGCGGCAUGGCCGUUACCGAAUGAUUAUGGAUUGGAAUUGGAAUGUGCUGAUGUUCUCGAGCAUCAACUAGAGGUGGCAAGACAACGUGUACAUGAUUGUCAAUGUAUAAUCAACAAGUUGAGACUGGACAUGCAGGUAUUAGAUGAAGGAGUCAACAAAAUGAAACAAGACACUGAGGUAACCAUGAAGGAAUUGGAGAUUUUGCAGACUGAAAUUUGUGCUAUCUGAAUCCGGCCAAUCCUAUUUUCUGAAGAGAUUAUAGUUCAAAUGGAGUUAAGUUGAUGCGCGUCCAUGAUGUAUGAGCUGUAUUUGCCCAGUGUAUGUAAUUUGCUGUUUGUGUAUGCUUUAUUAUCACCUGUGCCGAACCAUAAUGCCGAGUGGGUAUAAUCAGCUGUAAUUUCUUUAUUGUAUAGUGUAGGAUUAUUCUACCUUUCUAUGCCUUGAUCUCUUUGUUGUAUAGUGUAUGCUUCUUAGAGGUGAUAGUAUUGAGUAGGAUAAUUCUUUGAAUAUGCUAUAUCGUUCAAACGGGGGCCAACUCGCCCGACCAUGGCCCUUCACGGGCCGUCGGAUCCAUGGGCCUUCUACGUCUCGUAGGAUCCAUGGGCCUUCUACGUCUUGUAGGAUCCAUGGGCCUUCUACGUGUCGUAGGAUCCAUGGGCCUUCUACGUCUCGUUGGAUCCAUGGGCCUUCUAUGUCUCGUAGGAUCCAUGUGCCUUCUACGUCUCAUAGGAUCCAUGGGCCGCCGACUCAUUUAUGGGUCUUGUACGGGCCUUUAAUGGGCCGUAGACGGGCCUUUAAUGGAAAUUGUACGUUUUAUGGCCUGACCAUAACGGGCCGUUUAGGUCGUAUUUGGUGAUGCUAUGAAAAUGGCCCAACAGACUAACGGUCCACAAACGGGCCGACUGCAACGACGGGCUGAAUUUGGCCCACAAGCAGAAAAUGACAGUAACGGGCCGUAAAUAACCGAAUGCUGCAAAUGAGCCCAAGAAUAAAUGGGCCCUCAGAAGGCCGAAAGUUAACUUGGGCUGGAAACGGCCCAACGGAAUAACGGGCCGUUAAUGGGUAUAAAGUGAUAGACUGUUCAUUACGGGCCAGUUUCACCACGGGCCGUUAAUGGGUGUAAAGUAAUACACUGUUCAUUACGGGCCAGUUUUAGCACGGGCCGCUAAUGGGCCAAGAGUUACAAAGGGCCUCAUAUGGGCCGAAAGACGUCAUGGGCUAUACAUGGGCCAGAAGUGAAAACGGGCUGGAAUCACAUUGGAUGGCCCAGAUGACGCUACUGGGCCUAAUUCGGAUAGGGCGUAACGGGCCUUGCGUUAGCGGGCUGUAAAUGGGCUAUAUGCGAACAGGCCGUUAACAGGCUUUCCAUGGGCCGGCCCGCCACCUUUUGACCAAGUCAAACGGGCUGGCCUUUUCACAAGAAUGGGCCACUGUUGGGCCGUGCCACGUGUCGACGUAUCAUAGGCGCCUCCUGUCCAGUGAGUGGAUGACAUCUGUCCCAACGAUGAGCCGACACGUGUUUCCUCUAGCCAAUGAUGAUUUUACACGUGGAAAAUCCCCAUUGGUCGGGGCUGUUACCGGGUUAUCGGAUCCAAAACCCGACCCGAUAGCUUAACGUCGUUCCAUUACGGUGGAUGCCACGUGUCGGUCACCCUUGACGAAAGCACUUCUAUGACGCGCAAUUUAUCGUCAUGGAAGUGGACACUUCCGUGAUGAUAAUUUUGGUAAUGUCAUGGAACACUUCUACGACAGCACAGGUAUGACUAUCUUGAUUCUGUCAUAAAUUUGUCAUGGAUGUACAUGCAUGACAAAAAACGCGACCUACUGUGACAAACACGUAUCAUCACGGAAGUCUAUUUUUUUUGUAGUGCAUGUUGGUGCCAUGUCAUGGCACCAAGCCAAGUUUCAUUAUUUUCAUGCGUGUUUUGGAUUUACAGGAAUUAAAAAACUAAGUUUCUCAAUGUUUCCAACCCAGCCACGACGCCCAGAAUUUUGAAUUUCAUUCCCAUUUCUUGCAUGGAACCUAGAAAUUUACCCGAGGACACACAUGUGAUUUUUCAACCAACUUUGGUGCACUGGAACAUGUGCUUGUAUUUCAAAUUUGAAUUAUGCACAGAAAGGUGACAUGUUCCCUCCCAGAACCACGAGCCUUCUUGACAGAAGCUCCGAUUUGCAAGAAGCUUAUACCAAAAUUUGUUCCUAUUCGGCCAAUUUUUUUACCACGGCAUGGUACUACCAUGACAUGACACCAUGCCAAGUUUCAUGAUUUUAAAACCAAGUUUCUCAAUGUUCUCGACCGAGCCACGAUGCCCAAAUGUUUGAAUUUUAUUCUCAUUUUUUGCAUGGGACCUACUCCCUCCUUCCAUCUAUAUAGGGCCUAAUGUGUUUUUCAAGACAGCCUUUGACUAUUAACAAGAUUAAUAGCACAUGAGAUGUAUACUAUGAAAAUUAUAUUAUGGAAGAUCCUUUGACAUACAAAUUUGAAGGUAUGCUUUGUGUAAGUUGCAUGUCAUAUAUUAUUGCUCUAACGUUUGGUCAAAGUUAGCCUCAAAAAACGCAUUAGGGCCUAUAUAGAUGGAAGGAGGGGGUAGAAAUUCACCCGAGGACACAAAUGUGAUUUUUCAACCAACUUUGGUGCACGGGAGCAUGUGCUUGUAGUUCAAAUUUGUAUUAUGCACAUUAAAUGACCAAAAACUCAAUUAAUGUGUAAAUAAGGCCAAACGAAGCUGGAAUAAUUCCAAAAUUUAACACGGCACUCAUGUAGUUCUAUGUUGCCUUUGUAAAUAAACUCAAGGGGGACAACGCAUAUCGUUUCGCACUCAAAGGUGGCACGUUCCCUCUCAGAACCACGAGCCUUCUUGAGAGAAGCUUCGGUUUGCAAGAAGCUUAUACCAAAAUCUGUUCCUAUUCGGCCAAUUUUUUUACCACAACAUGGUAGUACCAUGACAUGACAUCCAUGCCAAGUUUCAUGAUUUUCAGACGUGUUUUGGAUUUACAAGAAUUUUAAAACCAAGUUUCUCAAUGUUCUCGGCCGAGCCACGAUGCCCAGAUGUUUUAAUUUUAUUCUCAUUUCUUGCAUGGGACCUAGAAAUUCACCCGAUGACACAAAUGUGAUUUUUCAACCAACUUUGGUGCACGAGAGCAUGUGCUUGUAGUUCAAAUUUGACUUAUGCACAUUAAAUGACCAGAAACUCAAUUAAUGUAUAAAAAAUGACAAACGAACCCGGAAUAAUUCCAAAAGUUAACAGGGCACUAAUGUAGUUCUAUUGUGACACCCAAAAUUUUAUUGGAUUUUUCAAAAAAUUUAUUUGACCUGAGGGAGGUGAUUUAAAUUUUUUCUUCAAAGGAACCCUCCCUUUCAAAAAAUAUUUUUUUAUGGCAAGAGUUUUAUUUGGAUUCACCCAAAACUUGUUUUAGUCUUGGAGGUUCUUGCUUUUCAUUUUUGGCUCAAACCAAAAUGCUUUUCACUUGGGGAACAUGCCUUUUGAAAAUCUCUUUGAAAAUGCACUAUGGCUUUUGGAAUAAUCCUUUACCACUUUCAACAAAUCCCUCUUGCCAUGGCCUUAGUGCAAAUCCACUCUCCUAAACCUUCCCUCAUAUUUGGAUCAUGAUUUGCAUCAAAUCCAGCAAGUUGAACCUCCCCAUAUGAUUAUUUUCCAUUUAAAUCUUAUCAAAACAAUUUCUGUCCUCUAUUCUAGCCCUUGGAGAUUUACAAAGGAACUACCAUUUCUGUUUUGAUUUUUGCCCCCAAACCAAUUCCCCUUCCUAGUCUUUUGAACCCUCAACCAAGAUCCAUGAAGAUCCACUGGUCUUCAGUUCAAAUAUUUCAAACUAUACUUGCUGCAAGUUUGGACCAGAUUUGCCAAAUUUGAUGAAAUUCAUUCUAAUCCUUCUCCAAAAAUUUUGAGAAAAAUCAGGCAGCCUCUGGGUGCAUUGAGAGGUCACCUCACCAAGUUCCAGCCCCAGGAAAAAUUUUCUUCAUGCCAAAUCAUUUCGUCGAACACCUACUGGACACUGUCGCUGUCAUGUUCAGUUAAUUCAGAGAAACAGUUUCAGUACCCACUGUCGUUUUCUUCAGAACCCGACGUCGAUCUCGCCAGUGCCGCGGUGUCGCCGUGCACCCUGUGUUUCCUCCUUGUCCUCUGCACCGCACGGGCGCCUGGAAGCUUGCGGACGUCGGCGACGAGCAGCAGGAGGUGCGCCGCCCCGUGACCGACGCCAGCGGCGGCUUUGCGGCCGUCAGAAGGGAGGCGCAGCGCAGACGGCGCCGUCCAGCGCCGCCCAAGCCACCGGAGGUUGCCGCGUGGUCUUCCACUCCCCCAUGCGCGCUGCCACCCUCGUCGUGAACCGCUGGGCGUGGAGCACGCUCUCUGCCGCCGCCGUGCCAGUACGGCGACCCCGACGAAGACCGACGCCAUUACGCCAUGCCCGACCGAGUUUAGCAGUGGAACGGGACCAGUAACUCCCACUGAUGCUGCCUGGCCACCUAAACCCCCUGCCAAUCCACUACAUCGCCGUAAUUGCUCGCCGGAGAUUCUCCGUUCACGGCCACCCUCUCGAUCCGCCUAUAAAUAGAGGCCCCGAGCUUCAACUCGAGCCCACACCACCUCUGCACUCCACCUAGACCCUGCCUAGCCACUGGAAGAGCUCCGAGGAAGUCUCCUUCCUCAACUCCGGCCGCCGCGACCCGCCACGGGAUCCAGCUCGAUUCGCUCCCGUGCGUGCACCUCUGCCUCCCAUUUCUUGCCAGUAGCCCUCUAGUGCAUCCCUCCUUCUGACCCGCGCUUCAAUUCGAGGUUUGCAGCACACCACCGGAGUUCUCCACCAUCACCCGAGCCGCCGUCCGCCGGAGAAAGUGUCGCCGUCGACGUGGUGCUCUCCGACGCUCGAGUCCACCACCCACCGACGCGGAAGGACACGCUGAAGCUCUUGGUACACUCCGAUCUCCCUGUCUCGCCGUGGUUCGACGCCGGCGACCACCGCAGUCUUCGGGCGCCGGCGAGCUUUUUAAACCUGACAUGUGGACCCCCCUGUCAGCCUCUACUCUCUUCCCCCUCGAAACGUUUUUCUGUUGGCGCCUUCGGGCAAAUACGUUUUCCCUUUGAGUUGGCGCGUUUCUUUCCGAAGCGUUUUCUGUUUUAUCAGUUAAGCCCCUGGAACUUUUCUGUUUCAUUACAGAUGAGUCCCUGGACAGAAACCUUUAUAACUUUUUUAAUAAAAAGUGAUUUUUGAGUGAUUCUUUUUCUGACAGUCUUAAAAUUUUGUCUAGUUUUUUAUGGGAUUUAUUUGGAAAUUUUUUGGGAAAACUUAUAUGCACGCGUUGGUUUUCACGUUAGCGCCCGUUUUCGUUAUGUAGGUUCCGGAAGAGGUGACGGAGCCGCGAACUUCGCCGAGCUAGACUCCGACUUCUCCGAACCAGGCAAGCAUGUUUGAACCUUUGAUAUGAUAAGUGUUUUGCAUGUUUGCGUGUAAGUUUGUGCGUGGCAUAUGAUUGUCGGUGAGUACCUCGUUGCUUGUGCGGCAACUACCCAUAUGUUCCAAAGUUGCGAUGAUCUCUGGUGAGAGAUGGCCUAAUCAUGUGGUGACAUGAAGGGCAGCAAGGUGGUAUUGUUGUCGCAUACCAGCCUUGCGUCAUCCGACUAAUUCCGACGUUAACGUGGACGGAGUCACGUUGUCGUUCUUUUCCCUUCCGUGCUACCACAUGUUUCUUUUGCCAGGAUACGGUUUAGUAAGUUGGUAACCUCUUUCCGUGUACACACCAAACAGAGGGGCCGGGAUGAUGGUUCCAUGGCCCUGGAUUAAAGCCAGUCAUCCGGUCAGGGGGCAUGGGUGUUUCCGGUUGGGACCGAGAGGGGGGGCACCCCCUUAGAGCGCGCGUAUAGAAAUUUGAUCCCAUGCUACGCGAGGUUGUAGCCUCCCCGUCUCAAGGUUUUUCUUGAACGUUGCCGAGGGUGAUCCCUGGCUUCGGAAUGUUGAAUGGGUGUGUACUGGUUAUACGUGUUUCUUCCAAAACACCGUAAACGGAACUAGUCCCCGUGACUACUGAAAUCCGUUGGCUGUGGUUAAGUACAAACUCUGCAGAGUCAAAUCCUUUCGAGCCAUCGUAUCCAUGAUCAAGUAGGGUGAUCAGUAUAUCCAUAUCUAUAUUCGUGGAAAUUUAUCCCCGGUGGACAAGCUCAAGUGGGAAACCCAGUUUAAUUGUUAUUCCUGCAGAUGGACUCACCUUAUAUUUGUCUUGUACUCGUAAUAAUUUAUGUUCUCGAGCUACUGAAUUAUUGAGCUACAAUAUAAGCCCUUUAUGUGAUGUCGCUCAGACGUCCGACUGUGGCAUGAUUGUCUUUUACUUUCAAUAUAAGCCCUUUAUGUGAUGUCGCUCAGACGUCCGACUGUGGCAUGUUUGUCUUUUAUUUCCUGUUAUAAGCCCUUUAUGUGGUGUCGCCCCGACGCCCGACUGCGGCAUUAUUAUUCUUGCAGUUUCCUCUCGAGGAGUCAUUCAGACCCUCGUUUGGCACCGGUAUUACUAUUCUUGCAGUUUCCUCUCGAGGAGUCAUUCAGACCCUCGUUUGGCACCGGUAUUACUAUUCUUGCAGUUUCCUCUCGAGGAGUCAUUCAGACCCUCGUUUGGCACCCAGUAUUUACUUUGGGAUUUCGGGAGGACUACCGCCCGACUUCUCUGUUAUUUUCCCAUGCAUUAUUAUCUCUAUGUCUGAACGCACUGGUUAAUCUGUUCAUAUGCUUCAUGUUUACAUUUGUUAUAUCUUAUGUCCGAACUGUCUUGCGAGGACUUUCAUAGUACUCACCUGGCUUGUUGAUUUGGCCAGAUGUUGACGAAGGCGAUCUCUUGGAUGAAGAGUUUGAUAGUGCGUCCGACGCCUAGAGGAGUCCCAGUCAGUCCUGUGCGAUCCCGGAUAUUGGUCACUUGUGUUUUAUACGCUUCCGCCACCCGCAAUAAGUCUCCUCAAGCCUCACUCCGACGCUCGAAGAGCUGUAGUUUUCAGGAGUCAUAUCACCCACUUCGCGGUGAUAUUUCCACCACCGUUGUUAUCGUGAGUUAGUAGUUAUGCCACCCUAUCCGCCGUUAUGCUUUUCGGCGUUCAUGUAAUAAAUUGUUGAGCAGUCCCCGCUCAACCUUGUAUUAUAUUCAGUACUCCUGGUAUUUUUCUUCUGUGACCAAGAUAUUGUCUACCAGUGAGAAGGAAUUCUUCUUUACUGGUCCGUAAAAGGGAUUGGUCUCUCAAUAAAUAUUUUAUUGAAAAACCGGUCGUGACAUCUAUGUUGCCUUUGUUAAGAAACUCAAGGGGGCAGCGUAUAUCGUUUCACACUCAAAGGUGGCACAUUCUCUAUUAGAACUACGAGCUUCCAAAUCGGCCCAAUUUUUUACCACAACAUGUUAGUGCCAUGACAUGACACCAUGCCAAGUUUCAUGAUUUCUAGGCGAGUUUUGGAUUUACAUGAAUUUAAAAUCAAAGUUUCUCGAUGUUCUCGGCCGAGUCAUGACGCCCAGAUGUUUGAAUUUCAUUCUCAUUUCUUCCAUGGGACCUAGAAAUUCAACCAAGGACACACAUGUGGUUUUUCAACCCACUUUGGUGCACCACAGCAUGUGCAUGUAAUACAUAUUUAGAUUAUGCACAUUAAAAGUCCAGAAACUCAAUUAAUGUAUAAAAAGGCCAAAUGAACCCAAAAUAAUUCCAAAAUUUAACAGGGCACUCAUAUAGUUCUAUGUUGCCUCUGUAAAUAAAAUCAGGGGGAGGCAGCGUAUAUCAUUUCGCACACAAAGGUGACACGUUCCCUCUCGGAACCACGAGGCUUGUUGAGAGAAUCUCCGGUUUUGCAAGAGGCUUAUACCAAAACUUGUCCCAAUUCAGCCAAAAAUUAUACAUAUGAAAACAUGGUUUAGAUUAUCCCAAACAUCUCGCUACCUAGACCAAUAAUGUACUAUGAUUUGAAUUCAACAUAAAAUGGAUACAAAUAUUUGAAUUGGAGAGCGUAUGGUACAUGUAGUUCAUAGUGAAAUAUGAUUACUGCUAUAUGUAUGUUUUUUGUUAUCAAGAUAAUAUUUAAAUUAUUGUAUAACUUGACAACAAUCGUAUUCAAAUAAGGAAAAUUUAUUCAAAUUUAGUCCAUAUGGUAGACGACAAUAUAUAUGUUCACAUGGUGGAGUAAAAUGUUCAUAUAUGAUGGAAGAUCAAAAUGUACGACUACAUCAAUUAUAAACCGCAAGGUCACCUAAUGAUAUAUUCGAAUUCAACAUAACGUGGAUUCAAAAAUUGAAAUUCGAGAUCAUGGCAUCUGUAAUCAUAUAAAAAGGGACAUUACUCUUUCUUUGGUGGGAAUUGAUUUGUUUUUUGUUGUUGUUGAGGGAAGUGCGAAUCGAUUUGGUACUGUGCAGGGUAAUCUUGUUCUCCCGAUUUUUUUUACAUUUUUCUUGUAGUUUUUUCAAUGGCAUCUAUAGCAAUAUAGUAAAAGGGGACAUGACUCUCUUGUGUCUUGUAUGAAUUGUUUUUUUACACGUUAAGUUUGUUCUGCCGAAUAAGGAAUCCGCACCUUGUUAUCCCGAAAUUUUCAAGCUCGAGUAUCUUUUGUCUCACCUGCUUUGAAACUCCCGCUUCUUCAACCCGCGCCGCGCCUUGUUAUCCCGAAAUUUGGACGCGCGCGAGAACUCCCUCCUCAUCCGAAAUUGCUCCCGCAGCCCAGACACGCGAAAUCCCCCUUCUACCCCUCAGCCGGAAAUGAAGCUCCACGUCGCGGUGUCAAAACCGGUGGGGGUACACUGGUAACUUACCCUACAUUUCGGACAAGCGCAUCCCUAAGCUUGGCUCCCCCUCCCCCUUCGCCCCCCCAUUCGUACACCGAGGCCGCCAAAACCCGCGAAACCCCACGCUCCUCCGUCGGCCUCCCGACCGCCGCCCAGCCGGAGACUCUUCCCUGACUACGUCAUCCACCGCAACAGCUCGCCGUCCCUCAUCCACCGCACCGGAUGAGGAUCCAUUGUUGAUCUCGUCGUCCCGCCGGAUCAGCCGCCCCGUCCUCCACCUCCAAGGAGCUACCCCGACGUUCGCCUCGUCUAUCGCGCCACCUCAAUCCCCACAGCGCCGUCUUGACCUGCCCCACCGGAACUGCAGCACCCUCACCAAUUCCUCUGAUGAAGCCAAGGCCAACUCGGCGCCACCAAGGAGAUUCUGCACUCACCGCUGCAUUUUAUCUUUUAUUCGAUCUCACGGGGCUGCGGGUGCUCGAUACCGAGCAGACAUGGCGUGUCUCCAUCGACGACGCCGUCGCCGGCCGUAUCAUCCACGGCGUCUCUCCCCCAUGUCGUUGCUUCCUCGGCGGCGACUUCCACAACGGCAUUAGCUGCAGCUGCUCCGGCUCUCGCUCGCGCUGCGGCUCUGUUCUUGCUGUCGGUCGCGCUGCUGCACUGUUCCUGCUUUCGUUCGUGCUGCUACUCUGCUCUUGCUCUCGCUUGCGCUGCUGCUGCUGCACGACCUCCAGCAGCUACAGGAGUUGCUGCUUUAGCACUCGCUCGCGGUGCUACUGCACGACUUGCUCUCUGCUUGUGCGUUCCCUGCUCGAGCGUCUGCUGAUUUAGAUCACUGCUUCUCUGCUACUAGUGCUCGAAUGCCCUAAACAUCUAUUGCAAUGCUCUGUUACUAGUUUAAUCAGUUUCGACAGUAAAAUUCAGUUUCGACUGUGAAGUUCAUUUUCUUCAGUUAAGUUCAGAGUGAACAGUACUUACAGCAUCUGUCGGAGCGGCCGUGGCGCGGCUGAUGUGUUUUACAUCUAGCACUUUUUGGUGAUGUAUUUUACAUCAUCUAUUGCAGAUGAUAUUAGGGUCCCACUUCAGAUUAACAUUGUCUGUCUUGUCAUGCUUCAGCCUCGUCACCGUACACCUUAGCGGAGCUGCUCCAACGAUGGAAUUGUCCAUCACAGUGGAGCAGUACCCUCAGCGCCGUUUCCAGAGGCCUCAGAUCUUCUUCCCCGCCUCCGACAGUCACACCAGCAUCAUCACAAUCCUCCACGUCCAACCCAAUGAUGCUGAGGUCCACAAGGCUAUGCCAAAGAGGUUGUACACUCGUCGCAUCACUUUGUUUCUCCAUUCCUCUGUUCUUCCAAUUCAUGUGAGCCAAACACCCAGGUUGACUGAAAUCCUAUGUUUCCAAAUGAUCUGUUUUACACGUGCAUUCCUAUCCUAUUCCUGUGUUUUUCCUGUCCCUGCGUUUAUAGAAUCCUCCAAUUCUAAGGAGCCCUUACAGAUUUACUUCAUUUUCAGAUAGGCGUCAAAGAAAACUCUGUGUGUUAUGUCCUGCUCUUGCCGUGUCGUCAUCCACCCCACCUGAGGUGCACCAUCGACAGAAGCGUUCACUGCAGUAGAGAUCCCCCCUGCAGACUUCCUUUCGCCGCCUCAGAUCAUUUUCCCCGUUGCCGGCAGCCACGCCAACUGCAUUACCAUCAUGACUGAGCAGAUGAACCUGAGGACUACACAGUUCCGGAAGAGAGGUCGCAGUCUUUCGUGUUUGCUUAUGUUAUACAUCGAUUAUUAUUACCUGCUACUUUAUCGUUCAAUCUUGAGUUUUGAAUUGCCCAUGGGUCUCAUAUCGAGCCAGCAACGAAUAGUAUCUGUCUACUAUCUGGUUCAUCUGGGGUCUUCGAUGUGGUUCAUGUUGGGUGGGCAACAAACAAUAGAUGAUCCAUUGUCUAUCUUUUUAAACUGAAGCUAUAAUCUACCUGCUAUCAUUAGUUUUGGAUCCAUCCACUCGUUUGCUACCAUCAGUCUUGAUUUUUGCAUGCACCCCUUAGGCCUUACAAAAUCUAACUAUUUUUUUUAUUAUGCAUGUCAGAUAUUGUACACAAUCGUACUGAACAUGUAGAGAAAAAGAGAAGACUGUUGCGUGCGAAUAUAAUGUCAUGCAGACGCCGCUCCAUGGUGGGCGAAGUGCCCCCCCUCCGGCAUUUCCAAAUUGUAUUCCACAGGAAGAUAACUGUUCAGAUGGAGAUUCAGAAGGAGCCGACCACGCCUGUUUACCACCUGAGGUGUUUGCUCUAACCUGGCAUGCUGAUGUUGGUCAUAUCAUGCAUAUGGCGCCUUGCAUUGCUUACAUUAUACAUCUUAUAUGUCAUCAUCUUAGUUUAGAUUUGCUUUGUGUGAAUGCCACCUGUUUGGUUUCUAUAUCAUACUCCCACCUUUCCUACACAUUUGUCUUUUUAGAGAUUUCAACAAGUGACUACAUACGGAACAAAAUGAGUGAAUCUACACUCUAAAAUAUGUCUAUAUACAUCCGUAUGUGGUAGUCCAUUUGAAAUAUCUAAAAAGACAAAUAUUUAGGAACGGAGGGACUAUAUGGGAAUUAUGCAAUGCCAUCUUCUUUAGCCAGGCAUCAUAUACGUGAAUCAUGCAAUGCCAUCCUGUUUAGCCAGUCAUCGUAUAUGUGAAUUUUAUUGUGCCGUAUUUUUUUCCAUAAUGUAUUCCAUUUGUCAACAAUGUUUAUACAUUCAUCUACUCUUCCUGUGCAUCAGCCAUUUGAGUCGGUCAUGGGAAAAUCUGGAGUGAAAACAAGGUCUUCUGAGCAGUCAGUGCUACCUGUCGAUGCAGAUUUCUUGCUGGUUACAGAUAGCUCCUCAGAGGAGGAUUCAGAGAGAGAUGACCAGUCGUAUUCCCCCCCCGAGGUGCAUGCUUUAACUUGGCUGGGUUAUAUUGCUCAUAUCAUGCAUAUGGUGUCUUGCAUUGCCAUGCCAUCUGCUUAGAUUAGACAUGCUUUGUGUGAAUGCCUCCUGUUUGCUUUCUAUAUCAGAUAUGUGAAUUAUGCAAUGCCAUGUUUUUAGCCAGUUAUCAUAUAUGUGAUUAUGCACCGCCAUGGAGCCAGGCAUCAUAUAUGUGAAUUAUCUCAUGCCAUCUUUUUUUUCAUUACGUAUUCCAUUUGUCGACAAUCUGUGUAUAUUGAACUACUCUUCAUGUGUAUCAGCCAUUUGAGCCGGUUAUGGAAAAAUCUGGAGUGAAAACAAGGUCUUCAGAGUAGGCAAUGGUACCUGUUGAAGCAUAUAUCUCGAUGGUUACAGGGAGCUCCUCAGAGGAGGAUUCAGAGACAGAUGACCAGUCCUAUAUCCCACCUGAGGUGUAUGCUCUAAGUUGCAAUGUUUAUAUUUCUCAUAUGAUGCAUAUGGUGUCUUGCAUUGCUUAGUUUAGACAUUAUAUGCACAAUAUUGAAUUCUAUCUGCUUAGUUUAGAGAUCAUACAUGCGAGUGCCAGCUGCUUAGUAUAUGAAUCAAUUAUGUCAAUUAUAUCAUGCCAUCCUGUAUACUUAGACAACAUGUAUGUGAAUUAUUUCAUCCCGACCUAUUUUAGAAAGAUAUCAUAUAGUUUUGUCAUGUCAUCCUGUUUAGGUACUCAUCAUAUGUUUAAUUAUGCCAUUAUAUCCUGUUAUGUUAUCCAUCAUAUAUCUGAAACUGUGUCAUGCUAUCCUGUUUAGUUAGGCAUCAUAUAUGUGAAAUUGUGUCAUCUGUCCUGUUUGGUUAGACAACAUAUAUGUGAAUUACCACAUCUGUCUAUCAUACAAUGUCUGUACGUUCAAUUCCUUUUCUUGUCUAUCAGCCAUUUGAAUUGGAGGGGGUGAUGGCAGUAUCUAAGGGAGCAAAAACCCGUUCUUCACAAAAGACAGUGCUACCCGUCGAUGCAGAUAGAACCAUGGUUGUACUGGCCCACAAACUAGCCCCACCACACAUAAUCGAGACUCUUCCAGAUUGCACACUUACACUGUUGGGCAGAGAAGCAGCUACAACCCAUCUAACCGCAACCCCAGCGGAAAGUAACCCACUUAUAGUUGACAAAGCACCAUGUCCACCACAGAGUACCCCCACACGAGCAGUUUGUAAAGCUACUGCAGUGCCCAAUGCACGAAGACCACCAUAGCUAACCCAAACUCCACGUUUAAAGUAGAAGAGCAACUGUUCUCAGGUCAGAUUCCGUAGCUAUGGUCCAUACUCCUUUGCUGUUGCAUCACUGUAUUUACUCAUACCAACUACUUUCGAAUUUGAAGGAUCCAACUGAAACUCCAAUGGCGCAACAGGUAUGUUUUAACCUAUUUCUUUAACUGGAUUGCUGUUCUAACUUCUUGCUCUAUGUUGAUUUCAGUUUAAGUUGUAUAAACAAUUAUGUUCUCAUGUGAUGCACAAUACAAGUGCUGCCAAUGCUGUGUAGUUUCUCACACUUAUAUUCUGUCUAUGCUGCUGUGUCUUCAAAAUAUAUGAGUUGAACUGUGUCUCUAUCUUGAUUAGGGAACAUAAACUAGAAUGAUAUGGACAAUACAGUGACCAUAGUACAUAGAUAUAUGUUUGUUUCAUGCUGUUAUCCUAUCCACCUUACUACUGAACCGGUUUACCAAAAUGAGUUUCGUAUACUACAAGCUAAACCUGUGAUGUGUCUGCUUGUUUCUCUUGUAGUAUGCAAACAGAAUAUUGGAGAAGAGCACCCCACUAUGCAAUGGUAGAGAAAGUAAUGCAGAUAAGGUUCAAGAUAGUGAGACAACCCUGUUGGUCUCCAAGAAAGGUGAUAAAAACGAUCUUGUAGACAGUGAGAAAACCCCACAGUCCUGCGUUGAUGUAGUGUUCGAGUUACUGGCCAGUACCGUCGGCACAAGCUCUUCGAACUCGCUGCCUGAAUCACUUCGGCUUCUUUAGUCUCAGCUACAAGCUGAAAGGCAUCAGUCAGCUGUGCUGCGGCAAGAAGCCGAAGGACCGAGGAAGUCCCUGCAGAAUUCAGAUGUGUACUUUCUUGUGCAACAGCAAGCGCUAGAGGAUUUAAGCGCCAAACGAGAGAAAGUUAAUAAGCUUGCUAAGCAUCUUGCCAGCAUUAUGGGUACCCAGGAUAUUGUUUCUUGAACUCUUCUGAAGUGGUUUCAGUUCUGGACUUGUUUUGCUGCGGCGUUUAUAUGCUGCUUUGUUCCCUAUAUUUGCACUGGUGGCGAACUUUGAUGCCCAGUGGAUGUAAUAUGUGUAAUAGCCGUGAUAGCCUAGCAUAAGUUGCUUGCUUAUUUAUUUCCUUGUUGUCUUGUUUAUUUGUUUGCUUGUAGACAGUGCAGUUCUUUUUCCGCGAUUUGCUAGUGGCUGCAAUAACCUAUUUUUUAAAACUAGGCCACAAUAACCAUGGGCUAAUAUUUACUGUAGUGACACUGGGCCUCCUACGGGUCGUAGAAAUAGUGGGCCUUCUACGGGCCGUAGAAACACUAGGCCUUCUACGGGCCGUAGAAACAAUGGGCCUUCUACGGGCCGUAGAAACAAUGGGCCUUCUACGGGUCGUAUCAUCAAUGGGCCUUAUACGGGCCGUAUGAUCGAUUGGCCAAACAUGGGCCAAUAACAGGCCGCAUUAUGGCCGUAAACGGGCUAGAGUUGGAAUCGUCCAUUCAUGGGCCGACCAUAACGGGCCAUCGUUAAUAGGCUGUAUUUGAUGACGCUAUGAAAACGGCCUAACGUAUUAACGGACCACAAAUGGGCCGACUGUAACCACGUGCUGAAUUUGGCCCACAAGCAGAAAAUGACAGUAACGGGCCGUAAGUAAACGAAUGCUGGAAAUGAGCCCAAGAAUAAAUGGGCUCUGAGAAGGCCGAAAGAUAACAUGGGCUGGAAACGGCCCAAUGGAAUAACGGGCCGUUAAUGGGUAUAAAGUGAUACACUGUUCAUUACGGGCCAGUUUCACCACGGGCCGUUAAUAGGCCAAGAGUUACAUAGGGCCUCAUAUGGGCCGAAAGACGUCAUGGGCCAUACAUGGGCCAGAAGUGAAAACGGGCUGGAAUCAUAUUGGAUGGCCCAGAUGACGCUACUGGGCCUAAUUCGGAUAGGGCGUAACGGGCCUUGGGUUAGCGGGCUGUAAAUGGGCUAUAUGUGAACAGGCCGUUAACAGGCUUUCCAUGGGCCGGCCCGCCACCUUUUGACCAAGUCAAACGGGCCGGCCUUCUCACAGGAAUGGGCCUGUGUUGGGCUGUGCCACGUGUCGACGUAUCAUAGGCGCCUUCUGUCCAAUGAGUGGACGACAUCUGUCCCAACGGUGAGCCGACACGUGUUUCCUCUAGCCAAUGAUGAUUUUACACGUGGAAAAUCCCCAUUGGUCGGGGCUGUUAACGGGUUAUCGGAUCCAAAACCCGACCCGAUAGCUUAACGGUGUUCCGUUAUGGUGGAUGCCACGUGUCGGUCACCCUUGACGAAAGCACUUCUGUGGCGCGCGAUUUAUCGUCAUGGAAGUGCACACUUCCGUGAUGAUAAUUUUGGUAAUCUCAUGGAACACUUCUACGACAGCACAGGUAUGACUAUCUUGAUUCUGUCAUAAAUUUGUCAUGGAUGUACAUGCAUGACAAAAAAUGCGACCUACUGUGACAAACGCGUAUCAUCACGGAAGUGUUUUUUUUGUAGUGCUCGUUGAUCUACAAAAGAUAAGUAGAAGGGAAGUAGAUAAUAUUCAUGCAAAGGAAUAAUGCAAUCCUCAUUUGUAGCUUUCACCUUAGAAUUGUGUUGCAUCUGAUCAUGCAUUUGUUUAUCACAACUCGGAGUUUGUCUAGGGAUGAUCGGUGUUGUUUCAAUGAUUGAGAUGUCCUCAUCGCCCCCCUCUCUUGAAAAAGAGUCGUCCUCAACUCUACCUGGUCAUCACACAAAAGAAAGCAGGGCAAUAGCAAACCAUAAUGCAAAGGUUUCAUGAUAUAGAGAUUUUUAGUUUUCAAGUUUGCUACCUUAUUGGAUGAUGCCAACAUGAUAUUUUGUUCGACUUAGGAGUUACUUCUUCCAAACAUUUCCAUGGAGCACAAAUUUAUAACCCACCAUGAGCAUGUCCAUAUCAUCCUCCCUCUCUUGGAGAAAAGUCGUCCUCGAUUUUACUCGGUCUACAAAAUUAUAACACAAGGACACUAGAAAAUAACUAGGGAAAGAAAAAAGUUGAACAUUUUUGUGUGGAUCUCAAGUUCCCCAAAUACAUUUUUUUCCAUCAUGGUUGAACAAAUUAUAUUGAUGGAUUGAUGGUGUGCUGAAGGAUGUGCCCAAUAAUUUUUCUCUUGUUUCAUUUCGCCAUUGUUUCAAUGGUUUAUAUGUGCAUACCUCAGGGUGCGUCAAAAUGGAAGAUCCUUUUUGUUUUACCUCAUUGAGUACUUGAAUGCCUUUCUGAAAAUCAAUCUUCACACACGCACCUUGUGUAGUGGUAUUCCAUGUCCUCCAUAUUUGUGCUUGGAUCUCGAUCUUCCAUCAUUGCAAGUGGGCUGAUAGGUAUGCCUUUUGCACCUGCACAUAUUUCAAAGACGGAGAAUUUUGUGAAAGGUUAGUUAUUGAAUGUUCCUCUCUCUUUUCAUUUGGUGGACUACUAAUUUCCCAUGGUGGUGGAUCACUCAUCUCGCUAUUAUCUUGUUGAAAAAUAUCAACGUCACAAUUAGUGGACUCACACAACUCAUUAAUCCUCUCUCCGUAAAUGUGUGGUAUAUCUAGGUGGGGAUCUUGCAUUUCUCUAAUCUCAUGAUGAACAAUCUAAUCCUCACAUUUUGUGGACUCACUCACCUCACUUUUCUUAUCACACUCAAUAUAUGGAAUUGUGGAAAGUGGACACUCUUCCUCACAUUUGGUGGAGUCACUCAACUCAUUUUUCUUUACACUCUCAAGUGUUGGGAUUUUUCAAAGUGGACACUCUUCCUCACUUUUGGCGGAGUCACUCAGCUUGCUUUUCUUAUCACUCUCAAGUUGUGGGAUUUUGGAUUGUGAACUCUCUUCCUCACAUGGAAUUUGUGGCACAUGUUUCCUGGAUGUUGGGACAAUAGUGGUGGUCAAGAUGGGAACAUUAGGAAUGAACUUCUCAUGUAAACAUGGGCUAUGAAUCACCGGAGUCGGUUCAUCAACCACGGUCAUGCUUUGCAGUGGGUCGUCGCUGUGCCGAUGGGUGCCAUAACUUUGUGGUCUGCCAUGACGUCCUUGCUAUGAUUCAUGAGCAGUAACGACACGCCUAGGGGCAGAAGUAGCUUGCCCUCGAGCAUGUCGUCCUUGCCGCAUUUCAGGAGCAAGAACAGCACACCCACGAGCAGUAGCGACACCAUGCCCUUGAGCAUUUGUUCUUUGCUGCACUUCAUGAGCAUGAGGGUAUUGUCGGUGUUGAACCCUAUCACCACCUGCUGGAGGACGCUCAUGAAGCAUCCGCUCCAUGGCUCAGAGUAUGUUGUUCUCGAGUUCCCGCACAUCAAAGCGGGUGGCCAAACAAUUUUCUCCUCCAUGAUUCUUUCGACACGUAGUUGGUGUAGAUCCUGCCAUGUUAGUCGUGCUACAAAAGUGGAAUAGGAUAAUUUUUGUGGUAUCACACAACCACAUCGCUUACUCACCAAAGUUCUUAUGAGUUCACAUCAGAUUGUGCUUUUCCCGGAUGUGUUAAAGCGAUUGAAAGACAAGGAUCAAAGAACUAGAUUCGGUUUUCGGUGGAGGUCAAUGGGGUAAAAAAAGGGGUUUGUGCUGAAAUCAAGUUGAUGCAAACCAAGAAAAUAUGGGGAUAGAUCUGCUGCACCUUUGCACCAAGAUUGAAAAACACACAACACACAAGCUUCUGAAAUUUUUCUACCAAGCUGAAACUUUUGGAUCUUACACAACACUAUCUUUUUCCCUCUUGACUUUUUUGCCACUCUUUUUCUUUCUUUCUUUAAUUUUUUUGCCAGAUAUGCAACAACAACAAGAUCUCUGUACCAACAAGGCUUGUAUUUAUUUUUGGUGGGGCUUUGGACUUCUAGGACAGAAAAUAUAGCAUGAAAAACACUCGAUCUAAAGGGAUGAUAGCAAGAUAAACUUGGAUAACAGAUCCUACCGUGUCAACGAAAGCUCUGAUGCCAGAUGAUAGGUGGGAACCCAAUGAACGAGUUCACGCCCGAGGGUGGCCCGAUCUUCACGUCGUAGGAUCUAAUUGGGAGGGAUAACUAGCUGCAAGCAGCCGGGAUAACUAGCUUUAUACCUACCAAGGUUGGAUGCAACCCGUACGUUGGGGAUGGCUAAUCGAAGCUACAAGAACGCCAACCCGCUGUCCGAACAAUCGUAGAACCACAAACUCGGACUAACCCACACAAAACGGCCGAAUCCGUAGAGCACGAAUUAGGGGGAACCAGAGGCUCCUUCUGGCGAAUCCGGAUGAACUCACAAGAGCAAAGGUAGCAAGGAUCUCUUGGAUCUCUCUAGCAGUCUUGCUGCAUAAGCUUGUAGCUGAAUGGUUUGACAAAAGGUUCUUUCUAGAGGAUGGGGGAGGUGGGGUUUUAUAGCACGGACAACCCCCCUUGGAUAGGUGUGAAAAUGGUUUCAAAAGUAAAUAGGUUUGCAUGGCUUCCUUGUGGGAAUAAGUAGUCAACUUUGGGAGUUGUUGGAGAGCUUGAUACGUUUCCAACGUAUCUAUAAUUUCUUCUUGUUCCAUGCUGCUAUAUUAUCAUUCUUGGAUGUUUUACAAUCAUUUUAUAGCAACUUUAUAUCAUUUUUUGGGACUAACCUAUUGACAUAGUGCCCAGUGCCAGUUCCUGUUUUUUCCUUGUUUUUUACUUUGCCGAAAAUCAAUACCAAACGGAUUCCAAACGCAGCGAAACUAUUUGGAGAUUUUUUCUGGACCAGAAGGGACAAGUUGGGCAAAAGAAGUACCAGAGGGGUGCCCCAAGGGGGGCACAACCCACCUAGGCACGCCUGGGGGCUCAGGCGCGCCCGGGUGGGUUCUUCCCGCCUCGGUGGCCUCCCGCACCGCCUCUUUGCUCUAUAAAUACGCCGAAUAUCCAAAAACACUAGGGGAGUUGACGAAACACAAUUCCAGCCGCCGCAAGUUCCAGAACCACCAGAUCCAAUCUAGACACCAUCACGGAGGGGUUCAUCAUCCUCAUUAGUGCCUCUUCGAUGAUGCGUGAGUAGUUCAUUGUAGACCUACGGGUCCAUAGUUGGUAGCUAGAUGGCUUCCUCUCUCUCUCUUUUGAUUCUCAAUACAAUGGUCUGUUGGAGAUCUAUUUGAUGUAACUCUUUUUGCGGUGUGUUUGUUGGGAUCCGAUGAACUUUGAGUUUAUGAUCAGAUCUAUUUUAUCCGUGAAAUUUAUUUGAGUUUUGAUCUCUUGUAUGCAUGAUUACUUUUAGCCUCGUAUUUCUUCUUUGAAUCUUUGGUUUAGUUAGGCGACUAGAUCGAUUUUUCUUGCCAUGGGAAGAGGUGCUUUGUGAUGGGUUCGAUCAUACGGUGCUCAAUCACAGUGAUAGAAGGGGACAUGACACAUAUGUAUCGUUGCUAUUAAGGAUAAUAAGAUGGGGUCUAUUCCUACAUGAAUAGAUCUUGUCUACAUCAUGUCAUCGUUCUUAUUGCAUUACCCUGUUUCUCCAUGAACUUAAUACACUAGAUGCAUGCUGGAUAGCGGUCGAUGUGUGGAGUAAUAGUAGUAGAUGCAGGCAGUAGUCGGUCUACUAAUCUUGGACGUGAUGCCUAUAUAAUGAUCAUUGCCUGGAUAUCGUCAUAAUUAUUUGAAGUUCUAUCAAUUUUCCAACAGUAAUUUGUUUACCCACCGUAUGCUAUUUUUCUUUUGAGAAGCCACUAGUGAAAUCUACGGCCCUCGGGUCUCUUCUUUAUCAUAUUUGCUUUCCGAUCUAUUAUUUUCCUCUUUUAUUUUUAGAUCUAUUAAUCCAAAAACCCAAAAAUACCUUGUUGCAUUUUUUUGUUAUUUAUUUUAUCUCGCGUUCCUACAAGAUCUAUUUAUCCAAUCUACUACAAUUUUAUUUAUCUUUUACCCGGGAGGGAUUGACAACCCCUCUUACGUGUCGGGUUGCAAGUAUUUGUUCUUUGUGUACAUGUAACGUUUACAUAGUGUUGCAUGGUUCUUCUACUGGUUCGAUAACCUUGGUCUCAUCACUGAGGGAAACACCUACCGUAGAUGUGCUGCAUGAUCCCUUCCUCUUCGAGGAAAAUACUGGCGCAGACAUGAGCCUUCAAGGAAGGAUUUCUGGUGCCGUUGCUGGGGAGACAUCAUCAACAUCUAUCAGGUUCCUAAUCACAAAUCUCAUAUCCUUGCAAUUUACAUUAUUUGCCAUUUGCCUCUCGUUUUCAUCUCCCCCACUUCACAACACAAUUUGCCUUUUUAUUCGCCUUCUUUUCCGUUUUCCUUUUUGCGUGUUUUCUUGUUUGCUAUAUUUGCUUGUGUUGCCAUGUGCCUUCUAUUUGCUUGCAUCUUCGCUUGCUAAAAAUCUAUUGAUAUGGAUCCUCAUCCACUUGCUAAUCUUUUCAAAAGAUCCAAUUAUGAUGAACCAAUUGCUAGUGAAUUGAGUUCACUAGAUUAUCUUUAUGAAAUUUUGCUUGAGAUUUAUGAAUCUAAAAAUUGUGAUGAAGUGUUAAAUGAAGAAAUUUAUAAAGUGAUUCAUGAUAGCUCCUUGAAUGAAAAGCAUGAUUGCAAUGAUGUUAUUAUAAAUUCUAUUAAUGUCAAUUGUGUUAGUGAUAUGCAAAACCCCAAGCUUGGGGAUGCUUGCUUUGCUAUGUCCACUACUUAUUGCAAUGAUCAUGAUUGGGGUGAUAAUGAUUCUUAUGAUCUUGAAGAUUUAUUUAAACCUCAUGAUGAAUAUGCCUGCGAUAAUAUUAAAAGUGGGUUUGGAAGGGUGUCAACUUCAGCUAAAAAUAAUCCCACAUAUUUGGAGAGUGUUCAAUCUUAUGAUUUUUUUAUAAAAGUGGGCUUGGAGAGGUCAUAACUGUAUUUGAUGAUAAUCCCACUAUUUUGGAAUAGUGUCAACUUGGCAUGCAUGUGGGUCAUGAAGAGAAUAUUUUAUGUAAUAGUUAUAUUGUUGAAUUUGAUUAUGAUCUACCUGUAAUUAUUAUGAGCGAGGAAAAUAUGGUUAUCAAAAUUUGCAUGUUACUAAAUUACCUCUCAUUAUGUUGAGAUCGUCAAUGUUUUAUUCCUCUUCUUUGCAUACGUUAGAUGUUUCUUGUCUUGAUAAAUUGUUUCCCUAUAAAAUGCCUAUGCAUAGGAAGUAUGUUAGACUUAAAACUUGUUUUGCACAUGCUAUAUGAUGCUCUCUUUGUGCUUCACUUUUUUGUCUUUCAUGUGAGCAUCAUUAAAAUUAUUAUGCCUAGCUAGGGGCAUAAAACGAUAUCGCUCGUUGGGAGGCAACCCAAUGAAUAAAUUUUAUUUUUUAUUUCUUUCUUUCUGUUCUUGAGUGUUUGCACAAUUAUGCUACUGUUAUGAUUGUGUCUUUAUGUUUUAAUUAGUGUCUGGGCGAAGCAAAGCCUUUGGGAUCAUGUUGGGUGAUAGUUGAUUUCAUCUUGUCGAAAAACACAAACCUUUGCGUCCAGUAAAACAAUUUUCAAAAUUCACAAAUGCGUGAUAAAUCCUGAUUUUUGUACACAAGAUUGAUAUACAGAUUGCCUACAUCGUCCUAAUUUUUUAGAAUUUUUGGAGUUGGAGAAGUAUACGAAGUUUUCAUAUUGCUACAGACUGUACUGUUUUUGACAGAUUCUGUUUUCUUUGUGUUGUGUGCUUAUUUUAAUGAAUCUAUGGACUUUAUCAGGGGGUAUAAGCCAUAGAAAAGUUUGAAUAUGGUAGAUAUAAUGCAAAAAUAAAAAUAUAAAUGGGUUUGCAACAGUACUUAGAGUAGUGAUUUGCUCUAUUAUACUAACGGAUCUCAUGCAGGUUUUGUUUAGUUUUGUGUGAUUGAAGUUUUCAAGUUUUGGAUGAGAUCACGAUGGAUGAAGGAAUACGGAGUAAGAAGAGCCUAAGCUUGGGGAUGCCCCAUGGCACCCCAAGUUAUUAUCCAAAGAGAAGCAAGAAACUAAGCUUGGGGAUGCCCCCGAGUGGCAUCCCCUCUUUCUUCUAACGACAAUCGGUAUUUUACUUGGAACUAUAUUUUUAUUCGUCACAUAUCAUUAGUUUUGCUUGGAGCGUCUUGUAUUAUACGAGUCUUUGCUUGUUUUGCUUUUUAUUUUGUGUCCUCUAUCCUUGUUGGACACACCUAUUUGAGAGAGCCAAAAUUAUGCUAUGAUUUGUUAGAAUUGCUCUUUAUGCUUCACUUAAAUUUUUUGAGCUUUGGAAUUGCUCUAGUGCUUCACUUAUAUCUUUUUGAGCAUGGUGUGCUUUAGUAUUUUUGAAGAAAUGCUCUCAUUGCUUCGCUUAGAUUUAUUUGAGAGUUAGUAAAAUUUUGAAGAAAUUCUCUCUUGCUUCACUUAUAUUAUUUUGAGACAAGAAAAAAAAUUAUGCUCAUGUUCUUCACUUAUAUUUGUUUGAGCUAUCAAAAGCAACAUAUGAAAUUAGUCACAAAGUGAUAGAUAUUCAAGAGGGAUAUAAUAAAAACUAUCAUGAAGAUCAUUGGACAAAAUAAACUUGAUUACUUGUAAUAGUUUUGCGAUAUGAUGAUAUAAAUGUGAGUCAUGUUGAUGAGUAAUUAUGCUUUAGUAAGAAUAUUGGAAUUAAGGUUUGUGAUUCCCUAUGCAAGCACGAAAGUCAAUAGUUAUGCAAUGAGAUUACAUCCUACUUAUGGUGCAUUAUUCGGUGUUAGUUAUGCUUAAUGCUCGUUUAUGUGAUUUUUCGUUUCUUGGUUGGAUGCUUCUCAAUCUCUUUGCUAGCCUUCCCUUGUACUAAGUGGGAUUACUACUUGUGCAUCCCAAAUCCUUAAACCCAGUUUUGCCAUAUGAGUCCACCAUACCAACCUAUAUGCGGUAUUCUCUUGUCGUUCUAAGCAAAUUUGUAUGUGCCAUCUCUAAUUUUCAAAAUAAUUUCUCUUUUGUGUGCUCGUACCGCUCAUGAAACGGUAUGCGGUGUCUGAUAUUUUUCCAUGCUGGGUGUGUUAUUCUCAAGAUGAGUGUUUAUUCACUUGUCAUUGCACGAGAGUAUGACAAAGGUUUUAGGGAUGUCCAGACCCGAAAUGAUAAAUGAUCUUACUUUAUGUUGUCAACUAAUAAAUUCUUUGGAAGGUGUUGGUAUGGACAUCACCCGUGGAUACGGUUAGCCAUGGAAUGUGAAAGUAUGGUGGAAAAAGGAAUAAACUUUAAUUUCUGUUUGGGAACCGCCUAUGAUAUAUCUAGCAUGGAAAGUAUUGGGAACUACUCGAUCAUUUUCGUUGACAGGAAAAGAAUGCCACCCAAAAUGUUUUAUCUCUAUCUUUUUCGCUUUGAGCUCUGGUACCUCUACAAAUCCCUACUUCCCUCUGCGAAGGGCCGUUCUAUUUACUUUAUGCAAUUUUUAUUUUUAUUUUGAGUCUCCAUCUUCUCUUAUAAAGCACCAACUAAGGGGCACUAUGAUUGUACUUGAGCAUUAGGUAUAGCUAAUAUACGAGUGUGUUUCAUGAAUGGAUCAAUGAUUGAGCGGGAUGGGCUAGGGAUAACUUGCUUUAGUAUCGAUAUUUUGAAAGACAUGGUUGCUUGUUGAUAUGCUUGAGUAUUGAAAUCUUCAUGUCAAAACUAGACUAUUGCUUUGAAUCAUAUGAAAGUCCAAAUGUCCAUGCUAGAAAAGAAAAGAAUAUGUGAUGAACAUGUUAGGCAGCAUUCCACAUCAAAAAUUCUCAUUUACCUACUCAAGGACGAGUAGGAAUUAAGCUUGGGGAUGCUGAUAUAUCUCUCGGAUCUCUCUAGCAGUCUUGCUACAUAAGCUUGUAGCAGAAUGAUUUGACAAAACGUUCUUUCUAGAGGAUGGGGGAGGUGGGGUUUUAUAACAGGGACAACCCCCUUUAGCUAGGUGUGAAAAUGGUUUCAAAAGUAAACAGGUUUGCAUGGCUUCCUAGUGGGAAUAAGCAGUCAACUUUGGGAGUGGUUGGAGAGCUCCUCGGAAAUUUGCGAAGCCAUGACAGCCUAGACACCUUCCCUAGGAUUGGCUAGAACUUUUGACUCACAACUCCAAAUGAUGUAAGGUUUUUCUUGCAUUGGAAAGAUAAUUUGAUGUAGGUUCUCGUGAUGUACCCCUGUGGCCUUGAUGGCUCGUGUCUGUGUCAGUAUUUUCCCCGAAGAGGAAGGGAUGAUGCAGCACAGCUACGGUAGGUAUUUCCCUUAGUGAUGAGACCAAGGUUCUCAAACCGGUAGGAUAACCACGCAACACUAUGUAAACGGUACCUGCACACAAAGAACGAAUACUUGCAACCCGACGCGUAAGAGCGGUUGUCAAUCCCUCCCGAGUAAAAGAUAGAUAAAAUUGUAGUAGAUUGGAUAAAUAGAUCUCGCGGGAAUGCGAGAUAAAAUAAAUAACGAAAAAUGGUAGCAAGGUAUUUUUGGGUUUUUGGAUUAAUAGAUCUGAAAAUAAAAGAGGCAAAUAAUAGAUCGGAAAAGCAAAUAUGAUAAAGAAGAGACCCGGGGGCCGUAGAUUUCACUAGUGGCUUCUCUCGAGAAAAAUAGCAUACGGUGGGUAAACGAAUUACUAUUGGGCAAUUGAUCGAACUUCAAAUAAUUAUGACGAUAUCCAAGCAAUGAUCAUUAUAUAGGCAUCACGUCCAGGAUUAGUAGACCGACUCUUUCCUGCAUCUACUACUAUUACUCCACACAUAGACCGCUAUCCAGCAUCCAUCUAGUGUAUUAAGUUCAUGGAACAACGGAGUAAUGCAAUAAGAACAAUGACAUGAUGUAGACAAGAUCUAUUCAUGUAGGAAUAUACCCCAUCUUGUUAUCCUUAAUGGCAACGAUCAAUAUGUGUCUUGCUGCCCCUUCUGUCAUUGGGAAAGAACAUUGCACGACCUAACCCGUCACAAAGCACCUCCUCCCAUGGCAAGAAAAAUCAAUCUAGUUGGCCUAACUAAACCAAAGAUUCGAAGAAGAAAUAUGAGGCUAUAAGUAAUCAUGCAUAUAAGAGAUCAAAACUCGAUUAACUUUCAUUGAUAAAAUAGACCUGAUCAUAAACUCAAAGUUCAUAGGAUCCCAACAAACACACUGCAAAAAUAGUUACAUCAGAUCUCCAAGAGACCAUUAUAUUGAGAAUCAAAAGAGAGAGAGGAAGCCAUCUAGCUACUGCCUACGGACCCGUAGGUCUAGAAUGAACUACUCACGAAUCAUCGGAGAGGCACCAAUGAGAUGAUGAACCCCUCUGUGAUGGAGUCUAGAUUGGACCUGGUGGUUCUUGAACUUGCGGCGGCUGGAAUUGUGUUUUGUCGACUCCCCUAGGUUUUUGGAUUUCUGAGGUAUUUAUAGAGCAAAGAGGCGGUGCAGGAGGCCACCGAGGUGGGCACAACCCACCAGGGCGUGCCCAGGUGGGUUGUGCCCCCCUCGGGGCACCCCUCUGCUACUUCUUUGGCCCAACUUGUCCCUUUUGGUCCAGAAAAAAUCUCCAAAAAGUUUCGCUGUGUUUGGACUCCGUUUGGUAUUGAUUGUCUACGAAGUAAAAAACAAGGAAAAACAGGAACUAGCACCGGGCACUAUGUCAAUAGGUUAGUCCCAAAAAAUCAUAUAAAGUUGCUACAAAAUGAUUGUAAAACAUCCAAGAAUGAUAAUAUAACAGCAUGGAACAGGCAAAAAUUAUAGAUACAUUGGAGACGUAUCAGGCCCCGUCUCUCCACCACAUGGGUGUGGCACAACAAAACAUCAGACGUAAAAACUGAUAGCAUCAGCUUCACUUGAAAAUUGUUAUCUCCAAACUUGUUCCUCCAAAUCGGUUGCUUCAAGAGCUCAUUGUUUGUUGGAUUUCUUCCAUGUGAUACCUAAGUUCAACCAACAACAAUGGGGAUAAAAGUGCAACCAUGUAUUCAAGAAUAUAGUAUGAACUUAAUUUAGCGUUCACCUGGGCAUGUGUUUGCUUGAUUCGGCUUAGUAAUUCUUUCCGACUAAAUUUUGCACAUUUCUGAAAAGUUGUGUAUGAUGUACCCAUGUGCUCAUCAUACUCCCUCCCUUGAUGAAGAGUCGUCCUCGACUCUCGUUGAUCUACAAAAGAUAGGUGGAAGGGAAGUAGAUAAUAUUCAUGCAAAGGAAUAAUGCAAUCCUCAUUUGUAGCUUUCACCUUGAAAUUGUGUUGCAUCUGAUCUUGCAUUUGUUUAUCACAACUUGGAGUUUGUCCAGGGAUGAUCGGUGUUGUUUCAAGGAUUGAGAUGUCCUCAUCAUCCCCCCUCUCUUGAAAAAGAGUCGUCCUCGACUCUACCUGCUCAUCACACGAAAGAAAGCAGAGCAAUACCAAAUCAUAAUGUAAAGGUUUCAUGAUAUAGAGAUUUUCAGGUUUCAAGUUUGAUAUCUUAUGGAUGAUGCCAACAUGAUAUUUUGUUCGACUUAGGAGUUCCUUCUAGAAAACAUUUCCAUGAAGCACAAAUGUAUAACCAACCAUGAACAUUUCCAUAUUAUCCUCCCUCUCUUGGAGAAAAGUCGUCCUCGACUUUACUUGGUCUACAAAAUUAUACCACUAGGACACUAGAAAAUAACUAAGGAAAGAAAAGGUUGAACAUUUUUGUGUGCAUCUCAAGUUUCCCAAAUCCAUUGUUUUUCCAUCAUGGUUGAACAAAUUAUAUUGAUGGAUUAAUCGUGUGCCGAAGGAUGUGCCCAAUAAUUUUUUCUCUUAUUUCAUUUCGCCAUUGCUUCAAGAGUUCAUGUGUGCAUUGUCGGUGUCUAAACCGGCGGAUAUCGGGUAGGGGGUCCCGAACUGUGCGUCUAAGGCGGAUGGUAACAGGAGGCGGGGCACACGAUGUUUACCCAGGUUCGGGCCCUCUCGAUGGAGGUAAUACGCUACUUCCUGCUUGAUUGAUCUUGAUGAUAUGAGUAUUACAAGAGUUGAUCUACCACGAGAUCGUAGAGGCUAAACCCUAGAAGCUAGCCUAUGAUUAUGAUUGUUGUUGUCCUACGGACUAAGCCCUCCGGUUUAUAUAGACACCGGAGGGAGCUAGGGUUACACAGAGUCGGUUACAAGGGAGGAGAUCUACAUAUCCGAAUUGCCAAGCAUGCCUUCCACGCAAGGGAGAGUCCCAUCCGGACACGGGACGAAGUCUUCAAUGUUGUAUCUUCAAAGUCCAACAGUCCGGCCAAAGUAUAUAGUCCGGCUGUCCGAGGACCCCCUAAUCCAGGACUCCCUUAGUAGCCCCUGAACCAGGCUUCAAUGAUGAUGAGCCCGGCGCGCAGAUUGUCUUCGGCAUUGCAAGGCGGGUUCCUCGGGUUCCUCCUCCGAAUACUCCAUAGAAGAUUUUGAACACAAGGAUCGUGUCCGGCUCUGCAAAACAAAUUCCACAUACCACCGUAGGGAGUACAAUAUUCCACAAAUCUAAUCUGCUGACAAGUUUUAUAGCGUGACAUCACGCCACGGCCCGGUCAUUAUUCGAACCGUUUUUCCCAACCAGCUACUGCACAUAUUGCGAGGCGGUUUUCUUGGCACGUCUUGUCGAAGCAGAGAUCGUGUCCCCUUAUCACGGGAUUCUCAUCAAUACGGGUGUGGGUAACCCAACCGUGGCAUUAAUUACGGCGCUUGGGGAAUAAGCGGGUUUACCAGGCAAGUGGGGAGGCGCGCAGUUUCUACUGCCUUUAUAAAGGGACAAGGACUCCUCUUUUUCUCCCACGCCUUCUUCUUCCUUGCCCAUCCAUUCCCACGCACUCGAGCUCCAGCGCCCAAGUUCGCAUUUUCUCCACAAAACCACUCCAAACAUGUCUGGAGCGGGAGGUAAAUGGAUGGUCUCCUCCGUUAUGGAGGAGGACAUUACGAAGCUCCGGGGAGCCGGAUACCUGGCCGCAGACAUCGCGCACCGGCUCCCAGACGCAGGGCAGAUCGUCCCUACUCCAGAACCCCAUGAGAGGGUGGUAUUUCUUACCCACUUCGUCCGCGGACUGGGAUUUCCCCUACACCCGUUUGUCCGCGGGCUCAUGUUUUACUAUGGGCUGGACUUCCAUGAUCUGGCUCCUAACUUCAUCCUCAACAUCUCGGCGUUUAUCGUCGUGUGCGAGGCCUUCCUUCGCAUCAAGCCCCACUUCGGCCUAUGGCUGAAGACCUUCAACGUGAAGCCAAAGGUGGUAGUUGGUCAGCAGGCGGAUUGCGGAGGCGCCAUGGUGGACAAAAUGCCCAACGUCACCUAGCUCGAAGGCUCCUAUGUGGAGACCGUGAAGGGGUGGUAAUCGGGGUGGUUCUACAUCACCGAGAUGCGCGACACCAACUGGGUGGCGGCCCCCGAAUUUCGAUCCGGCAUCCCCAUGCGGCUCACCUCCUGGAAAGAGAAGGGCCUAUCCUGGGGCUCGUCGGUGGAGCUGACCGGACUCCAGAAAUGUAUCAAAAACAUGAUGAGCAAGACAACCAAGCUCGUCAACAUGGUCCAGGUCAUGCUCUCCCGUGUCAAAGAUGGGCAUUCAAUAUGUGGGAGUUUGACCCGGCCGAGCACCAGACGCUGCGAGAGCUCUUCCACAUGACGCACAAAGACGUCUGGAAGGUGCUGUUCAAGGGCGUCGAGGUGCCUCCCCCCCCUUACCGAGGAUCGCGGACUCAGCGCAAAGCGCCCUGCCAAUCUGGUAAGUCUUUUACAUCUCACAAGAUGUUCUUUUUCCCUAGUAAAAUCAUGUGGGGGAUCUGAGCUUCCCCGCCAUUUUAACAGGACUGGGUAGCGACAGCGGAGCAGAUCGAUUGUCCAGCCCCCUGCCCAAAGAUCCAGCAGAUGCUCUCCUAACGGAGAUGCUGGUUCCAGCGUCUUAUGAGGCGCCGGAGAAGAAGGCCAAGAAGAAGGCCACGGGGACCAGGAAAGGUCUCCGGCGCAAGGUUAUAUCGGACUCAUUGUCCAAAAACACCGAGGCGCACUCCUCCCAUGAAAACGAGGAGGAGGAAGAGGAAAGUCCACCUCCCCCGGCCCGGGGGACAGGAAAAGGAAGGCCGCCCCAUCAGGGGAGGCCAAAGGGUCCAAGGCCGAAGUGGCGGCCCUGAAGAAGGCGUUGUCCGAGGCCGAAGACAAAGCGGCCAAGGAGCGCACUGAGCGCGAGAGGUACGAGGCCCGAGUUGGCGAGGUUCAGCAAGAGCUCCAGGAUUUCGUCAAGAAAUACGAGCCCUUGGAGCGUGACUCUAAGACGCAAGGGUCCAAGCUUGCGAAGGCCCUCGAGAACGCACAAAAUGCCAAGGCCGAAGCCCAAAAGGCCCUCCAGGAGAUUCAGGCGGUUAAGAAGAUAGCGGCGGGUAAGGCAUUCAUUAUGCAAAGCAAGCAUGUGAAGGAAACUUUCCUUUUACUUACCCGAGUUCGGAGCUCUCCAGGAGCGUUCGUAGAUCUACACCGCAGUGUGUCGGAUGCCGCGGAAUUCUACCGGGCCGAGGAUGGGAGCUCGACGGAGAAGUUGUUCUAGUCUCAGUACACUGGGACCGAACAUCCGAUGCCCUUGAGCGACCAGUUGAAGCAACUGGUCGAAUUUCACAAGGCGGCCGAAGAGGCCAUGAAGGGCCUCAUGGUCCGGAUGUGGCCUGGCGAGCCCCUGCCUGGCAGCUACUUUGGGCUGGUAAGGCGGCUUGUGAAUGCCUGCCCACGGCUUGAAGUCAUCAAGCGGUCCGUCUGCAUUGAGGGUGCGCGCAGGGCCUUUGCCUGGGCGAAAGUGCACCGGGCGAAGAUGGACGCCGAAAAGCUGGUGAAGGAGGGGCCGCCGGAUGGCAAGGAGCAUCGCCACCCCGAGAAGUAUUAUGAUAGUGUCCUGAAGGGUGCUCGCCUUGUGGCAGAGGAAUGUGCUAAGGAUGUAAUAUUUGAAUGAAUGUACUCAUGUGAUCCUGUAAUAUGAAAUGAGUUCAUCUACGCUAUGAACGCUUGUUAAUUUAAAAUAUUACCUUCUGUGCGACCGUUUAUAAAAUCUGAGAGUUGGCCAGUCGUCGGCUUUUGCCCCCCUGUAGCUAGUACUAGGGUGUUCGGGAUAAACCUGAUCACUCUUUAUCCCAAUUUUUGGGUCCUUCGAAGGAGGUGUUCAGCACAACGAACUAGGCAAUCGGACUAUAAUGCUUUAUCACUCUCACUUAGCCAUAGAAGUCUACAAUUUUAAAUUUUGGCGAAGCCCCUAGUAUUCGGAAGGCCGAAUUUGGGGCGCUAUAUACGCCUAAAUCGGACAAGGCCGACUCCUCCCCCGAAGCGGAAAAAAUCUUUAAGGAUUUGAGACCUCUCGAACAGCGACCAGCUCUCGCCGCAUCAUGGCAGUCAGUUUUCGGCUUUCUCUACUGAGGUGCUCAUCCGGAAGAACCGGGACACAAUCGCAGUAGUUCUCCCAGUGCUACCUUAGCCAAUAUAGCGGAAUGUAAGGUACCAAAACAUGGGAGCCGGGCAAACCCAACUAUUGACCCAAGACAUGAUUCGGAGCUGAUGCAUAUAAUGUUAUAAGUUCGGGGUGCCGCACUGUCGAAAGUGUUCGGACUUUUCGUGCCGUGUUAUGGGGUACACUGAAGCCCCUGGCGCGAUGGUCGUACCAGAAUGUACGAGUGCCACUUGUCGUAAAUAAGCAGACAAGGAAAAAAAUAAAUGCAAUAAUAGGUUAACGCUAUACAUUGUUAUUUAAAUAAUACGUCAAAGCAUACGUAUACAAAUAGUGCAAUAAGCAAAAAAUUGGACUAUUCGACAUGUUCUAUCCAAGGGCAAGCAGCGUAUGGGUAUGUAAAAACAGUACAUCGAUCGUUUAUCAGAGACCACCUGGGAAUUCCGUUGUAUAUCAGAGCUUCUUGUUUCCUUGGUAUUUCCUUCCCGUAAGGGGUCCGACGAUCAGACUGCCGGAAAGGGCUUCCAGAGAAUAAGGUCCUGAAAGAGAGAAAAUGAUAAAGCUAUACGGUCCCUAGGGUGGUUGAGCCGCAUUGUGGGUCGUGCCAUAGCCGUGCCUCCGCCUAUGCCCAUGGUAUCUUGAGUGCGUAGUUAUGUACGCGCUACACAAAUUUCGCCGCUUGACUGGGACUAUGACGGAGGCCGAAUUGCUACCCGAGCUCUGAACGUGCCUGGAGAUCCUGUUGCAGGUUACUUCGGACUCGCUUGAAGGUGUCCGGGUUCCUUUUUUCCUAAUUGGUGGUUGGCCUCAGAAGGCUGCUUUGUGCUUCCGCUGCGAGGGCUGCAGUGUGCUCCUCCGUGCGGAGCGAGCGUUCUGUGUUUCCAUUAACUGUUAUAACUCCGCGAGGUCCUGGCAUUUUGAGCUUGAGGUAUGCAUAAUGCGGUACCGCAUUGAAUCUAGCAAAUGCGUUUCAUCCGAGUAGUGCGUGAUAGCCACUGCGGAAGGGGACGAUAUCGAAGAUUAACUCCUCGCUUCGGAAGUUGUCCGGAGAUCCGAAGACCACUUCCAGUGUGAUUGAGCCCGUGCAACAGGCCUCUACACCUGGUAUGACACCCUUGAAGGUGGUUUUUGUGGGUUUGAUCUGAUCCUCGAGGGGUCUAUACCCAUUUUGCGCACUGUAUCCUGAUAGAGCAGGUUCAGGCUGCUGCCACAGUCCAUAAGGACUCGAGUGAGGUGAAAUCCGUCAAUGAUGGGAUCAAGAACCAAUGCGGCAGAACCGCCAUGACGGAUACUAGUGGGGUGGUCCCUGUGAUCGAAAGUGAUCGGACAAGAAGACCACGGGUUGAACUUUGGGGCGACUGGCUCCAUCGCAUAGACGUCCCUUAGUGCACGAUUCCGUUCCCUCUUGGGAAUAUGCGUUGCGUAUAUCAUGUUCACCGUUUUCACUUGGGGAGGAAAUUUCCUCUAUCCUCCUGUGAUUGGCGGCCGGGGCUCCUCCUCAUCGUCGCUAUGCAGCCCUUUUCCUUGUUUUCAGUAUUCAACUUGCCGGCCUGUUUGAACACCCAACAUUCUCUGUUGGUGUGGUUGGCUGGCUUAUCGGGGGUGCCAUGAAUUUGACACGAGCGAUUGAGUAUGCGGUCCAAACUGGACGGGCCCGGAUUGCUUCUUUUGAACGCCUUUUUCCGCUGACCGGAUUUAGAGCCACUGAAUCCGGCAUUGACUGCCGUGUCUUUGGCGUUGUCGCUGUUGUUGCGGCGCUUGUGUCUGUUGCGACAUGGUCUGUCGUUACUAUCUUUGCCAUCCGAAUUGCCAUGAUUUCUUGAUGUGUUGUUGCUGCGAGCCAGCCAGCUGUCUUCGCCCGCGCAAAAGCGGGUCAUGAGUGUCGUGAGGGCUGCCAUGGACUUUGGCUUCUCUUGGCCGAGGUGUCGGGCGAGCCACUCGUCACGGAUAUUAUGCUUGAAUUCCGCUAAGGCCUCGGCAUCCGGACAGUCGACAAUUUGGUUCUUUUUAGUUAGGAACCGAGUCCAGAAUUUCCUGGCCGAUUCCCAUGGCUGUUGGGUUAUGUGGCUCAAGUCAUCAGCAUCCGGUGGUCGCACAUAAGUGCCCUGGAAGUUGUCAAGGAAUGCAUCUUCCAAGUUCUCCCAACUACCAAUGGAGUUUGCUGGCAAGCUAUUCAGCCAAUGCCGAGCUGGUCCUUUGAGUUUUAGUGGGAGGUACUUGAUGGCAUGUAGAUCAUCACCGCGGGCCAUGUGGAUGUGGAGGAGGAAAUCCUCGAUCCGUACCGCGGGGUCUAUUGUACCAUCAUAUGACUCAAUGUUCACGGGUUUAAAUCCUUCUAGGAAUUCGUGAUCCAUCACUUCAUCAGUGAAACAUAGGGGGUGUGCGGUGCCUCUGUGCCGGGCUAUGUCACGACGCAGUUCAUACAAGUCUUGUCUGUUGUAUUCGGCCCGGCCGGAUUUGCUUUUAUUGUAUCCGGCGUGAUGAUCAUCGUCACGCGUUGGGGCUCGCCCCCGUGAUCUGUAGAUCGAUCUUUUAUGUCCUGCUUUGUUUUCCAAUACGUCUCGCAGGUCCUGGGUGUUUUUGUUUGACUGGCGACGGGGUGCGGGCUGGACUUUGGGCUGAUAUGCCACUCUGUCUCGGCCACGAGGUGGCCGAUCAGCCGCAUCAUAUGCUGGUAAUGUAGGUUUUAGUGCUUCCUCCUCGAGUUGGGGUAGCAACCUGCGCUUUGGGUAACUCUUGGUAGGGCGUUCGAGUUCGUAUUCCUCGGCCGCCAGGACCUCAGUCCAUCUAUCUGCUAGCAGGUCUUGGUCAGUUUGAAGCUGCUGCUACUUUUUCUUCAGGCUUUUUGCUGUGGCUAUAAGCCGGCACUUAAAGCGCUCCAGUUCGACGGGAUCCUCGGGCACGAUAAAUUCUUCGUCGCUGAGGCUCACCUCGUCUUCGGAGAGGGGCAUGUAAUUGUCAUCCUCAGAUUUUCCGCCAGCUGCCUGCUCCUUAGGGCUAGCUUGCCCGUCCUCCUGCUCGAAACCUGGCUGGAGGGGAUUGUUGUCUUCGGCAUUAUCUGUGGCGUUAUUGUCUCUUGUGCUGGUAUCGCUGCUUUUGCUAUGGCGGGGCUUAGAGCGGCGCCGCUGACGCCGGUGCUUGGGUUGCUUCUCGGAGGGAUUGUCCUCCGUUGCCUUAUCGCCAUCGCCUUCUUUGGGGGUGUCCACCAUGUAUAUAUCAUACGAUGAGGUGGCAGUCCAGCGCCCUGUGGGCGGUGGUUCCUAUUCGUCUCCUGCAUCGUCGUCCAGACCGGUGAUGUCUUCAGAGCCGAAAUCAAGCAUGUCGGUUAAGUCGUCGACAGUGGCUAUUAAGUGGGUGGUGGGUGGGGAACAAAUUUCUUCGUCGUCCGCAUCCCACUCAAGCCGGACAUAGUUCGGCCGAGGGUCUCCUGACAAGGAGAGAGACCUCAAUGAAUUUAGCACGUUGCCCAGGGGCGAGUGCUGAAAUAUAUCCACGGAGGAAAACUCCAUGAUCGGUGCCCAAUCAAAUUCGAUAGGCACGGACGCAGGCGGUUCAGAGCCCGUGGCUGGGGACGAAUCCAAGUGUCUAGCAACACGGGUCUCAUAGGAGGUGAAGUCAGCAUUCGGCUCUCUCGCCGCUGAGUGCGCGGCCUCCGUGACGGGGUCUAUCCACCCAUCCUCGGACGGCACGAUCUGCUCCAGAUUGAGGGCCGGAGUAGCCGCAGGUGUGAUUUCCCGAACACUGUCCGACGGCAGAGCUAAGUCAUGCUCAUCGUGACUGUGCGGCGCACCUGACACGGGCUCGAAUCCGACGAAGAUCAAGUCUCCGUGGAUGUCGGCGGUAUAGUUCAAACUUCCAAACCUGACCUGAUGGCCAGCGGCGUAGUUCUCGAUCUACUCCAGAUGGCCAAGCGAGUUGGCCCGCAGUACGAAGCCGCCAAAUACGAAGAUUUGUCCGGGGAGGAAAACCUCACCCUGGAUCGCAUCGUUACCGAUGAUUGAAGGGGCCAUCGAGCCUUUAUCGCGACGGCACAGUGGAACUCUCAAUGAAAGCACCAAUGUCGGUGUGAAAACCGGCGGAUCUCGGGUAGGGGGUCCCGAACUGUGCGUCUAAGGCGGAUGGUAACAGGAGGCGGGGGACACGAUGUUUACCCAGGUUCGGGCCCUCUCGAUGGAGGUAAUACCCUACUUCCUGCUUGAUUGAUCUUGAUGAUAUGAGUAUUACAAGAGUUGAUCUACCACGAGAUCAUAGAGGCUAAACCCUAGAAGCUAGCCUAUGAUUAUGAUUGUUGUUGUCCUAUGGACUAAACCCUCCGGUUUAUAUAGACACCGGAGGGAGCUAGGGUUACACAGAGUCGGUUACAAGGGAGGAGAUCUACAUAUCCGAAUUGCCAAGCUGCCUUCCACGCAAAGGAGAGUCCCAUCCGGACACGGGACGAAGUCUUCAAUCUUGUAUCUUCAUAGUCCAACAGUCCGGCCAAAGUAUAUAGUCCGGCUGUCCGAGGACCCCCUAAUCCAGGACUCCCUCAUGCAUACCUCGGGGUGCAUCAAAAUGGAAGAUCCUUUUUGUUUACCACAUUGAGUACCUGAAUGCCUUUCUGAAAAUCAAUCUUCACACACGCACAUUGUGUAGUGGUACUCCAUGUCCUCCAUAAUUGCUCUUGGAUCUCAAUCUCCCAUCGUUGCAAGAGGGCUGAUAGGUAUGCCUUUUGCACCUGCACAUAUUUCAAAGACAGAGAAUUUUGUGAAAGGUUAGUUAUUGAAUGUUCCUCUCUUUUCAUUUGGUGGACUACUAAUUUCCCAUGGUGGUGGAUCGCUAAUCUUGCUAUUAUCUUGUUGAGAAAUAUCAACCUCACAUUUAGUGGACUCACACAACUCAUUAAUCCUCUCUCCCUGAAUGUGUGGUAUAUCUUGGUGGGGAUCUUGCACUUCUCUAAUCUCAUGAUGAAUAAUCUGAUCCUCGCAUUUUGUGACUCACUCACCUCACAUUUCUUAUCACACUCAAUAUAUGGAAUUGUGGAAAGUGGACACUCUUCCUCACAUUUGGUGGAGUCACUCAACUCAUUUUUCUUUUCACUCUCAAGUGGUGGGAUUUUUGAAAGUGGACGCUCUUCCUCAGUUUUGGUGGAGUCACUCAACUUUCUUUUCUUAUCUCUCUCAAGUUGUGGGAUUUUGGAUUGUGAACUCUCUUCCUCACAUGAAAUUUGUGGCGCAUGUUUCCUGGAUGUUGGGACAAUAAUGGUGGUCAAGAUGGGAACAUUAGAAAUGAACUUCUUAUGUAAACAUGGGCUAUGAAUCACUAGAGUCGGUUCGUCAACCACGGUAAUACUUUAUGGUGGGUCGUCGGUGUGCCGACGGGUGACGUAACUUUGCUAUCGGCCAUAACGUCCUUGCUGUGAUUCAUGAGCAGCAACGACAUGCCUAGGGGGCAGGAGUAGCUUGCCCUCAAGCAUGUCGUCCUUGCCGCAUUUCAGGAGCAGCAGCAGCACACCAACGACCAGUAGCGACACCAUGCCCUGCAUGUGUUCUUUGCUGCACCUCAUGAGUAGCAGGGUAUUGUCGGUAUUGAACCCUAUCGCCACCUGCUAGAGGACGCUCGUGAAGUAUCCUCUCCAUGGCUCGGAGUAUGUUGUUCUCGAGUUGCUGCACAUCAACGCGGGUGGCCAAACAAUUUUCUCCUCCAUGAUUCUUUUGACGCGUACUUGGUGUAGAUCCUGCCAUGUUAGUGGGGCUACAAAAGUGGAAUAGGAUAACUUUUGUGGAAUCACACAACCUCACCUCUUACUCACCAAAGUUCUUAUGAGUUCACAUCAGAUUGUGCUUUUCCUGGAUGUGUUAAAGCGAUUGAAAGACAAGGAUCAAAGAACUAGCUUCGGUUUUUGGUGGAGCUCGGUGGGGUAAAAAAGGGGUUUGUGCUAAAAUCAAGUUGAUGCAAACCAAGAAAAUAUGGGGAUAGAUCUGCCUCACCUUUGCACCAAGAUUGAAAAACACACAACACACAAGGUUUUGAAAUUUUUCUACCGCUGAAACUUCUGGAUCUUACACAACACUUUCUUUUUCUCUCUUGACUUUUUUGCCACUCUUUUUCUUCCUUUCUUAAAAUUUUUUGCCACCCUUUUUUUCACUCUUUUUCCAAAGCACAACAACCAAACUAAAAACAAUUACGAAGAUGAACUUGGUGCAGAUCUAAAAGUUGAAGAACAUGCAAGGUAUGCAAAAAGAAGAUCUCAGGACCAACAAGGCUUGGAUUUAUUUUUGGUGGGGCUUUGUACUUCUAGGACAGAAAAUAUAGCAUGAAAAACACUCGAUCCAAAGGGAUGAUAGCAAGAUAAACUUGGAUAACAAAUCCUACCAUGUCAACGAAAGCUCUGAUGCCAGAUGAUAGGUGGGAACCCAAUGAACGAAUUCACGCCCGAGGGGGGCCCGAUCUUCACGUUGUAGGAUCGAAUCAGGAGGGAUAACUACCAGCAAGCAUCCAGGAUAACUAGCUUUAUACCUGCCAAGGUUGGAUGCAACCCGUACGUUGGGAAUGGCUGACCGAAGCUACAAGAACUCCAACCCGAUGUCCGAACAAUCGCAGAACCACAAACAUGGACUAACCCACACAAAACGGACGGAACCGAGGCUCCUUCUCGCGAAUCUGGAUGAAUUCACAAGAGCAAAGGUAGCAAGGAUCUCUCGGAUCUCUCUAGCAGUCUUGCUGCAUAAGCCUAUAGCUGAAUGGUUUGACAAAAGGUUCUUUCUAGAGGAUGUGGGAGGUGGGGUUUUAUAGUAGGGACAACCCCCCUUAGCUAGGUGUGAAAAUGGUUUCAAAAGUAAAUAGGUUUGGAUGGCUUCCUUGGGGGAAUAAGCAGUCAACUUUGGGAGUUGUUGGAGAGCCCCUGAGAAACUCGAAGCCUUGACAGCCUGGACACCUUCCACGAGAUUGGCUAGAACUUUUGACUCACAACUCCAAAUGAUGUGAUGUUUUUUGCAUUGGGAAUAUAAUUUGAUGUAGCUUGUGGUAAUGUACCCCUAUGGCCCUAUCUCUCCACCACAUGGGUGUGGCACAACAAGACAUCAGAGGUAAAAAACUGAUAGCAUCAGCUUCACUUGAAACUUGUUAUCUCCAAACUUGUUCCUCCAAACCGGUUGCUUCAAGAGCUCAUAGAUUAUUGGAUUUCUUCCAUGUGAUACCUAAGUUCAACCAACAACAAUGGAUAUGAAAUUGCAGCCAUGUAUUCAAGAUUAUAGUAUGAACUUAAGUUAGCGUUCACCUGGGCAUGUGUUUGCAUGAUUCGGCUUAGUAAUUCUUUCUACCUAAAUUUUGCACAUUUCUAAAAAGUCGUGUAUGAUGUACCCAUGUGCUAAUCAUCCUCCCUCCCUUGAUGAAGUGUCGUCCUUGAAUCUCGUUGAUCUACAAAAUAUAAGUAGAAGGGAAGUAGAUAAUAUUCAUGCAAAGUAAUAAUGCAAUCCUCAUUUGUAGCUUUCACCUUAGAAUUGUGUUGCAUCUGAUCAUGCAUUUGUUUAUCACACUUGAAGUUUGUCCAGGGAUGAUCGAUGUUGUUUCAUUAAUUGAGAUGUCCUCAUCAUCCCCCCUCUCUUGAAAAAGAGUCAUCAUCGACUCUACCUGGUCAUCACACAAAGGAAAGCAGGGCAAUACCAACUCAUAAUGCAAAGGUUUCAUGAUAUAGAGAUUUUUAGUUUUCAAGUUUGGUAUCUUAUGGAUGAUGCCAACAUGAUAUUUUGUUUGACUUAGGAGUUCCUUCCAGCAAACAUUUCCAUGGCGCACAAAUUUAUAACCAACCAUGAGCAUGUCCAUAUCAUCCUCCUUCUCUUGGAGAAAAGUCAUCCUCAACUUUACUCGGUCUACAAAACUAUAGCACAAGGACACUAGAAAAUAACUAGGGAAAGAAAAAGUUGAACAUUUUUGUGUAGAUCUCAAGUUUCCCAAAUCCAUUGUUUUUCCAUCAUGGUUGAACAAAUUAUAUUGAUGGAUUGAUGGUGUGCUGAAGGAUGUGCCCAAUAAAUUUUCUCUUAUUUCAUUUUUCCAUUGUUUCAAGAGUUCAUAUGUGCAUACCUCGGGGUGCAUCAAAAUGGAAGAUCCUUUUUGGUUUACCUCAUUGAGUACUUGAAUGCCUUUCCGAAAUCAAUCUUCACAGACGCACCUUGUGUAGUGGUACUCCAUGUCCUCCAUAUUUGUUCUUGGAUCUCAAUCUCCCAUCAUUGCAAGAUGGCUGAUAGGUAUGCCUUUUGCACCUGCACAUAUUUCAAAGACAGAGAAUUUUGUGAAAGGUUAGUUACUGAAUGUUCCUCUCUCUUUUCAUUUGGUGGACUACUAAUUUCCCAUGGUGGUGGAUUAGUCAUCUCACUAUUAUCUUGUUGAAAAAUAUCAACCUCACAUUUAGUGGACUCACACAACACAGUAAUCCUCUCUCCCUGAAUGUGUGGUAUAUCUAGGUGGGGACCUUGCAUUUCUCUAAUCUCAUGAUGAACAAUCUGAUCCUCACAUUUUGUGGACUCACUCACCUCACUUUUCUUAUCACCCUCAAUAUAUGGAAUUGUGGAAAGUGGACACUCCUCCUCACAUUUGGUGGAUUCACUCAACUCAUUUUUCUUUUCAGUCUCAAGUGGUGGGAUUUUUGAAAGUGGACACUCUUCCUCACUUCUGGUGGAGUCACUCAGCUUGCUUUUCUUAUCACUCUCAAGUUGUGGGAUUUUGGAUUGUGAACUCUCUUCUUCACAUGGAAUUUGUGGCACAUGUUUCCUAGAUGUUGGGACAAUAGUGGUGGUCAAGAUGGGAACAUUAGGAAUGAACUUCUCAUGUAAACAUGGUCUAUGAAUCACCGGAGUCGGUUCAUCAACCACGGUGAGCAACUACAUGUCGUUCUGAAUAUGAAAUACAUGAACAUUCGUAGUUCCAAGCAAACUUGGAAUCUUGGAUGUACUCCACUUUACACUAGGUUAUUUAUGCUUUUGCAGUCAAUGGGAGGUGAGUGUGGGUUGAUUAAAGAAAAUGGUAGGGGGUUUUCUGCAAAAGUGCGUGCGCUGACCAGUCCAGCCACCUGGCUGCCAAUUGUCGAGCUGUGAUUGGCCUGGGACUAAAUCAUCACAUGAGGUGCAAGUUGGGGUAUGGUGAAGUAAAGUUUUGCAAGUUUGGGACUAAAUCAUCACAUUCUGUGCAAGUUAGGGUACCUGGGGUGCUAUUACCUCCCGUGAGCCAGAUGGCGUCAGAUGAGGAGUUUGACUCUUGAGAGAUAGCGACGACAUCAGGAUCCAUGACACGCAAAGUUGUUUUUACCAGAGCCGGCAACUAGCUGUGAUUGACCAACCAAUAGAAUCCUGCCAACUCAAAACCUGUCGUUUGUUGUAUCUCUGUAUUUCACCGUUUUCUUCAUUGAAGCCACUGUAUUUAAAUAGCUGGAGCCCACCCACAUGAUUUUAGCCAUGCCACUCGCUUUAAUCAUACGAUUGGGACAGAGGCAAGUCUCCCAUUUCACACACGUACAGGCAUGCAUUUAAAAGGAUCAACCUCUCAAUUUAACUGGUUUGAAAUCCUGCCAAAAAAUUGAUACACAUAUCAAUUUCUGUUUCGCAUUUUAAACUUCCAGUUUUAUUAACUUUAAUACACAUAUCAAUUUCUGUUUCAGUAAAUUUAACAAUGCUGAUUUGAAUUCUUUCUAUCACAUAUUUCAAUUAUUUCAACAAACUAAUUUCACUCAUUUUAGAAAAUAAUUUCAAUAGUUUCAGUAAAACUCAUUAUUUAAAAAAUGAGUGACUACAGAAACAACAACAAAAAAAUCAAUCUUUUUAUAUUUCAAUCAUGAUUUCUGUUAUACCAAUUACACAUAUAAGAAAAAAUUGACACAAACAAUUUCAAUUUAUAUUACCAUAACUUGUUCAAUACAAAUCACACUGAUAUAACAAAUUACACAUAUAAGAAAUACUAAUUUCAUAUAUUUCAGACAAGUAAUUUCAUAUAUUGUCACAAAUAAGUUGAACUGAUUAUUCAAAUGGGUGACAUAAACAAUUUCAAUUUCUUAGAAAAAAGGUGAUUUUAGCUACUCCAAAUUCAUUUGUACUCAAAAAGAGUGAAAUCCAUUGUAGCUAAUGUGACACAAACAAUUUCAAUUUAUAUCUCGACAACUUUUGCAAUACAUAUCACACUGAAAUAACAAAACACACACUUAGAAAAUACCGAUUUCAAAUAUUUCAGACAAGUAAUUUCAUAAUUUUUUAAUUUUAAUAAGAGAAAUAUUUCAUACACAUACCAGUUUCACUAUUUUUUCACUUCUAAAUGAACGAAGUAUAUUUCUGUUAUUCGUUUAUCUUAUUGCACAAAAGAGUGAAACUCAUUAUUUCAAAGUACUGACAUAAACCAUUUCAAAAAAAAAUGAACCCCCAAGUUCUCAUUCACAUAAUGAAGAGACAACAGUUUCAUAAAGAGAAACAUGCAUUCCAAUUUCUGAAAAAAAUGCAUUUCAACAAAAAAAUACUUUCCAAUUACAAUUCUGUUUCACAUCACGAAUGUUAGUUUCACAAAUCCGCAUUUCACAUCAGAUAUAGCAGUUUGACAUAUCUACAUAUCUAUUUCGAUUUCGGUACAACAAUAUCACAUAUAUCACACAAUCUGCUAUAGAUCUUCCCAUCGAUUUCAAUUAGACACCUUCAUUUCCAUCAAAUAUAAAAGUUCAAUAUAUCACACAAGCAGGGGAGUUGUCCAUCUAGUGAGGAAGCAAGGGGGGAUCUCAAAACAUGUACCAUAAAACAAAAAUCAGGAAGUAAACACAGAGAUAAAGAUAUUAGGGGAGUUGUGCUUACUCGGGGGUGGACGCAUAUGGUCGUGGGCUUCAUGACUCACCAGAUCCGGUGGCGGUCAUUCUUGGAUUCGCCGGAUCCGGUGACGACCCUGCUCAUCGAACCGUCGUGCUAGGUGGAUGCUGUGGAGGAAUAACAACGGAG